rnacentral:lncRNA from 1 species
UCCUCCCUCCUGAGCUGACCACAUACAUUACACUCCAUUAUAUCAGAAGGAGCAUCAUCCGACCACAGAGGCAGAGGAGCCAAUGUCCCGCCGCAGUUUUUCCUGUUGCACAUAUACCUGACGAAGAAAUAUGCAUGGGGGAAGUCCGUCUCUUUCUCCUCUGCAAUACCCACCUCUGACCCGCUCAUUUGUUCAUCGGCAUCCUCAUCCAUCCCUUCACCGUCACCAUCAUCGUCUUCGCCGAUAUCAUCGUGCUCGUUCUCAUCAUCGGACCAAUUGGCCUCGACCUUGCACCGAUCGCAGUCACAGGCGAACCGGUAGUCUUCCAUCAACCUCUUCUGCCUAUUCGCAUAAUUCAAGUUGACAGGAAGAUAACUCAGGCAGAUCUCCCUCCCUUGAGGGACAUCAUGGAUCAUCCGCACGAUUAUAUCAGUAUUGCCAUCAGAAGCAGAGUCCACAUAGUCAAAUCUACAAGCAUUUGGAUUGCAAUCGUGGUUGAAGAAAGAAGGUCUUGGAUAAAUACCGUAAGCUCUCACCGAUCUCUCCCCAUCCACCUCGCCCCCACCCCGCGACGAAACCGGCUCCAUCAAACCGAAAGCGUUGAGCUUGUCCUUCGACAGCAAGGCCACGAUCAAUUCAAGAGAAAACCCCUGAGGAAAAGGCGAACCCGGAGGAGGGGCAGGACAAACCGAGGCGAGCAGCGAAUGCAGGAACCGGGCGGCCGAGACGGUGUCGUCGGCGUGCGCCUCUCGGCCCUCCUUUUUCUGAGGUCAAAGACAAACUUUUUCCUUUUCAUUUUAUCACUUUGUUUUUUUUUACCUAAAUUCCGUUUUUCUUAAGUUAAUUUGAAGUUUGACGCAAAAGUAAAUUUCAACAUAUAAAAACAAAUUUUAUUAGAGAUAACAAAAAAAUCGAAGCUCACUUGCGUCAAUUCUAUAUACUCCCACUACUCUCCUUCCUAAAAAAAAAAAAAAAAAAGACCCACCCUCCUUUCAUCUUAUUUUAUAGACUUAUGAAACAAAAUUUCAUUGAAACCUAAGAAAACUAUUGCUUUAGCAAAUGAAUAAAAGUUUAUUGUUUGAUUAACGGAGUUACUCCUGUCUCUUUGUAUGGUUUGACAUUCAAUCAUAGAAAAAUAGAGAUAACAUACCCAAAAUACUCUUUUACACACUCUCUCAAUUUCUAAUAAGUAACUACACAAAAACACCUUCCGGUUGUGACGGCCAUAAGUUAUAAUCACGACUAAACUAAUCAGAUUACUGAUGAUUGAUGAUUAUUAUAUUAAUCUCUAUUGUAAGCAAUAUGACUAUUAAUAUGAUACAUAAUUAGUGGUGUCGUUAUAUGAUUCUUGCAAUAUACGAAUUGCGGUGAAUAUACUCACCAUUCUAAUAAAUAAUAAUUCCCAUAAUUAUUAUUAAGCAUGAUGUAUAUAAAGGGAUGAGAUUUGAGUUUCCGAGUUAUGGAAUAUCACCCAAAAAAUUUGAGAAGACAUAAUACACAAGGCAACUCCAUUUAUUAGCUCAUGCUGACUCCUUGAAGCGUGUAGCUGUUUCAGUAUCAUUUUUGACGGAUGGAAGGAUGAUGUUCCUGUUGGUAAAAUAUGUCUUCGAAAUGGGUUGAACAAUGAAAUCGGAUCGAAUAAAAACAACUCGGACUUUGAGGCGUGAUAUCACUUUCUUUAAGGAUUUAUUUGCCCCACAACGUUGCUAAUGGUCACCGGCAAAAAUCCUCCAGGAUACAACAAAGUCUCGGAUGAGAAUACCAAAUAGCAAUUCUAGUAUUUCUACAGGGUCUCUCUAAGAAACAAUCGAAAAAUUGGCUGCAGUUUUUUUCAGAAAGAAGACUCGAAAAUGACCACACUUUUCUUUCCGAAAAUGACAAGUAUUUAUAUGAAACAGUCUUGCAACUCUUCGUGAAAAUUGCGAACAAACACGUCUUUAGAAAAUUGUUCGGAUAAACAAAUGCGACUCUUCGGAAGAAGUCGAAAACCGAACAAUUGCAAUCCUUCGGAAAAAUUAAAACCGAAUAAGUAAUUUUCCAAAGGUUGUCUUGAAAAGACACAAAUAAAAUUCGGAAUAAUUAUUAUUAUUUUUUAAAAAGAAUUUCGAAUUUUCAUUUAUAUUUCAUUUCCGAAAUUCUCAAAUUAAAAGGCAACCUUUGAACUAAAAUAUAAAAUAAAAUAAAAUAAAAAUAAAUAAAUAAAAAGCAAGGGAUUAAUGCUAAUUAAACCGCGCAAUUAUCCGCGCACCCGCACGCGGGUAUGGUGGGUCUAGCCCCACCUAAUUACUCCUUUAACUACAAAAGGAAAUUCCUCAUUAAUAAACUAAUCCUCCUGCUCCCACCUUUUCUAUGUGGGACAAAGUAAAAGGCACUUAUUUUGUUUUAACAAACAAAAUUCCAACAAUCCCCCACUUUGUUUGUAAAACAAAAUUUCAAAAUAAAAAUUUUAAAAACCAUACAGCCAAAGUUUCAGUAAGAUUAAUAUACAUACAUAAAGGUCUCUUUCGAGUUAAACCUUUACUUAGUGCAAGUAUAUCAAAGCUCUAUCAAAGUGACAAGUAGCUCGGCUUUAAACUUGUACUUUUAUGUAAUAGAACCGGACAUACCACACAUACACUAACCUCUUGUUUCAGCGAGAAUUUCUAUAUUACUCCGCACUAUUAUGGCCUUGUGCUUGAUCCUCCUGCUCCCACCUUUUCUAUGUGGGACAAAGUAAAAGGCACUUAUUUUGUUUUAACAAACAAAAUUCCAACAGUUCCUUAUGUUCUGUCUCACCUCGUCGUCUUGCUGUUGAGAAACAUACCGAGAAAUAUAUAACUGGGGACCAAACUCAGUCUCUACACAGGCUCGAGACGAUGAAAACACGAAAACAAGAUACGCGAAUAGGAUGCCAUUCGAUGUCUCCUUAUAUGGGUGAGAUUAGGGACAUGAGGGAAGAUCGCUGAGCUCGGAUUGGAGAAACUAGCAUCAUACACCGGACGUAUCCUUGGCAGUCAAACUAGUGAGGGAAGAAGCAAUGGAAACUCACCAGUUCACAAGUCCAAACACAACCAGGCUAGUAUGGCCCCAAGGAUUCCGAAGAGAAAGAAAAAGACCUGUCCCUUAAGAUCCACAAACAACCUUCCAAUUGAAUCAAAGCGUAUAUGGCAAGUUUUUCCACCUCCCAACAUCAUAGGUGGGGAAAUCAUAUCCUCAGAUCAAAUCUCUUAUCAAUAGAUUCGAUCACCAUUUCUAAUGCCAAAGAGCUGCAAAAUCUGAGGAUUGACAAAUACGAGCAACUUAGUUAACUUAAAGGAUCCACAAAACAUUCUAGUUAAUCAAUACACAUACUCAAUGAUUCCAAGAAAGAACUCAUGGUAAAUCUUCCCGGAACUUCAACUUAUUAGAUUUCAAAUGAUAUCUUGAAGUAAAUAAAGAAAGAAAAUUCACCUCCAGAGAAUUGCAGCUACACCAUCGUCACAGACAGAGCACAUGGCAUUCGGCAUCACAAGAUCAAUUUUUUCCCACCAAAUGGCUGAAAUUAGGAACUCAGUACUCGCAACCCACAACUUUCACCACAAGAGGAUUGGAUUGUAAAGCAAAGUUCUACAAGCUAGCCAACUAGGUCCCUCUACUGUUAAGCAUUGACUAACAGCCGAUUCGUUUGAAGUGCAAGGCCAAAGGAUGGUCUAGAAAAAAAAAAACAAAAUUCCCAGAAGUGAGUCCAUAAGGAGAAGAGCUUCUUACAACAUCGCAUCUCCGUCGGCUUCCGCCUCUUCAUCCUCCCUCCUGAGCUGACCGCAUACAUUAUUACAUUCCAUUAUAUCAGAGGGACAGCCAUCCGACGGAGGCAAAGGAGCCACUAUCCUGCCACAGUUUUUCCUGUUGCGCAUAUACGUGACGAAGACAUACGCAUGGGGGAAGUCGGUCUCUUUCUCCUCCGUGAUACCCACCUCUGACCUGCCCAUUUGUUCAUCGGGUGUCCUCAUCCAUCCCUUCAUUGUCACCAUUGUCGUCUUCGUUGCUAUCAUGGUUCUCAUUUUGGUCAUCGGACCAAUUGGCCCCGACCUUGUGCUGAUGUGGCUAGACUCGAGCUCACUGAGCGUUGCUGACCUCCGGUGAGGCUUGAGCUCACUGGAAUCUAGUGAGAUUAACCUUGCCUGUUGCAGGCGAUCGGCCAAAGAAGAGGCAAAAAAGAAAAACAAAAAAAAAAAGUAAUUGAAAAUUCGAUUUUAAAAGUAAAUAAAAUUAAAAAUUAAAAAUAAAACAAUAUCAAAGGAGUGGACGAAGGUUGGUACCAAGCGGUUGAAAAUAUUUUCUAAUUCAUUAUCUCAUUUCAGUUAAACACCUAAAAUAUUAUUAUUCUCCUAGAAAAACUAUUUACUGGAAAAAAAAUUUGGAUGCAUCACAUUUUUAUUAUUUUAUUAUUUUUUUUAAGUUUAUUUUUGGGUUUCAGCCAAAUGGGGCCAAUGUAACAUUGAACAUGAUCUAGUACAGUAGGUAGGUAAUCACUUCUUCAUCUGUUCAACAUUUAAAUAGUCUCACAAUUAUAACUCAUGAGUGGUAGAUACACUUAACAUAGACAAAUUCACCAUGCAUUCGAUUCAUGCUCCUAAAUUUUAUCUUUUUUCCUCCCCUUCUUGCACACGAUGCGUGUGCCCUAACGGUAGUGAAUUUAUUUUGUAAGGAUUCUUCUCAAAGCAAAAGUAGUGAAAUGCCUUUAAUCAGUUCUUUUUUUUUAAUCAAUCUUUGAGCAAGAAAGGAAUGUCCCCCAGUUGGCUUAUUUGGGAAAAAAAAACCAAAUGUGUUGCCCGCACGAAAGGGACCUGGAAUGAGGUCAUCAAUAUGCGUAAUUAGGGCUUAACCAAUUUAUCAAAAUGACGUACUAAUCUGAUCGGGUGAGGGUCUGGCAAUAUAUUUGUGUUCAGAGUUUACUAAUGAUAGCAGUUAUAAUGGAUCCAAGUGCUUCUCGAUUGGAGCUCAAAAGCAAUUAUAAUGGGUUGGAGCUCUUCUUGAUUAGAGGUUAUAAAUGCUUGUAGCCGAUUCCGUAUGAAACAGGUGGAAGUAUUUGAGUUUCACACAAGAUAGUUAUUACUAGUCUUAUGUGCCAUCUAAGUUAUUUAACAUGAAGUUAUAUGAUUGUCGUGAACAAACCCUGCACACAUAAUAUCAUUACAUCACUAUUUGUGGCAACGUUUUUUUCUUUUAUAUAUGUGCAGCGUAUGCAUGAAAAAAGUGCAUUGAAUACUAAAUUUGAGACUUGAAAGAGACCUAGAAUAUCACAAAUAUAUAAUGAAAAAAUGACAACAAAAAAGAAGUAUAAUUUUAAAUCUAGUGUCACGUCAAAUACGUAAAGUUGGUGUCCAAAUUGGCACUGCAAGUAUUCAAUCCAUAGGAGCCCUUUGAUUGAGAGGGACACACGGGAGAUUCAUCGAAUUCACAGGCUAAUGCACGAUCCGGGGAUUACGGGCGUUGCGUGCAUGAAAUUCGAAUCCUGGUGCAGGAGAAGUGAAUCACAUGUACAUGGCUUGUCCCGUAACUCAUAUUGAAGUAUUAGUUGGGCCUGGGCACCCCCAAAGUUUCAUCCCCCAGCCCUCUUCACUCUUCCAUUCUCUCCCUCUCCCCAUAUAUUCACCUCUUCUCUCACUCCUUACAGCUUGAAGAAAAAAAAACAAAAAAACAUAAAACAAGAGCAAAAGACCCUCCAGAACAGAAACUUGUGGAACCUGUGAAACUUGUGGAACUACGUCUCCUAUGGAACCGCACAAGUUCGACUCGAUUGCCCCACUUGAUGAGAGCCUCCAGUUCAUUACCUCCGAUGACGAGGAGCAACGACACUGGAAGAUGCAGUCCAUCUACAGGGUCCCCGCACGUAUCACCACCCUCAACGGCGAGGCCUACCAGCCACAAGUUGUCUCCAUCGGCCCCUACCACCACGGGGAGGCCCACCUCCUCCCCAUGGAAGAACACAAGCUUUGCGCGGUCCGCCACUUCCUUAAGCGGUCCAAGAAGCCUAUGGAGAGCUUCUUCGAGUCCCUGAGGGAGGUGGCGUGGGACCUCGAGGAGAGCUACGACGCUCUGGACCCGAAGUGGAAGGCAGGCAGCGGCGAGGGCGUGUUACCCCAGUUCCUGAAGCUGAUGAUAACUGACGGCUGCUUCAUGCUGGAGCUCCUGACGACUACGUGUUGAACGACCCCAUCUUCAGCUACCACGGGUUUCUCUACAUGAUGAAUGACAUUUGGAAGGAUAUGUCGAUGCUGGAGAAUCAGCUUCCGAUGCUAGUGCUGGAGCGGCUGGUGGCUGUGGAGAGCGAUGGCAAGGAGGUUACUUUCUUAGAUUUCAGUCGGUCGUAAGAUAAGAAAAUAUUGCAAGCACGCAAACCACUAUACUAUGUGCACCUAACAGUACAUCUUUGUGAUAUCACAUGAACCCUACGAUGGAUCCACCGAAUCUAAUGCUCCAGAUGCAUUGAUUACACAGUUCACAAUCAACCGAUAAUUUGAUUGAAACUUCAUUUUUUUCCCUUUAUCGCAAGUAGUAUCAAUACGACCACAAUCUCAGAUUCAAUGUGCUGACUUCACUCCAACAACACAGGACGACCAAUUCGUCAGCAUGCUCAUCCUCAAGUUGUGGUACUCCAAAAAAGGCCAUCAAAAGGAUGGGCAAAUGCCUGCACUUCCUGGACGUUAUCAGGAAGGGCACGCUGAUGGAGCGCAAGAAGGACGAGGAGGAGGUUACUUUCUUAGAUUUCACUCUGUCGGAAGAUGUUAUUGCAAGUAUGCUAGCCACCGUACUAUAGGCACCAAACAGUACAUCUUGGUCAACUCACCCUACGAAGGAUUUACUGAAUCUAAUGCUCCAAAUGCACUGGAUGCACGAUUCCAGAUCAACUGACAAUUUGAUGAUUAAAUCUAUCACCGCCAUAGGAAACUUUAUUUCUUCCCCCUUUUACUCAAGUUGUAUCGAUCCCACCACAAUCUUGGAUUCAAUGUACUGACUUUACUUCAACAACACAAGGGGACAAAUCCGUCAACAGGCUCAUCCUCAACUUCUGCUCCCCCAGUAAGGGCAUCGCGAGGAUGGGCAAAUACCUGCACGUCCCAGACUUCUUCAGGAAGUGCAUGCUGUUGGACCCCAAGAAGAAGGACGACGUGGACAGGCUGAACUUUCUGACGACUAUCCAAUUGGCCACCGAGCUCGACGAGCAUGGGAUCUGGUUCAAGAUUAACAAGACCGACAGCAUCAAGGACAUUUCCUUUGCAGACGGCGUCCUGAUGCUCCCCUACAUCCAAAUGAUGGAGGUCACCAUGUCCUGCAUCCUCAACAUCAUGGCGUUCGAGCGCCUCCAUGUCAGGGCUGGGAACGAGGUCACAUCCUGCAUCUACUGCAUGGGGCACAUAAUUACCAAGGGGUGGGACGUCACACUGCUCCGCGCCCAGGGCAUCAUCGUGCAUUUCCUGGCAAGCGAUGAAGCAGUAGCCAAGACGUUCAACUUGCUGACGUGCUCGAGGAGGUCAACAAGUACUACGAUAAGCGCUGGAACAUGUGGAAGGCUAAUCUCAUCCACACCUACUUCAGGAAUCCUUGGGUUGCAUUGUCUCUCAUUGCUGCCGUCUUCGUCUUUGCGCUCACCAUAAUUCAGACUGUAUAUUCCGUGCUCGACUUCCACAAAUGAACCCUUCGCCUCUCAGAACAAUAAUAUACUCUCUUUCUUCCAUUUUUCUUGGUUUUUCUUCUGUUGAAGGAUGCUUGAUCAUCAUCUCGUGAUCGGUUUGUCGAAUGUUGUUAUGAAUGAUCUUCCUCCUGUUUUUCAGUCACGUUUAUAUCCCUCUUUAAAUGUUUUGAAUAAUGAACAUUUUUACUUAACAUUGUCAAAUGAUAAUUCUCUUGUUUGAGUCUCCUUCGUAUUUGUCCAGUUUGAAUCGGGUAGGGUGAAGGAUGAUCAAGUUCUAGGCAAAUGAAAUUUUCAUCGCACCAUUUAUUCUCGAUUAAAUUUGUGAAGUUGCAGUGAAUUUAAGGGGGGAAACAAAUACGGCCUUCAAAGACAUCUCUAAUCACCAUUUGCUUUUAACAUCCUCAAAGAAUAAAGGUGUUUGAUUGUUGAUCUCAUGUUGAAAUGAUUUCUACUAUAUUAAAGAUAUUACAAGCAUUACCCUUUAUAAGAAAACAAUACAAUAAUAUAAAUAAUAAAACUGUCAAUCCCUUGUUUUAUUAUAUUCGAGAAUCUGCUCGUGAUUUUGAUUCACAUUUCCAUAUUCUUCUUUUCUCUUGAUUGAUAAAUCAGUGCCUUAACUCCCCCACAAAUUGGGAAUGGGACAAUCCCAAAUUCUCAAUUUGCAACGUAAGUUUCCAAAUGUGCCAUUUUUUCUUGCACAUACUGAUAAUCUAAUUCCAUAUGUUUAAUUCUUGCAUAUAACAUGAGAUUAAUCAACAUAUAAAUUGCAUUGAUAUUAUCACAAAAUAAUAUUGGUGGACUUUAGAGAUAAAUACCUAAACCUCUAAAAAGGGAAGAUAUCCAAACAAUCUCAACAAUGAUUGACGCCAUUACAUGAUACUCUAAAUUGGCACUAGAUCGAGCAACCGUUCAUUGCUUCUUAACACUCCAUGAUAUACAAUCACUACAGGUACAAAAUAUCGCAGUCAAUCGUCAAGUCAAGCAACAAUUUGCCCAAUCUUCUAUAGUUAACUUGGACAGGAUUCACAUUUCUUGAUCUAUUGUGCUACUUAUAUAGCGAAAAAUGUGCUUCACAAUUUGAAAAUGAGUCAUAAUAGGCCAAUGCAUGAAUUGACAUAUAAAAUUGACUGCACAUGGAAUAUCCAGUUGUGUGAUGAUGAGAUAUUAAAGAGCUCUGACAAUACUUUGAUAUAGCGUAGGUGUGGCAUCCUAAAAUUUCAUGACAACCCCUGGAUAUACCAUGAACCAUGAAUAGGUGAUGGAAGCGCCAUCGGACUAUGUUAUGGUCAUUGGCUAAUAGAUUACAAUUUAACAAGGCCGAGCAAUGAAUGGACAAUUAUUUUGUUGGAAAUUAUACCCCAUGUCCAUGAGUGAUCAAUGAUUGUACUAAGGGACAAAUUGAUAAGGGAAAUUUUUAUUCUUGGCCAUGCGCUUUAUAAGUUGGAUUUUAUUGAUUUAUGUUACAAAGUUUUAUGGCCAUAUAAAUUUGCAAUUAUGUAUUUAUAUAAGUGAGGAUUAAAUGGAAAAAUAUGAGAAGGUUUGGGCCGAUUUUCUUAAGGCCAAACCAGCCCAAAAACCAGCCCACAGCCCACCGCUUCCCCCCAUUUCGUUGACCAAGCCUGGCCCAAAUGAGGCCCAUUAGCCUUGCAUGAAGAUCAACAAGUGGUGUGAAGGGUGCUACAAGUGGCAAGAGGAACUUACCAAGUGUCCAUUGCCAUGCAAACCUCAUGAUUACUAGUUAAUCAUGAGGGUGAAAGGAAGAAAAGGGAGAGAGAAGGGGUGGAUUGCACAAGGGGAAUGAUCGUGCGAGAGAGGGAGAAUUCGAGAGAGAAGUAGAGAAAGAGAGAAAGCCGAGGGAGAGAGAGAGGGUUCGUGGGUGCUUUGGCGAGGGAAGAGGAAGACCAAGCCCCGCCGUGCGUGUGCCUAGCUUCGCCGUCGACCGUGCUGUGUUCGAAGUCCCCGGGUCGCCAUUACUUGCUUGAUUUCAUCGGAUCUAAGGCAAGUAGAGUCCAUUGAUCUACACUUUGUUUGCUGUGAUUGUGUGUGAUGUAUGGUGAAUUUCGGAGGUGGUGGAGGUGAGAAUUUUCGAAGUUAUGGAAGUAGUGCCUUAGUCUAGUAAUCUGUUUUCUGGAAAAACAGUCCGACCUUUGGUGAUUUCGUGAGCUGCAUGCAAUUUUCUAGUUGGAAUAUCACUUCAACUUCUUGAUGAAAGUUGUAGAGGACUUCUUGCAGAUUACAUAAUAAAAUUUGAGAUGAAACGGACAAGUAUUGGAUGGUGAAACCAUUUUUCUUCAAAGAUACUAGAUCUGGAAAACUGAUAUGUUGAUCCCUUGCAGUUCUGUGAAUUUUGUGAAAUUAUUCAGUCCGAAUUUGAUCUCUUGUCCUUAAUAAGAGUUGUAUAAAACAUCUUGAGGAGAAACAUACUGAAAUUUGAGAAUAAACGGACAAGUAUUGAUCGGGGAAAUGAUUUUUCUUUGAAGUGUUAAAUCUGGAAAUCGUUACCGAGGGUUAGGGAGCGUUUUGGUGAAUGUAGCUCAUGAUAUAUAACGAAUCUGACUUCGAGUUCUUCAGGGAAAUUUUACCUCUAGGUCUUGGCUAUGACAUAUAUAUUUUUCAGAAUUUUCUGAGUUGAUUUAGGGUUUAUACCAAAUUUAUAAAUAAAACUGUGCAAUGGUGAUGUUCCGAAACUUUAAGUUGUGAUGCAUGGACUGUAAGUGAGCUGUACGAAGCUCUUUUGACAUGGUGUUCUUCAUAAAAAAAAUUUCUCUAGAUCUUUUUUAUAACAUGUUAAAUUUUCAUAAUUUAUUGAGAUCGUUUACUAAUUUUUCCAGAAUUUUUAUUUAAGGAGUGCAUUCUGCUUUGUCCGAAAAUUUGCUCCAUUUUCAAGAACAAAUGAAUUGCUUUAUGAAGUGUGAUAUCUUGGGUGUUAUUUGUAUUGCAUAUAUGGUGACAUUUGGCAUAUCGAUAUCAAAAAGGCUGGUUUAAACCUCCGACAUUGUUGCAUCAAAUGUUAAAUUGAAAAUGAGAUAUAUAUAUAUAUAUAUAUAUAUAUGGGAAUAUGCAUUGUGAUUAUAAUAAUACCAUUGGAGGUGUGAGCUGACGAUACCCCGGGAGUGUCGGGAUGCCCGGAGUGUGUGUGCCGGAUGCCUGGAGGUGUGUGCCAGAUGUCCUCGGGAGUUUCGGGAUGCCCGGUGGUAUAUCGGUACGUAAUUAUAGGAAAUGCCUAGUGGUAUGUGGGUACGUAAUUCCGGAAGGCAGGGGUAACCAUUUUCAUGGCAAGCCCCGGCGAUUCCUCGUGAUGCCAAAUGGGAUGCGAGAUGCCCGGAGGUGUGUGCCGGAGGUUCCUCGCGAUGCCAAGUUGGGUGCGAGCGAUAUAUGAGAGAUGCAAACACUAGUCCCUAGGAGAAAGAUGAGAUCCUUUUGAAUAUCAAAAUGGGAAUUGAAUCAUGAACGUGUGUGUGUGCAUAUGACAUGGGAUAUAAUUGCCUAUGAAAUUAAGUUGAUACUAUAUGGCAUUGAGAAUGCGAUCAUGAAAGCAUUGAAUGGAUCUCAUGAGGAUAUAUAUAUAUAUAUAUAUAUGAUUGUAUGGGUGAUAUGGAUCAUGCGCAUGUAUGUGUAUAUGGCAUGGGAUAUAAUUGUCUAUGAAAUUGAAAUUGAGUUGAUACUAUAUGACAUUGAGAAUGCGAUCAUAAAAGGCAUUGAAUGGAUCUCAUGAGAAUAUAUAUAUAUUGCCUUAAUGAAUGCAUCUCAUAGAGAUAUAAGCAUGAUUACAUGGAUGAUAUGUGCAUUUCACAUGAAAUUGUGAUUGUCUUGCUUGUUGCAUUGUGUAGUUUAAUGGAUCUUUACUGCCAAGUGGUUGUACUCACCUUGUUUGGGGACUAACAUUUCAGACUAGAUAAGAUACCUUUGCUACCGGUAGAUGGAUUCGCGUGGUUGGAUAUAACCACGAGGAGGAGGAUAGCAAAGGAAUGAACUUUUAGAUGUCAACAUUGAACGAUAGACCUUUAAGUAUAUGACUGUUGGAAAAGAUAUCGGUCAUCUUUUGAAGUAUAACCAAGUAUAUAAGACAUUGGCAUUUUUUAUGUAUCGGCUAAUGAUGUCCAUCAAGUUAUGUAAAUAAAGGUGUUUAGCUUUAACUUAUAUAAAAUGUUUAGUUGGUGUGCACUAUUUUCUGAAUAUAGGGAAGGGAGUUGAUGGAUGUGCUUUUGCCAUAUAAAUUGCGCAUGGACCGAUCUAAAAUAUAUAAACCCCCAAGAUUGAUAGGCCUUCAGGUCAAGUAAGAAAGGUAAGCAAACUGUGGCGAUCCCAACAGAUCGGGGGCCGUCGAGGGGUGCCAUAGUAGGAUCCAAAAAUAAUUUCACAUUUGAGAGAAUGAGUGCAAGUGGCUAUAGGCAUGGAUCCUAGCUUGCAAGCCUCCAUUUGAGCACAAUCAAGAAUUGACAAAACAUAUUGCGGUUGGCACAAAUAAAGGCUAUCAAAAAAUAUCCUAAUCUCCACAACCAUGAAGUAAUGUAAUGGCUCUGUAUCCUUCAUCAUAAAUUCACUACUCAAUGAAGAAAUAAAUCCAUCGAGCAAGUUUGGAUCAUUACUGAUGCCAAUCAUAUCGUCCACAAAUAAAAGUAGACCUAGAAUGCCAUGAUCUGAUUUUUGAACGAAAAACGAAGGACCAAAAUGCUGCAAAAGAAACCCAAUGGUAAAAGAAAGAAGCUAAAAUGAUCAAACCAUGCUCUUGAUGCUUGCUUGAGGCCACACAAAGCUCUCUCAAUUUGCAAAUAUAAGACAGGUAUAUUUCGUCCUCAAAAGAAGGGGGUUGCUCCAUAUAAACAUAUUGUGGUAGAAAUAAAUAUCUAUAUUAAAAAAAAAAUUAAUGGGGAGUAGGUUAAAAAAAAAUAAAAUUCAAAGCCCACUUGCAUCAAUCCUACACUUUCACUACUCUCCCUCCUAUACAUCCAAAAAGUCCCUCUUUUCAUCUAAUUUAUAGAUAUAUGACACAAAUUUUUGAGGAAAAUUGUCCAAAAAGUCCUAAACCUAUUACACUUUUGCCAAUUCAGUCUUAAACUAAUUUUGCCAAUUGAAUCCUAAACCUUUUCAUUUCUUGCCUAUUCAGCUCAUCUGGCCAAUUUUGGCCAGAAAAUGUUGAUGUGGAUGCUAGCGGUGCCACGUAGGACUACUAGCACUGACGUGGAUAAUUUUUAAUAACAUUUUAAUAUUUUUAAAUAUUUUUUUUGAAUUUUGAAUUUUGAAAAUUUUUUUUUUUGGCUUUUUCCUUGGCCUUUUCCGGUGGCUGGCCAAGGAAAAAGAAAGGGUGAAAAGUGUUGGUUGUAAAACAAACAUGCCUCUUUUCCUUGUCCACGUGAAAAAGUUGGGAGGACAUAAACUAUUUUAUAAGUAUGAACUUCUUCUAAUUUACUUAAAAGAAAAGAAUGAGUUGUAGGUUAGAUUCACAAUAUUCACUUGCAGGUGCGUGAAUAUUAGGUGUAGUGACAUAUGCACCCGCGGUAUAGUUAGCACUAUUUUUUUAAAAAAAUUUAUUUUAUACAAUUUUCUUAUUAAUAUUUAUUUGUUGAAAUGUUAUGUUUAUUCAUUUAGUAUUUUUGGAAAUUGUGAAAUUCAUAAUUUUAUUACAAAAAUUAAUAAUCUGUUAAUUAUUCUUUUUCUGAAUUUUUAUGUCUUUUCAAGAUAACAUUUGAAAAUAUACUCGUUCAUUUUGUAACUUUGAAAAUUAAUUAAAUAUGUUAGUUUUGGCAUGAAUGUGUAUGGAAUAUUUUCGACUGUUCUUCCAUAACUACAAUCAUCAUUUCAAUUAUUUCCUUUAAGAGAUCAUGGAGCAAUAUUGGAAUUGUUAUAUAGUAUUCUUAAUCGAGACUUUGUUGUAUUCUAAAAAAUAUUUGCCGUGGGGCCUCUUUACCAUUAUGUAUAAAUGGGCUAUAAAAAAGGUGAUAUCACGUUUUAAAAUCUGAUUUUAUUAUUCUAUUCAAUUUGAAGCCAUGUUUUCGAACAUAGUGUCCUUGUUCCUUGGUGCUUCAACCCUGCACCUCGCUGUAACUCGUUUGACACAUUUUCUGGCCACCGCCCAACGAGGACGUUGGAUUUGCAAGCAUUCGGACCUGCUCCACUUCGUUGCUCCACCCCUGCAAUCUACGUUUGCUAAGCCACCAUUGUUGCACUAAGCCAAGCUUCCGACAAGGCUUGCUGAUUUGCCAUCUAUCCUGCUGUUGCUCUUGUUCCCUGGCUCGACGACGUUGCUGAGUUCCUUGCCCAAGGUCGAUGUUGCUGUUCCCUGCUCUUUCGACGCCUGCUUCGUCCAACAAGGCUGCCGUUCUGCUUAGCUUGUUACAGCUGUUUCUGUUAGGUAUGAAGAAGUUCUCGCCAAUGUUCGGCCAAGUUUCUACCCCUAUCCGUGACCUCACUUCCAGCCAAGAGUCGUCGCUGGGCUCUCUUGCUCGCUGUGAUCCCACUGAUCCGAAGCAGGCCUCUUCACCGAGACGCCCAUGGGCGUCAUUGGCCGUACCGAGAGCCCCCAUCGAGCUCACUCCUUGCCACUCAAGUCCGCCAUGCACCACCGUGAACCGGUCGUGAAGCCGCCCACCAUUCGUCACUCACUGCGAUUCCUCGCGUUGGUCACGUCCAUGAGGAGCCUAGUCGAUCGUCACCCGCUGGUCUGAUUGGGAGUUUGCAUAUUCAAGUUAGUCUAAUCCAAUCUUAGACUUGAUAUUUUAUUUCCUAAUUUGAACUAAUGUGAUUUUCCGCAUUAAGAUUUUUUUGAUUAUGUUUGUUUUUAUCAUUAAUUAGUGCUCUAUCAAGAUCGCAAUAUAAUCAUUAAUAUGAGCUGUGAGUGGACGGGUCAUUUUUUUGUUAUGUUUGAGUGCCCUAUCAAGAUUGCAAUAUCCAUUAGUUUAAGAUGCAAUAUGAUGACUUAUUUUUAUUGAUAUCAUAAUCUUUUAUUUGAAUCUUGAUGGAUAUCCUAAGUGAUUUUUGCUAUGUUUGAAAUUUUGAUUAGAUAAUAUUGCCCAGUUUAAAUUGGAUUGCAUGUUAUGAUUUUUUUUUUUUUUAAAACUUAGAGUAUAUUCUAGAUAUGAAUUGUCUUUACGGAUUUUAGAUAAUGUCUGCAUAUUCAUAUAAUGUUGCAUGAUUAUAAUGGUUUUCUAAAAUAGGAUAUGGUUUAGGUCAAAUUAUUCCCUAAUCUAGACUGGAUGACUUUUUAUUUUAGACAGUUUAAUUUGGGCAUUUACCAAUUUCGAAUUUUAAUAAAAACACCAAAAUAUUGCAUGCAUGUCCUAUGCCAUGUUAUAUUGCUAUGCCAUUUGUGUGUCCCAUAGUGUGUAUGUUAGGUUCAUUUAAUUAAAACUUGCACAUCAUUAGAGCUAGGUCAUGUAAUUAAAAUUGCAUGUCAUACAAACUAUUUUAUUUUCAAGAUAAAAGAAAACCAAAAAAUAAUUGCUUGCCAUGGUGUUUAAUUUCCUACAAUUUAUUACUUUGAUUAUUGAGUGUUUUGAUAAUGUUUGUGCACUUGCAAAAUUACUCCAUUGUGUGUUAAUGAUUUAGGCUAAAAUCAAUAUCCAAGCUACCUAUAAAUUUUUUUUUGAAAAUAAAAGAGAAUUGUGUUAGAAUAAUUUAGCGUAACCAAAUCUUUGAACUCACAUUCUCUAGCUUGUAGGAGUGAAUUACAAUUCCCAAUACUUUACUUGGGUAUCUAAUUAACUCAUAAAAAACUAAUUAGUGACAACAGCUGUAUAAAAAUUAUUUGCAUGUUAAAUGACUUUAACCUAAGUUGUGAAGAGUUUAGGAGAGCUCGAGCUAAAUUGAACUCAUUAAUUCCUUAGCCAACCUUAAGUGGUGCACCCACUUGGGGAAGCUCGCAACAUAUCUUUGCAUGUUCUCGAGUUUUUUCGUCAAUUAAAUUCUAGCACAAUUUGUGCAUGUGUUGUCAUGAAGGUGGCUAUACUUUCAAGCUUUGUCGUCGAUUAAAUUCCAACUAGAUUUGUACAGCAUUUUGGUUUGAAAUUUGAAGUAUAAGUUUGCGGUUAUUUAUUAUUUGCCUAGAUAUUCAUAUUCGGAAUCAUCAGAAAACAUGUCUCUUAUCCUAAUAACCCACAUUUUAUUGGAUUUUAUUACUUGAACUCAUUUUAACUCAUUCAGUAAAAUUAAGCUAACUCAUAUAUGACCCAACUCAUCAUAUAUGAGUUGAUAAAUAAGUUUUCAACCUAUUUUGACACCUCUACAUAUGACUAGACGUGUGCCCUAUUGCUGAUGAAUCUACUUCAUAUCUUAUACUUUCCCAGCUUCACAAGGAUUCUUUAAAAAUAGCGAACUUUCUUUAAUCAGUUCUUUUUUAAAUCAUUCUUUGAGCAAGAAAGAAAUGUCCUCUAGUUGGCUUAUUUGGGACUUAAACUGAAUGUGUUGCUCGGGCUAAAGGGACCUGGAAUGAGGUUGUCAAUUUGCAUAAUUAGAACUUAAUGUAGAAAACCGAUUCAUCAACAUGAUGGAUUAGUCGGGUGAUGGAAUUAGUUGCUUUUGGAUUAAAUUGAUGUUUCGCAAGAUAUUUAUGUUCUGAGUUUACUAAUUAUGGUAGUUAUUAUGGAUCCAACUGCUUUUGGAUUGGAGCUCUUUAGCAGUUAUAAUGGAUUCAAGCUCUUAUCGAUUGGAGCUCAUAAAUGAUUGCAACCGAUUGUACAAAACAAGGGAAGUAUUUGAAUUGCACACAAGAUUAUUACAACCUAUUUCAUGUGCCAUGUGAAGUUAAUUUACGAGAAGUUAAAUGAUUGUCAUAAGCUAACUGUACACACAUAAUAUCAUUGCAUCACUGUUUGCGAUGACUUUUUUUCUUCUUCCUACAUGCAAUGUAUGCACAAGGGAAGUGCAUUGAGUACUAGAUAUGAUACUCAAGUAAGAUAACUUGAAUAUGUCAAACAUACAAAAUAAAUAUUUAUCACCAGAUAUAAAGAAAAAGAAGUCUUAUUUUAAAUCUAGUGUCACAUCAAAUAUAUAAAGUCGGUACCCAAAUUAGCAUUAUGUGUAUUCAAUCCAUAUGAGCCCUUCAAUUUAAAGUAGCACUUGUGAAAUUCAUCGAAUUCGAAGGCUAAUACACUGAUCGGGAGAUCGCGGGCGUUGCGUGCGUGCAAUUCGAAUCCUCGGACCCAAAAUGUGACUUGCGCAUCCAUGGCUAGUUCCGUAGGACUUCUCCAUCCUGAAGCAUUGGGCUUGGGCAACCCCGAACACUAUUCCCAUCUCUCUCUCUCUCUCUCUCUCUCUCUCUCUCUCUCUAAAUUCACCUCCGCUCUCUCUCCAUUCAGCUCAAUACAAACACCAAGAACAUAAGGCACUCCAUAACAGAAACUUGCGGAACCAUGGCUCUGCCCUCGAACGAGACCAACUGAUCGUCCAAUUCAACGAGCAACAGUCCUGGGAGAAGUGGUCCAUCUACAGGGUCCCCACCCACGUCACCGACCACAACCGCGUGGCCUACCAGCCGCUGGCUGUCUCCUUCGGCCCCUACCACUACGGCGAGGAACACCUCCUCCCCAUGGAGGAACACAAGCACCGUGCAUGCUACCGCUUCUUCAUGCCGUCGGGGAGGCCCCUCGAGCGCUUCCUUGAGUCCCUAAGGGGGGUGGUGGGGGACCUCAUGGCAAGCUACGUCGCGCUGGACCCAAAGUGGAAGGAGGGCAGCGAGGGCACCGUGCGCAGGUUCCUGGAGCUGAUGAUCACUGAUGGCUGCUUCAUGCUCAAGAUCCUGAGGUACGCGACCGACAAGGGCAAUGACUAAGGGCCCAACGACCCCAUUUUCAGCAACUACGGUAUGGUCUACAUAAUGAAGCACAUUAGGCGGGACAUGCUCGUGCUGGAGAAUCAGCUUCCGACGCAAUUGCUGGAUCGGCUGGUUGCUGUCGAGAGCAAUGGCCAGCAGGUUACUUUCUUAGAUUUCGCUCCGUCAUAAGAGGUUAUUGCACGCACGGAAACCAGGUACCAUGUGCACCUAACGGCACAUCCCGGUGAUCUUAUAUGAAUACCGUGUGGGAUCCAUCGACUCUAAUGCUCCCAACUUGUUGGACGCACAAUUAAUAAUUGCAUUAUUCAAUCUAUCACUGCUAUCGAAAACUUAUUUUUUCUUUCCUGUUUAAAGCUAGUACUAAUCGAUAUGACAGCAAUCUCAUAUUCAACGCACUGACAUUACUCCAACAAUGCGGGAUGAAAAAUUCAUUAAUAGGCUCAUCCUCGAGUUCUGCUCUCCCGGCACGCACAUCCCGAGGAUGGGCAAAUGCCUGCACAUCCUGGACGUCUUCAGAAAGAGCUUGCUGCACCAUGUGGAGAAGCCCAAUAUCCCGCAUGAGUAGGACGAGGGCGGCAAAAAGAUAAUCCAACCGGCCGUCGAGCUCAACUCUGCCAAGAUUCGGUUCAAGAAGAGCAAGACCAACAGUCUCAGGGACAUCUCCUACGCCAGGGGGGAUCCUGAGGCUCCUCGUGAUCGAGGUGGAUGACACUACCGAGUCUGUGUUCCUCAACUUCAUCGCACUCGAGCGCUUCCACAUUGGGGUGGGUACAAGGUCACGACCUACAUCUCCUUCAUGGACGACAUCAUCGCCAACGAGCGGGACGUCCAGCUACUCCAAACCCAUGGUAUCAUCCACAAUGCCAUCAGGAGCGAAAAAGCGGUCACCGAGCUGUUCCGCUCCCUGUCCAAGGAUGUGGUGCUCGACCCUGAAAGCAGCCUCGACGCUGUGCGCAAGAGGCUCAAAAGGUACUGCCAGAAACCCUGGAUCAUGUGGAGGGCUAAUCUCAUCCGCACCUACUUCAGUAAUCCUUGGCUUGUAUGGUCUCUUAUGGCCGCCAUCUUCGCCUUGGUGCUCAGCAUAAUUCAGACCGCGUACACCGUGCUCACCUACAACCCGAAUUCUCAGUUUCCCACUCUAAAAUAAUCUUUUUUUCCAUAUUCUGGUUUUUCUCCUAAUGGCUGAUGCUCAAUAAUUAUCUUUUCAUUGGUUGGCGAUUGUAGUUAUAAAUGAUUUCCACCGUCUUUAGUCAUGUUCAUUUCCCUCUUAAAAUGUUUUGAACGAUGGACAUUUCGCUGAUUAUUUAUCAUUAUCAAGUGACGAUUUCAGUCUUUUUCAUGUUUGCCCAAUUUGGAUAGGUAAUGUGAAGGAUGAUCAAGUUUUAGACAAAUGAAAUCUUCCAUUGCCACAUUUUCUUCUUGAAUAAAUUCGUGAGGUUGUCGUGAACUCAAGUGAAAAACAAGUAUGGCCUUCUAAGUCAUCUCUAAUACUCAAAUUUCAAAGAUUUGGACUAGUGUCCCCGGAAAAUUUUAAACCACAUCUUAAACAAUAAUGUGAAAUCUUUUCAUGAUUUUUGGAGCACAAUUAGGCGUCCGAAAUGCUCGUUCUCGAAUUUGUUGAAUCCUGGAAAUUUACUAUGUUUUGACCUGAAGUAUAUAAAAUUAUUAGGACUCGUACAAGCUCAAACAGGUCUUGAAUUCUCCAUGAAAAACAUUCUUUGGAGACUCGUCCACAUUGUGUUAAAUUUUUGUGAUUUUUAGAACUGAUUUGCUUUGCAAAUGCCCUUGAUUUCUACAUAUGGGCGAGCUGCCCUUUUUCUGUCGAUUUUGGCUAAAACUCCCUUUUGUUACCCGUCCUUUUGAACUAGUACUGCCAACUUAAUGUUUGUAUCACUUCUCUGGUUUACAAAGGAUAGUUGAGGGUGGACAUUGAACUAUUCCCAUACAUUAACUCAGUGGAUGGCAUGUUUAAAUUGAAAUAUUGAAUUGUUGCACUAUGAGAUGAGUGUGUGAUUUGGGAAUGCCGUUGGUCCUUCUGAUGACAAUGCCUCAAGUGGUAAUAGGGAUGCAUGGAGGGAUAACUAAUUUCCUCCAAAUGCUUGGGGGUAUUGAUAUUGCUAGUACGAGUACCUAGAGGGGGGUGAAUAGGUUUAUAAAAAUUUUCUUGAAGAUUGCACAAUACUUAGACAGAUGAAGGAUUUGCAAUAAUUAAAAAAUCAAUCGUAAGACUGAGUAAAGGAAAGAGAGAAUUGAACACGCAAUUUAUAGUGGUUCGGCUUGAUUCAAGCCUACGUCCACUCUUCUGCACUGACAGCCGAUUGGCUGGAUUCCACUAUGAACAAAGAGAUGUUACAGUGUUGAUCUUCCUUGAUUUCUAGGUGUAGAUGAUCUACUACACUCGCUCAAGGUAUCACCAAGUAUAAACACUCUCUGUGUAUACAAUUUCGCUCGAACUGUAUCGACUAACAAUCAAGGUUCUUCAGACUCUUGAAUUUUUCUAUCAAUCACACCCUUAAAACAACUAGAACGUCUUCCUUUUAUACUCCUUUAUGCCAUCAUAGCCGUUGGCACUUACCAAAGGAAUUCCUCCAAUCUACCCGUUGGACGGAAUCAAUUAAGAAGAUCAUCCGAGCUAUUUAAGGAAUCUGAUGAUAGCCCAUCAAUCCUGUUCGCCCAUACAAUCAGGAUUUUGGUUUCCAAGAAUAGAACAUUCCAAGAAUGUUUCGUCGAUCAUCGGAUCUUCAAAUGAUCUUAGAUAAGAAUCAAAGAAUCCGAAAUGAUUAUCCAACCAAGGGAUCUUUUCCAGAGGAUAGGAUCGAAUCCUCAACCAUAUACUUCGGCUUUGGAUUUCCUUCGUCACUGGAUUAGAAAGACUGUCAGUGAGAAUAGUCUUGAGUCUUGAGUCUUGAGUCUUGAGAUUACAAAGUCUUGAGACUUUAAACUGUCGAUAUCCAGACUAGACUGAUAGAAAUGUUUUGUCAGCUUCAAAAUAUUCUGGAAAGAUUUCUCCAACAAGUAUAACACAGUUUUCCCAGAUAUCCUCACGAUGCCAGAUGAGUGUGAGAUGCCCGGGGGGUAACGGGGUUUCCCAGAAGAUGAUGGCAGCUAAUUCAUAGCAAAUAUGAUCAUUGACAUUUUCAGAUUUCAUUUGAGCUUUAUUGGUUUACUAUUUUUAAAGGAAAUGUUUUUCACCUACUAUUAUAAUUUUGAAAAAAGGUUCUCUAUCAAGUUGAUUUCAAAAUGGUCUUCUAUAUUUUAUUCUAAACUUUCUUGUAUGUGCCAAAAUUAACAUAUGUAGUAUGGAUUGGUUGGUAGUUUGUUUGUUGAGUUUAUACUCACUAUUGGUGGAUUAUUAUUUUUCAAAUGAGUAGACAUGCCACCAUUACCAGCAUCCCCCAUGACCCUCUACGAUGCUUUGAUAAAUUUCACAUGGCACCAAACUAAGCUGCAUGACCCCAACUUUCCUAAUGUCACCUUCAUCCAUGUCAUUGCGUUAUCGACAGUCGAUGUCGGUCUACCAUCGGGCCCAAGGCUAAUUGGAUUCGUCCUCGUCUACGCUUGGAUCGAUGGGCGAUGGAGAUAGCGGGGUCGAAUAUGACAAGGAUCGGAGGAUGAGGAUAGCAUUUUUGGAAGACUAGGCAGUUUGGAUGAGUUAGGUAAUCUUGUAGAUAUACGGUAUCAUGGUCGGAGUGGUACAGUUGAUGGAAUUUUCAUAUAGUCCAAAGUAGGAAUAUUUCGGUAAAUCCCCAAUUUACCUGACCUAGGUUGCCCAAAAGUAUCUAAAACUAAAGGAAAUGAAAUUAUCUUGGUUUAUAGUCCUACGCGCAUUCCUUGAAUUUCGUAUGUCCUGGGUGAUUAUUGGUCUAUAUAUAUGUUUCCGCAUGCCUAAAAAGUGGAAAGAUUUGGAUAGGCACGUUAGCCGUGACGUGCUGGAGACGUCACAAUGUGUCUAUAUGAUGGUCAAAGGAUAGCUACAAAAGUUAUCUUUCUCCAACGCAACGGCAUGGAAAUUACCAAGCAAAACGCUGAUAUUUCUCCCUCUCAUGGAAAACGUGUGGCAAGGUUCACCAUCUACUUUUCAAUUUAAUGGUACGGUUAGCCAAACAUAGUAGAGCGGGAAUAAAAUAGGAGGGAAGGAUACGAUUGUGCAAGUCAAAUGCACAUAUGUUAUAAUAGACAUGUAACUAGCGUUAAGCACGCCCUAUGCGUGAACGCAAAGUUAAAUAGGUUUAUAAGAAGAAGACUAAUAGACCGAAAGUUAACUCUAAAAAGUAAAAAAUAGAAGGCAUUUUUCUAGAAGAGGAAAUGGGUGAAGACUGAGAUAAUUGUCAUUUAGUGGGGCCAGUGAGCGCAUAAAUGGUGGAUGUGGAUAAAAUGAAGGCAGUUAACUUUUUCUUAUUAAGGAUGUUUUUGGAAGGAAUAGAAAGCGAGAUAAAACAAGUGUAAUGCUUAGCCAACCGUACCGUUAGCUGGAAAAAGGGACGGUGAAUCCUCAUCCACACGUCUUGGAUGAGAGAGAGGGAGACUUGUCUCUUGCUUGAAAUUUCCUAGCGCUUGUGUAAAGGAAAUAUCCUUUGACUGUCACACCGUCUCACGGUGAUGCUAACACCACUCAUAAAACAAUAUUUUGACUUAAAUGUCUUUUGUGAAUAUUAAGCUCAAAACUCUAUUGUCAAGUAUUGACUAGCAGAUAACUUAGCUGGAAAGCAAUGCGCAAAGGAUGGCGGAGCCCACUUGUCCAUAUCCUCUCCAUCGGGAAAAUUGUCUAAAAAAUCUUAAAUCUAUUACAUUUUUAUUAAUUUAGUCUCAAACAUUUUAAUUUUAUCAUUGAGUUCUAAUUUUUUUAUAUGAUUUUUCAAUUGAAUCCAUCCGCCAAUUUAGCUGGAAACUGUUGAUAUGGACAUUAAACAUUUUAUGUGACACGGUUGACGCUGAAGUGAAUAAUUUUUAAUAAUAUUUUAAUUUUUUUCAAAUUCAUUUUUUUCUUUUUCCUUUUUCUUUUUUUUUAAACCCUCGCCUAGCGACCGGCCACAAGUGUCACCCUUUGGCUAGCAAGGGCUAUGACGCUCUUGCAUCACCCAAGCGAAGUGAGCGCAUUGCGGUCCUAGCCUAGACUAGGCAAGGGCAUUGCGGCCCUAGCCAACCAAGGGCAAGGGUUGUGACCCUCACUUGGAUCUAGGUGAGGGCCAACAUCCUCACAUGUGGCUAGUGAGGGCCUGGAGGCCCUUGCCCGUGACUAGCUAGGGCAACAACGCCCUCGCCUAGGGAGGGCUAGCCUACGGUUAUUAAAAGAAUAAUAAUUUGAAAAAUAUAAAAAUAUUAUAAAAAAUUAUCAACGUUAAUGUCGGUCGUGCCAUAUAAGAUGCUUGCAUUCACAUUAGUGAUUUUUUUAUUAAAAUUGGCUAAAUGAACUCAAUUGACAAAACGUGAAAAAAAAAUUUAGAUCUUCAUUGACAAAAUUGAAAGACUUAUGAUUAAAUUAAUAAAAAUAUAAUAAAUUUAAAACUUUUUGGACAAUUUUUCCUUUAUCUAUCAGCUUCUGCCUCUAUAAUUGCAUUCCACAUACAUCACUCCAUUACAUCACAAGGAUGCGCCGUCUGAUGGGGCAUUGUUCCACUACUGUUUUGUUGUUGCACAUAUUCCUGACGAAGAAAUACACAUGGGGGAAGUCAUUCUCUUUUUGCCAUACCUGCCUUUGGAAUUUUUUGGCCAGUCUAAUAUCAUUAAAAUUCUCCAUACAAAAAUUCUUGACUACACAUAUGCAUUUGUGUAUCUAGGGGCAUAGAAUUUCGGACAUGCCUUGCUUCGGGGGAAUUUUUCUUUUUUUUAAGAGCCAAAUUUAUAUGGAUCUGAUCAAUUGCAAUAGUUGGUCAUGUGGAUCCUGCAUGACGUCUAUAUAUAUAUCACAUAAUCAACUAUUAUGAUUGCAUUUGGUUCACAAAAACGGUUCUAGGGAAGGAUAUUUUUAGGCAAAAGAUGGGCGAAUCUCUUUGGCUCGUUCGAUCAAUAGCCCAUGAUCAGGGAUAUCUAAGUGGUGGGUAAAUCUAUUGUCAAUCUGGCCGAAUCUGGUCAGAAGGUUCCUUAAGAGUUUGACAGGACUCCUUCGCAUCUUUAGUAUCAGACGAUGAAUUUUUUUUUUUUUUAAUGAUUAGCACAUAAUUGCUCCUCUUUCUUAGGGAGCCGAUACUAAUCGUCGGAGGCUAAUCUUGGCUUUUGAGGUGAAGCGCAAAAUGGUCCGUGCCCGAUGUGCAUCCUUCACUUAAAAUCCUGCAGCUUCUUCUAGGGUUACAUUGUGUUGAUACAGUGCCGACAACCAAAAAAAUCAUUUACACUAAAAACUUCAUGGAUAACGUAAUGGACAAAGUCAUUUAUAACAUGAUAGGCUUGCAAAAUUACAUUAUUUUAAUCGUAACAUUGACUUAAUCUAGUACAAUGAAUUUGGUAAUGACUUCAUCUGGACAACAUUUAAAUAGUCUCACUUUUAAAUCUCAUGAAAGAUCCAUGAUGACUUUGACUCGUGCUCCCAAAUUUUUGUGCCUUAAUGCUAAUGGAUAUACUUCAUAACUUAUACUUCCCCAGCUUCACAAGGAUUCUUCUCAGAGUAAUAGUAGCGUACUGCUUCAGUCAGCUCUUCUUCUUUUUUUACUCAGUCUUUGGUCAAGAAAGGAGUCUCCUCCAUUCGGCUUAUUUGGACCAAAACUGAACGUGUUGCCCGGGCGAAAGGGACCCGGUAUGAGGUCAUCAAUAUGCGUAAUUAGAACUUAACGUGGAAAACGGAUUCAUCAAAAUGAUGUAUUCAUUUGCGACUAAAAAAAAUGAUGUAUUCAUCUGUUCGGUUGAUGGAAUUAGUCACUAUUGGAUUAAAUCCACGUUCCACAAGAAAUAUGUAUUUAGAGUUUACUAAUUAUAGCAGUUAUAAUGGAUCCAUGUUCUUCUUGAUUGGAGCUCAGAAAUGCCCGUCGUUGAUUGUGUGAAACAAGUGAAAGUAUUUGAGUUUCACACAAGAGGGUUACAACCUGUCUUGUGUACUAUCUGAAGUUAAUGAAUGAGAAGUUUUAUGAUUGUCAUUAGCUAACCGUGCACGCAUAAAAACAUAGCAUCACUAUUCGUGGUCAUUUUUUUUGUUUUUCCUACAUGUGAUGUAUACACGAAAGAAGUGCGAGUACUAAAUAUGUAACUCCAGUAUUGCCAAAUAUAACAAAAAAGUACUAUUUUAAUUCUAGUGUCGCAUGAAAUAUGCAAAGUCCGUACCCAAAGCGGCAUCCAAUGUAUUCAAUGCAUACAAGCCCUUUGAUUUAGAGAGACCCUGGUGAAAUUCAUCAAAUUCAAAGGCUAAUACACGGUCGGGAGAUUACGUGCCUUGCGGGCUCUGAAUUCGAAUCAUCUCGCACGAAACGUGAGUUACAAGUGCAUGGCUUGUCCCCAAAUACCUCUUCGCUCUUCCCAUCUGUCUCCAUAAAUUCUCCUCUUCUCACACUCCUUUCAGCUUAAGAAAAUAGAACGUAGGACACUCCAAAACAGGAACCAUGCCGCCGCGGGACCGGUACGAGACCAACUGGAUCGUCGAAGUUAACGAGAGCCUCAAGUGCAUGCCCCCCGACGAGCAACGGCACUGGAAGAAGCGGUCCAUCUACAGGGUUCCUGCCUGUGUCACUGACCUCAACCGCAAGGCCUUCCAGCCACAGGCUGUCUCCUUUGGCCCCUACCACCAUGGCGAGAUCCACCUCCGCACCAUGGAGGACCACAAGCACCGCGCGCUUCUCCACUUCCUCAGGCGGUCUGGGAAGCCUCUCGAUCCCUUCCUCGAGUCCCUGAGGGAAGUGGCGCGGGACCUCGAGGAGAGCUACGACGCACUGGACCUGGAGUGGAAGGAGUGCGGUGGUGAGGGCGCAGCAAACCGGUUCCUGAAGCUGAUGAUAACUGACGGAUGCUUCAUGCUUGAGAUCCUGAGGAGCGCGACACAGGCAGUGGAUGACUAUGAGCCUGACAACCCCAUGUUUUACACCCACAGGAUGCUUUCCAUAAUGCCAUACAUAUGGCCAGACAUGCUGAUGCUGGAGAAUCAGCUGCCGAUGCUAGUGCUGGAUCGGCUGGUCGCCGUCGAGAGUGAUGGCAAGGAGGUUAGUUUCUUAGAUUUUGCUUUGUCAGAUUCACUAACAGUACAUCUUGAUGAUCACAGAUGGGCUAUGUGGACCUCACAUGGGAUCCAUCAAAUCAAAUACUCCAAACCUGUUGGAUGCAUGAUUCGAUCAACUGAGAACAUGAUUACUAAAUCUAUCACCACUAUUGGAAACUUCUUCUUAUUUUUAUUUUAUUUUAUUUUAUUUUUUCACUUUAACUCAAGUACAACUGAUACGACAACGAUCUCACAUUCAAAUGCACUGACUUCACACCGACAACUCAGGAUGACGAAUACAUCAACAGGCUCAUCCUCAAUUACUGCUCCCCUGGCAAGAACACGGUGAGGAUAGGCAAAUGCCUGCACGUCCUGGACGUUGUCAGGAAGAGCCUACUACUCCAUGAGAAGCCCAAGCUGGACAAGGUGGGGUGUGAGGGCCUUCUAUUAGUCCGGUCAGCUACUGAGCUCAACGAGCAUGGGAUCCGGCUCAAGAAGAGCAAGACCCGCAGCCUCACGGCCAUCUCCUUUGCUGGCGGGGUUCUGAGUCUCCCUGAAAUCGUGGUGGAAGAAGCAACCGAGUCCAUGUUCCUCAACCUCAUCUCAUUUGAGCGCUUCCAUGUCGGGACCGGGAACGAGGUCACAUCCUACAUCUACUUCAUGGACUACAUCAUCGCCAAUGAGUGCGAUGUCACGCUUCUCCACACCUUGGGCAUAGUCCUGAAUGUCCUGGGGAGCGACAAGGAGACCACCGGGCUGUUUCGCUUGCUGGCCAAGUACACAACUAUUGAACCCAACAGCGGUCUCAUUUCUGUGUGCAAUAAGGUCAACGAGUACUGCAACAAGCCCUGGAACAAGUGGAGGGCCAAUCUCCUUCAGACCUACUUCAGGAGUCCUUGGGCUUUAUUGUCUCUCGUUGCGGCUAUCUUCCUCUUCGCACUCACUAUAAUUCAGACCGUAUAUGCCGUGCUCAGCGAUUGAACCCACAAUUUGCCUCUCUGUACAAUAAUUUUCCCUUUCCAGUCAUGUUCAUUUCCCACUUUAAAUGUACCGAAUGAUGGACAUUUGGCUGUUCGUUUAUCAUUAUCAAAUGAUUCUCUUAUUUUAGUCUUCUUCAUAUUUGUCCAUGUUGAAAAUUGUGAUCCAUUUUCCAAAUUCUAUAGAUCUCUCCUCAACUAUGUCAAGAAUGGCGGUGGCUGAAGAAAAAAAUUAACGUGGGAAUGCAAGCAAGCAUCAGCUAAAGAAAUAGUAAGCAGAAGCCAAGUUGGAGAAGACUUAGGUGGGAAAAAUUUUAAAAAAGUCAAAAGAGUUGAGGCAUCCCCGUGAAGAAGGAAGUUGCCUUACACGUGUCAAGAAAGGUCGGUCGAUUAUUUUAAAGAGCCUAUAAAUAGAGCCUACGUAUGCUAGGUCGCGUGUGGGGUUUAGCCCUCCACCAAGUCUGUGGAGGAGUAAGCUCAAUAUACAUAUCCUAUACUCCUCCCCCGACAACUCCUUCAACUAUAUUUGUAAUACCAUUUUCAUAAACUAAUGAAACUAUUCUUGUCCCCUAAACUUUGUUUAUAACCUAUCUUUGUCCAUUCCUCUGCAUCAACUAGACCAUACACGUAUGCAUUGGAACACACGCUUCCACUAAUACUAGUAGUCCAAUUAUGUGAAGUAUGGUCUAGUUUUAGGCAAAUGAAAUCUUCAAUUGCACCAUAUUCUUCCUGAUUAAAUUUUAGCAGAUUUCAAUGAAUUUAAGUGAACAACAAAUUUGGCCAUCAAAGUCAUUUCUCUUCCCCCAUCAGCUUCAAAUUUCAAAGUCAUCUAUAUAUUUUCCGGUUGUCAAGCACACUUUUAUACUGAAAAAGAAAUAUUUUGAAACUUCCGACAUCCUUCCCAAGAUAGAAUAAGGGAAAGAUAUAACAGUUCUAAAUCGCCAUUAUAGAAUCCUACAUCAAAAUAAGAUAACAACAAACCGUUAAUUAUCCAACCAAGAAAAAAAAUUGUUAAUUAUGUAUGUAGAAUGUUAAGAUUAUGUCUCCAGUUUCGGCAGGUUUCCCAGUUUGAAGGGUCUGAACAAUCGCUUGUUAUUGAUCCUUAAAUCUUGACGACACAAUUAAACAUUUAUCGUAUAGAAAAAUUAAAGAUCAAACCAACUCAAAAACAAAAAUAUUAAUUAAAUUGCAUAUAAGUAUUAAGAACAUUUUAAUUAAGCCCAUAUAAUAUUCAUUAAUGGACUAAAGCAAGGGGGUUUUGAGCUUAAUUAAAUUAUUUGAACUAAGCCUGGGACAAUAAGCAUAUCUUGAUAUUCACAAUCAAAAUACAUGGGAGCUCCAAAAAGCAAUGACAGUGGGAGGUCCAUCUUACAUGUAUUUAAAAAUAAACGAGCAAGCCAAAACCUAAUAAGAGCCAAAACUAAUAAAUGAAAUCUUUAAAUUUAAGGCAAAACAUCAUCUUACUACUCAAUUACAUGAGAGACAAGCACAAAAAAAAAAAAAAAAAAAAACAUGUGUGACAAAAGUAGGAGUAAAUGCACUAUCUUCUUAUCAACAGUUAGAAAAAUUUACUCCUUCAUUUGUCAUACAUGGUUAUUUACUCCAUUUGUUUAAGGUAAGUGAUCAUCUUAUUGCUCAGCAUCUGAAAUGACCCACAAGUCAAUUUAGCGGUUGGAAAAAUUAACACGCAUGUUAGGGAAUCAAGAACUUCAUAAUUUGCCAACUACAGAAGUGCACGACAUGUCCCGUGUGAUAGCAACUGAACUACUCCUCAAAUGGUGAAACCUGUCAUAUUGUUCCUACAGGAGUGAUAAUGACGUUUCCGCUGAUCUGAUCUAAUUGUUGUCCAUGAAAUAAUAUCGUUUUGAAUGAAAUUAAAGGAAUAUGUAAUGUUUUUAUGAAUAAUGUUUGAUAUGUGAAUAUUUUGUUCAAUUAACUAGGAGCACUUUGAAAGAUUGUUUUUCUCAAUUCAAUGAAAGUGUUCCAUAAGCUCUAUUUCGUUGGUAUAAUAAAUAGAGGGCAUUGUAAUUUAAAACAUGAAUGAGAGACAUAUCAUUCUAAGUCGAGUUCAAUGCAUAUAUUCCAUUAUGCUUUGAAUUUUGCAUGAUUUCAAUCUUAUCGUUCGAGUUCACACUUCCUUUGAUCUUUUUGUAUAUGGGAAUAGAAAGUUAGGGAGAAGAACAUAAAGAAGUAUAGUGGAGGAGGAGGAGGAUGCUUUGAAUUUUGCACGAUUUCAAAGUUAUCUUUCGAGUUCACACUUCCUUCGAUCUUUUUGUAUAUGGGAAUAGAAAGUUAGGGAGAAGAACAUAAAUAAGUAUAGUGGGGGAGGAGGAGGAGGAUGCUUUGAAUUUUGCAUGAUUUCAAUGUUAUCUUUCGAGUUCACACUUCCUUCGAUCUUUUUGUAUGUGGGAAUAGAAAGUUAGGGAGAAGAACAUAAAUAAGUACAGUGGAGGGGGGGGGGGGGAGAGAGAUUUUUUUGUCGAAAGAAAAGGGAAGAUUAAAAAAAAAUGGAGAAAAAGUUGCUCUGAGAAAAGUUUAAAAACUGUCAUACUUCUUAUCACCAAAAAUGUCUUAAAAUUUUUGAAAUUUUGACUAGAACCUCUUCACUCUCGGUAAGAAGUAGGUAGGAAGGAGAUAUAGGUUGAAGAUGAAAAUUUGAUUACGGGACGAAAGGUGGGCCAACCCAAUUUAAGUUUUAAUAAUAGCUAGUUAGGGUGAUUAUGGUAAUCGAGAGUAGUUUAGAUAGGCAGUUUAGAUAGGCUUGUCAAGUUAUUUUGAAAUGACAUAAAUCACUAAUUUAGUAGAAGAAAAUAUUGGUUAGAGUUGGAUCUUCACGUGAGUCACUCUCGACUCCAGUCAUUGAUCACCGCAUGCUCAAAUGGCAGCCCACUUUCAGUGUAUUUGACAAAUCUUUAUGCUAUGUCUCUCUCUUGUGACAAAUGUUUAUGCUAUGUCUAAGGAGAAUUCAAAUCCUGCAUAAACUGAAUAUUUUUCGAGCCAGACUCUACUUGGAAAGAAAUGUUGCAUUCUACCUCCUUUAAGUAGGGUGCAUUUGCCUGUGAGAUACUUAGCCCCGCCAUUAGUUUCAGGCAAGCUUUAACGUUGAUGAUUGCAAAGUGCUUACUAAUAAGGCAUUUGAAUAUUGCAGAUUUAAAUCAGUAACGGUCAGUUUGGUUGCGAUAAUGGAAUAAGAUUGUAAUGUAAUAGCGUGGAGAAUGCCCAUUUCCCACCUAAUGUAAUAAAGACAUUUUAGCAACACUUUCUACAGAUGGUUAGAAACCGCACACGCCUUGCAAUUAUAUCGAGCACAUAUGGCACAUUUUUCACCUCCCAGCACCAUUUGGUUGGGAAAUCAACCACCUUCUCUAAUGCCAAAGAGCUGCAAAAUCUGAAGAUUGAAAAAUGGGAGCAACUUGGUUAACUUCAAUGAUCCACAAAUUAUUCAACUUUAUCGAUAUACAUAUUUGAUUACAUAUAGGAACUCGUGGUAAAUCUUCCACGUAAUUCAUUUAUCAGAUUUCACGCGAUGUAUUAAAUGUCAAUAAAAAGAGAAAAUUCACCUCCACAGGAUAGUAGCUCCCUUAUAGUCACAGAGAACAGGGUAUUCGGCAAUACAAGUUCAAUUUUUUCUCUCGAAUGGGUGAAAUGAGAAACUCAGAAUACUUGCAAUCCACGACUUUCACCACAAGAAGAUUGAAUUGCGAAGUAAAGUUCCGCAAAUUAGCCAACUAGGUCCCUCUACUGUCAAGUAUCGACUAACAGCUAACUUGGCUGGAGAGCAAGGCACAAGGAUGGAUUAGAAAAUAAAAAACAAAUUCCUGGAAGUGAGUCUAUGCAUAGAAGAGCUUCGUACAUGACCAAAGAUGGGGGAGCUCACUCGUCCAUAUCCUCUACUUCAUUGGCUUCCGGCUCUAUAUCCGCAUGCCUGAGCCGACCACAUACAUUACACUCCAUUGUCCCGCCGCUGUUUUGCUGGUACACAUAUAACUGAUGAAGAAAUACACAUGGGAAACGUCGUUCUCUUUCUGCCAUACCCGCCUUUGGAAUUUUUUGGCCCAUCUAAAAUCAUGAAAAUUCCCCAUAUAAAAAUUCUCGACCGCUUAUACACAUGCGUGUAUCUAUGGGCCUAGAAGCUUUUGAACAUGCCUCGCUGCAGGGGAUCUUUUUUUCUUUCGGAGCGAAGUCCAUAUGGAUUGGACCAAUUGCAACAUUUGGUCAUGUGGGUCCCACGUCACAUCCACAUACAUAUUUCCCAUGAUUAACUAUUAUUAUUCACCACCCGUUGUAGUGGCUCAGCUGGGUAGGCGCUCCUUCUCCUGGUGAGAGGUCGAGCGUUUGAAGCCCCUGCGAAGCAGGGAGGCUGGCAGAGACACUAAGUGACUUACCUGGUGGCACGUGUGUGGUGGCUAGCACGUGUCGCCCAGGAGGUUUACGGCGCACUGUCGGCGUAAGCUGGUUCCUCCUGUCCAAAAAAAAAAAAAAAAAAAAAAAAAAAAACUAUUAUAAUUCUAUUUGCUUUACAAAAACGGUUCUAGGAAAGGACAUUUUUAGGCAAAUCCACUCAGAGGAUGGGCAAAUCUCUCAGGGAAAAGGUUAGCAUAACUGUCCUUUGGAAAGUGACGGUCUCAGGGUCAAAGGGAAGCCAUAAACAUAUUUCGAGGAAACCGGGAGACUUCUUCAACCGGUUCCAAUAUUUGACCGUAUGUUUCCUAUUUUUCUUCUCUUUUUACUUUAAAGUUUCCUUUUUACAAGCUCAAUUAAGAGACAAAAUCACAAAAAGACCCACGGAAUCAAUUUUUUUUAAUAUAAAGAAAUAAAACAAUAAAAUAGUUACUGUAAUAUGAAUCAUGUUCCAUGGUGUCAUGACACUUUCAUCACUAUCAUCUUCGUUUGCAUUGUUCAUCUCAUCUUCAUCACUACCAUUAUUUUCAUUAGUGAAGUUACCUUUAGUUCAAACUCUAUCCAUCUGAAUGAAAUUAGAAGAAAAACUCAAGCAUUAUAUGUCUAAAAUAUAUAGAUUAAACUAAAAUUCAAUGACAAUGAAUACCCCUUGCUUUCUUGCAAUCAAGAAGCAUAAUUAACGAACCUUUAUCCAUAGUUAUGAUUAUUAUAUAAUAAAAAUGGGGAAAAUACUGAGAUAACCAUGCCAUUAGUUUUGAAUAGGAGCGGCCAUACCUCAGCCAUACAUUUUCCAUCUUCAAAAUUGGAGAAUUACUUAACAGAUUUCCCCUUUUUUAUUAUAUAGAAAUGCAUUUUCCAAAGUAGGUCAUGAUCAAAUUUGUUGAGGAAAUAUUCAAACAAGAUUCUGAUUAUCUAGAAUCAUUAAAGAAACAAAUCAAAGUAAUAAUAUUUAAACAAUAAGAAAUAUAUGAAGAACUCGGUUGCUACUUUUGAAAUAGUGGAUAUUAUUCUCUAGCCAAAGAAUAAGAUUAUAGUUCCCAAAUAAAAUUGUUGACACCUAAUUUUUUGCCCAAAUUAUUGCAUAUAGAUUAAUUAAUUAAAAAAAAGAUUACAAAAAAGUUUUUAAAAAAAAAAAGAAAAAAAAAAGGUUGAUUUAGGACGUGCGACCUAUGGAUGGAAAGAUAUUUGAGUGAAGUUUCACUCUCUAGUUGAAGGUUUUGGCUAAUUUUGGCCGAAGGGUUGUGAAAAUCUCACUUUUCUCUCAAAAGGUUGAUCUGGAAUUUCUGGGUUUGCUUUUCUGGAGUUGCUUUUGAGUGCCUCUUUGGGGAACGGUUCCGAGCUCUCUCCUCUCUCCCUCGUCUCUUUUUUUUCAUCCCUUGAAAGACCUUGCUUCAGUGAUCUUAUCCCAUGAAUUGAGGGAUUUUUGGUCAGCUUUUUGCCCCCCUACCGAGCCUGCCAACUGAGCUAGUCCACCCACUCUCCUGACUUAGCCAAUUUUUUUUAAUUCUGCAGCUGUUGAGUGUGCGGGUUUUGCUGCGAUUUUCCGGUGCUGUCAGAAGCUUAUCCCUGGCCAAUUUUCGUCCACUUGCACUACUAUAUACGGUCUUCCAUCACGUGCAAAGAUCGGGCUAGUUGGGCAGCUGAGGAGGAUAUGGUGGGGCCACCAAAUUGCUUACUCAGCAACUCCGGUUUAAGACCAACUCGUGGACUGAGUUUUGGCUACUGAUUUGAGUGCUUUAAUCCACUAAUUUGGCUGCGUUUUUUGAUCAAUUAGAAAGCUCAUGUCUAGUAGUUUAAGAUCUUGACCAUUUUUCGCAAUUAUCUCCACCCAAUUUUGCAAGAGAGUCCCUCAAAGUUGGCCAUUUUCUUGCCCGAAAAUGUCAAAUUCAAUGCAAUUAGGUCCUUUUUGCCCGAUUCAAUUAAUUAGACCUGACCCAAGUUCAAUUUCAACUUAAUUGGGGGCUAAGAUGAUGAUUUAAGGGCCCGGGUGAAAUUUUGCAAAAUUUGCGAAUUAGUCCCUCAACUUUUGGAAAUUGCAUUUUUGCCCCAAUUUGCCAUUUUAAUUCGAAUUUGACCUCCUGGGCUUGGCUAGUCACAUUUAGAUCAUUGGCCACAACUUUUUUUUCUUUUUUUUUUUAAACUUUUUUUUAAUCUUUUUUUUAAUUAAUUAAUCUAUAUGCAAUAAUUUGGGCAAAAAAUUAAGUGUCAACAAAAAUAAAAUAACGAUAAAUAAAAAAUAGGCAUGUAAUUAUCCUAUAUAAUUUGAACUCCCGAUUAUUGUAUGAUUUUGUAAUCUAAAAAAGCAUAACUAUGGAUAAAGGUUCGUUAAUUCUACUUCUCGAUUGUAAGAAAGCAAGAGGUAUUCAUUAUCAUCGAAUUUUACUUUGUGUCUAUAUAUUUUAAACAUUUAACGCUUAAGUUUUUCUUCUAAUUUCGUUUAGAUGGAUGGACUUCAUAUUAAAAGUAACUUCACUAAUGAAAAUAAUGGUAGUGAUGAAGAUGAGAUGAACAAUGCAAACAAAGAUGAUAGUGAUGAAAGUGUCACGACACCAUGGAAUAUGAAGUUUUUUUUUUGUUUAUCUUUUAAAUUUAAUAGAUCUAUAUAAUGACAUUGACAAUUUCUCUUUAGUAAAUAAUGAUAAUAUGCUGCUUGUAAUUAUUCAUAUUGCAGUAGCUAUUUUAUUUUUUAUUUCUUCAUAUUAAAAAAAAAAAUUGAUUCCAUGGGUCCUCUUGUGAUUUUUUCUCUCAAUUGAGCUUGUAAAAAGGAAAAUUAAAAGUAAAAAGAGAAAAGAAAAAUAGGAAACAUACGGUCAUAAAUUGGAACCGGUUGAGGAAGUCUCCCGGUUUCCUCGAAAUAUGUUUAUGGCUUCCCUUUGACCGUGAGACCGUCACUUUGCAGAGGACGGUUAUGCUAGCCUUUUCCAAUCUCUUAGCCCGUUCGGUCACCAGCUCAUGAUCAAGUAUAUUGAGUGGUGGAUAAACCACUUGUCAAUUUGGCCUGAUCUAGUCGGAAGUUCCUUACCAAGAGUUUGACAGGAGUCUUUAGUCUCAGAGGAUGAAAUUCUUUUUGUCGAUUAGCACAUAAUUGUUCCUCUUUCUUAGAGAGCCGAUACUAAUCGUUGGAGGCUAAUCUUUGCUUUUAAGGUGAAACGCACAACGGUACACCUCAGCUAAGAUCCUUCUGCUUCUUUUGGGGGAACACCGUCUUGACAUAGUGCCAACAACCAAAAAUCUCAUAUGUACUAAAAUCUCUACGAAUAAUGUGGGGGACAAAGUCAUUUAUAAAACAUGAUAGGCUUGUAAAAUUACAUUUAUUUUAAUGUAACAUUGACUUAACCUAGUACAAUAAGUAGGUAACGACUUCUUCACUUGGACAAAAUUUAAAUAGUCUCACAUUUACAACUCAUUAGUCAUUCUCCUAAGUUGUAUCAUUUUCCCCCUUCUUACACACGAUUUGUGUUCCCUAACGCUAAUGAAUUUACUUUUUAUCUUAUACCGCCCCAGCUUCACCAGGAUACUUCUCAGAGAAAAGGUAGUGAACUGCUUUUGAUCAGUUAUUAUUCUUUUGUUAAUCAAUCUUUGAGCAAGAUGGGAAUGUCCUCCAGUUGGCUUACUAAAACUGAAAGUGUUGCCCUGACGAAAGGGACCCGCAAUGAGGAAAUCAAUAUGCAUAACCAAUUCAUCGAAGUGAUAUAUUAAUCUGACUUGGCGAUGGAAUUAGUCACUUUCGGAUUAAAUCUUUGUCUCGCAAAUAUUUUGUGUUUAGAGUUUACUAAUUAUAAUAGUUAUUAUGGAUCCAAGUGCUUCUCUAUUGGAGCUCAUAAUGGAUUCGAGCUCUUUUCGAUUAGAGCUUAUAAAUGCUUGCAACCAAGUGGAAGUAUUUGAGUUUCGCACGAUGGUUAUAACCCGUUUUGUGUGCCAUAGCGAGAAGUUAUAUAAUUGUCAUGAGCUAAUCGUGCACAUAUAACAUCAUAGCGUCACUAUUUGUGGUAAUUUCUUUUUCUUUUUCCUACAUGCAAUGUAUGCAUGAAAGAAGUGCAUCAAAUACUAAAUAUAAGACUUAAGCAAUAAAUCGGGAAUAUCUCGAAUAUAUGACAAAAAAAGAUUAUCAAAUAUAACAAAAAAACUGUACUAUUCUAAAUCUAUUGUCACGUCAGAUAAGCAAAGUCCGUACCCAAAUUGGCAUUGCAUGUAUUUAAUCCAUACAGACGAUCGGAGAAUUACGUGCGUUGCGUACACGCAAUACGAAUCCUCUGGCACAAAACUUUAUCCCCCAACCCUCUUCACUCUUCCCAUCUCUCUCUCCAUGUCUCUCCAUAUUUUCACCAUUUCUCUCCAUAUUUUCACCAUUUCUCUUACUCCUUUCAGCUUAAAAGAAUAGAACACAAGCCACUCGAAAAUAGGAACUUGCGGAACCAUGCCACAGCGGGACCCGUACGAGACCAACUGGAUCGUCGAAAUCAACGAGAGCCUCAAGUGCAUGCCCACCGACGAGCGACAGUACUGGAAGAAGCAGUCCAUCUACCAGGUCCCGACCUCCGUCCCCGACCUCAACCACAAUGCCUUCAACCCGCAGGCUGUCUCCUUCGGCCCCUACCACCACGGCAAGAUCCACCUCGGUCUGAGAAGCCUCUCAAUCCCUUCCUCGAGUCCCUGAGGGAAGUGGCGCGGGACCACGGGGAGAGCUACUACGUACUGGACCUGGAGUAGAAGGAGGUCGAACGAGAGGGCAUAGGGGACUGGUUCCUGAAGCUGAUGAUCCCUGAUGACUGCCUCAUGCUUGAGAUCCUGAGGACCGCGACACAGGAGGAGGACGACUAUGAGCUGGAUGACCCCAUAUUUCACACCCGCAGGAUGCUUUACAUCAUGCCAUACAUAUGGCCAGACAUGCUGAUGCUGGAGAACCAGCAGCCAGUGCUAGUGCUGGAUCGGCUAGUGGUUCUUAUUAUUUUUUUUUUCACGCUAGCACAAGCUGAGCUCCACUUAUUAUUAUUUUUUUUUUAAGUGUACAGGACAUUAAAAAAUUAGUGGUUCUUCUUGCUCCGUCGCUUCAUUAAAAGUGAUGGAGUCGUCAUUUUGGCAUUUCUCAAAAAAGAUAUCAUGUUGAACCGACACCCUGAAAAAUGGAAAUGAAAGCGAACGCACACACGGAAAUUUUUAAAAAAAAAAAAAAAAGGACAAGUACAUGUAUUGAAGAUAUCCAGCUUGAGGCCCCAAAGAAUGGAAAGAAGGAUCCAGGACCAAAAACAAUAGAGAAGAGAGAGAGAGAGAGAGAGAUGGGAUGAAUCUACCGAACUGAGAGAAACUGGGGAUGUCUCAUAAAAGACAUACUAAGGAUGGACGCUUUCUUUGGAUUUUCUUUCCUUCCUUUCGGGAAGAUAUCUUGCCUUCUUAUGUCAUGCCUUCUUGCCGUCGAGAAUGAUGGCAAGAAGGUUAGUGUUUUAGAUUUUGCUAUCAUGUUCACCUAACAGUACAUCUUGUUGAUGACAAAUGGACCUCACAUGGGAUCCAUCGAAUGCUCCAAUCCUGUCGGACGCAUGGUUCAAGAUCAACCGAGAAUUUAAUUACUAUUAUCGGAAAUUUCUUCUUUUUCCUUUUACUCAAGUACUAUCGAUACGACAACAAUCUCACAUUCAAACGCAGUGACUUCACACCAACAACUCAGGAUGACGAAUACAUCAGCAAGCUCAUCCUCAAUUACUGCUCCGCUAGCAAGGACACCGCAAAUAAAGGCAAACGCCUGCAUGUCCUGGACGUUGUCAGGAAGAGCCUACUUCUCCAUGAGAAGCCGAAGCUGGACAAGGUGGGGUGCGAGGGCCUUCUGUUAGUCUGGUCGGCCACUGAGCUCAUCAAGCAUGGGAUCUGGUUCAAGAAGAGCAAGACCGGCAGCCUCACGGACAUCUCCUUUGCUGGCGGGGUCCUGAGCUUCGCCGAGAUCGUGGUGGAAGAAGCAACUGAGUCCAUGUUCCUCAACCUCAUUGCAUUUGAGCGCUUCCACGUCAGGACCAGGAACGAGGUCACGUCCUACAUCUACUUCAUGGACUACAUCAUCGACAAUGAGUGUGACGUCGCACUUCUUUACAACUUGGGCAUAGUCCUGACUGUCCUGGGGGACGACAAGGAACCAUGGAGCUGUACCACUUGCUGGCCAAGUACACAACAAUUGAACCCAACAACAGUCUCAUUGCCGUCUGCAAUAAGCCCUGGAAUAAGUGGAGGGCUAAUUUCAUCGAGACCUAUUUCAGAGGUCCUUGGGCUUUAUGGUCUUUCAUGGCCGCCAUCUUCCUCUGCGCACUCCCUAUAAUUCAGACCAUAUAUUUCGUGCUCAGAACCCACUCUUUGCCUCUCUGUACAAUAAUUUUCCCUUUCCAGUCAUGUUCAUUUCCCACUUUAAAUAUACCGAAUGAUGGACAUUUGGCUGUUUAUUUAUCAUUAUCAUAUUAUAAUUCUGUUGUUUCAAACUUCUUCAUUUUUGUCCAAUCGUGUGAAGGAUGAUCAAGUUUUAGGCAAAUGGAAUCUUCCAACGCACCAAUGCUUGAUUAAAAUUUUAACGAGUUGCAGCAAAUUUAAGAGAACAACAAAGAUGGCCUUCAAAGACAUCUCUCUUCCCCAUCGGCUUCAAAUUUCAGAGUCAUCUAUAUAUUUUCCGGUCAUCAAGCAAUCAAUCAUUAACACAGAGAACAUACUUUCAUGACUGAGAAAAAAAUAUUUUGAAACUUCCAACAUCCUUCCUGAAAUAAAAAGAGCUAAAGAUAUUCAAUGUUCUAGACCACCAUUAUAGAAUCCUAGAUCGAAAUAAGUUGACAGCAAACUGCUAAUUAUGUUUAAAGAACGUUGAGAAUAUCCCUCCAAUUAGGGUAGGUUUCCUAAGUUGAAGGGUGUUGGAGAAAUCUUCUUGGAGUAUUUUGAAGCUGACAAAACGUUUCCAUCAGUCUAGUUUGAAAAUUUGCAGACUCUACUAUUUAAAGUCUGAAGACCUCCAGACUGCCAGACUCAAGAUUCAAAGUCUAUUCUCAUUGACGGUUUCCAAUCCGUCGAAGAAGGGCUAUUCAGGACUGGAUGUUUUGUUAAGGAUUUGACCUUAUUGACUAGAGAAGAUCUCUUGGCUGAAUAUGACAUAACGGAAUCCUUUAUUGACUCAAAGAUUGAGGAUUCGAUGAUUAGCGAAGUAUACUUGGAAGGUUCUACUUAUGGAAACCGAGAUCCUGAUUGUAUGGGCAAGCAAGAUUGAUGGGCUAUCGACAUGUUCCUUAAAUAGCUCGAAUAAUCUUCCUAAUUGAUUCUGUCCAACGGGAAGAUUGGAAAAAUUCCUUUGGUAAGUGCCAACGGGUAUGAUGGCAUAAAGGAGUAUAUAAGGAAAACGUUCCAGUUGUUCGAGUGUGUGCGCGAUAGAAGAAUUCCAAAGUCUGAAGCUCUUUGUUCUUAGUCAAUUCAUUUUCUGAGCGAAAUCUUGUACGCAAAAGAGAGUUCAUAUUCUUGAGAAACCUUGAGGAAGUGUGGUAGAGUAUCUACACUAUGGAAUCAAGGGAGAGCCUUGCUGUAACAACUCUUUUGUUCAUAGUGAAAUCUAGGCGGUGGGCUGUCAGUGCGGAAGAGUGGACGUAGGCUUGGAAUAAGCCAAACCACUAUAAUUUCUGUGUUCAUUUUCUCUUCCCUACUCUCUGCUUUACUUUGAUCAUAAUUCGCUUUGUUAAUGAAAAGAUAACUUCCUUUCUAUUGUCUGCUUAGUAUUGCUCUCUUAUCUCGAGAAAAUAUUUUUUACACCUAUUCACUCCCCUCUAGGUGCUUAUACUAGCUAUCUCAAUUGGUAUCAGAGCAUGUGUACUCACUUUGUUUGAAGUGUUUUACUUCAGAGUUAAAGAUUCAUGACUAGUAUGUUAGCUCCAGGGCUGGUAGAAGGGCAAAGCAAUACCAGACCGCCUUACUUUGAUAGAAAUGAAUACAACAUAUGGAAAAACAAGAUGAAGGUGUUCCUAAGAUUAAAGGAUCCUCUGGAAUGGGACGUUGUAGACAAAGGAAUCAUUCCUAAAGCUGCACCUGUCUCAGAGAGAGGAAAAGAAACUGUUGAGUCUAGUGAAAUGACUCGGGAAGAGAUAACCAAGAGACAAGCUCUUGAUGCAAAAGCAAUUUAUUCUUUAUAUUGUGCUUUGUCACCUACUGAAUAUAACUGAAUAUCUUCUUGUGUUACAGGGAAAGAAGUUUGGGAUAGAUUACAUAUCACCUAUUAAGGAAUCGAUCGAGUGAAAGAAACCAUAAUCAACAUUCUCCUCGGUCAAUACGAAGCCUUCAAAAUGAAAUCAGGAGAAUCUAUAACUGACAUGUUUAGUUGUUUUACAGAAAUCAUGAAUGGUCUUGAAAAUAAAGGUCAACCAAUUUCUGAUCCCAUGAAAGUAAACAAGCUACUGCGUGGACUCUCCAAGGAUUGGAAUCACAUAAAGACUUCAAUAAGGGAGACACAAAGAAUUAUGCCACUAUCUGUCGAUGAGUUGGUUGGGACUCUUCAGUCUUAUGAAGUGGAACGAAUUAAUGAAGACGAAGAUCCUAAAGGUAAAAAACCCAUUGCAUUAAAAUCCAAUGAUGAUUAUGAUGUUACAGAUUCUGAAGACAAUAUGGAUGAUGAGGAGCUUGCUCUCAUGAUAAGAAGAUUCAGAAAGCUGAACAGAAAAUGAAGAAGAUUCAAUCCAAAGAAACAAAGUUUUCAAAAGCAGCAGACUAAGUCUGUUGAGGAUGAUGAAUCAAAUAGAGAUAUAGUAUGCUUUGAAUGUAAGAAAAAGGGACACAUCAGACCCAACUGUUCUCUUCUAAGGAAGAAGAAAGGAAAAGCUGAAAAGUAUCGAAAGGCUCUUAAAGAAGAAACCUGGAGUGAUAUAGAAUGUGAAGAAAGUGAUGAUGAUUAUGCCAAUAUAUGUCUGAUGGCACAAUCGGAUUCAGAUUCAAACUCUGAGACAGACUCAGAUUCAGACAGUGAAUUUGAGGUGAGUAACUCUAAAAUCCCUAUUAAAGUUUCUAAAUACAUUGAUGAGUUGUGUUUUAGUCUUAAGACCUCUCUUAAAAGGAUUUCCUAACUUAAAAAGGAAAAUUCUACACUUAAACAACAGGAAAAUGUUUGGAAAGAAAAUGUCAAAUGUUUAGACAUGAAUGUUUCUACUCUUAAAGAAAGAGAAGACAAUCUUUCGAAAGAAAAUGUAUUUUUAAAAAAUGACAUAUCAAAUAUUUCCAAAAGAUUUUCAAUAGGAUCUGAGAAACUUGAGAAAAUUCUUUCAGCACAAAGACCUUAUUUCAAUAAAUCUGGUUUGAGAAUGACCGUGGAAACCAUUCAUUUAAUUGAUUUUCCUAAAGUGAAGGAAAGAAUUAAGCAAAAACCACAAGAGAUCCUUACAAAAAUCAUUUUAAAAAUGUCUUUGUAAAACUAGUAGGUCGCAAUACUCUCAGAUGUUCAAAGUGCAAUAGUUCAAAUUAUUUUGAGAAAGAAUGUCCUAUGGUUUGGAAAGCUGUUAAGAAAGUAUGGGCAAAAACCGCAUAUUAUACUAAUACCAAUGGACCCAAGAAAAUAUGGGUACCAAAGAAAGUUUGAGUCUCUUUUUUAAAUGCAGGUCACUAUCAAGAAGAAGGUAAAAUGGUAUCUGGAUAGUGGAUGCUCAAGACAUAUGAUAGGAGAUUCAAAUUGCUUCAUAAAGCUCAUUCAAGUAAAUAGUGGAAAAGUCUCAUUUGAAGGAAACAGCAAAGGAAGAAUUGUGGGAUUCGGAACUGUAAAGAUUGGAAACCUCACAAUCAGCAAUGUUUCCUUAGUGGAAGGACUCAACUACAAUCUGCUCAAUAUCAGUCAGCUGUGCGAUACCGGUUUCAAAAUCAACUUUCAAGAAUGAAUAUGUUCAGGAACCAGUAAAGAUUCUACUCAGUCAUUCAUGGGUCGAAGACAUGGAAAUAUCUACCUCUUGGACGUGAAACCAGAUGAAUCGCAAUGUCUAAUCUCAAUUCAAGACGAAGUGAACUUGUGGCACAGAAAACUUUGGCACAUCAAUAUGAAGCAAAUAGCCAAAAUUUCAACAAAGAAGCCAGUUCGUGGUCUACCCAAUCUGUCAUACCAAAAGUCUGAUCUAUGUACACCAUGUGUAUUGGGAAAGCAGGUAAGAAAUUCCUUUAAACCAAUAAAUUAAGUUUCCACUAUUCGUGUACUGCAGCUUAUGCAUAUGGAUCUUUUUGGACCAACUAGAACUCAGAGCAUUGGAGGUAAGAAAUAUUGCCUAGUAAUUGUGGAUGACUACUCACGAUUUACUUGGGUAUAUUUCCUAACAAGUAAAUCUGAAACAUUUUCUUACUUUAAAAAGUUUGCUAAAAAGAUUCGAAAUGAAAAGGGUAUGUUAUUUCAAGUAUAAGAACAGACUAUAGAGGUGAAUUUGAAAAUCAAGAUUUUACAAAAUUAUGUGAUGAAUCUGGUUUUCAGCAUGUGUUCUCCUCUCCAUAUACUCCAGAGCAAAACGGAGUUGUGGAAAGAAAGAAUAGGUCGCUUCAAGAAAUGGUUAGAACUCUUUUAAUUGAAAGUAACAUCUCUUCACGUUUUUGGGCUGAAACAGUUUCUACAGCAUGUUAUAUUAUUAAUAGAGUUUUUCUAAGACUUAUUCUGGAAAAAAAAACCCCCUAUGAGUUAUUCAAAGAAAAGAAGUAUAUUGUUUCAUAUUUUCAUGUGUUUGGAUGUAAAUGCUUUAUAUUGAAAAAUGCAAAUGAUCGAGUUGGCAAGUUUGAAGAAAAAUCAGACGAAGGCAUCUUCCUUGGAUAUUCUACCUCAAGCAAAGCCUACAGAGUCUACAAUAAGAAGACUCAAUCUGUGGAGGAAUCAAUGAAUGUCAAAUUCCAAGAUUCUAUGCAAAAUGAAUCUAUUCAGACUCAUCUUGAAGAAUCUGAACCUGCUCCAGACUCUACAAAGUCUAAAUCUUAAGAAGCAGCUCAGACUUCGAAAGACCAGCAUCAAAUGAUUGUUGAAGAUUCAAAUGAAGAAAGUGAUCAUCAACCUGACAAUUUAACCGGUAACUGGAAGCAUAAGUCCAGUCAUCCCAAAGAUCUCAUUAUAGGCGACAUUAAUGAAGGAAUUCGCACAAGAUCCAAAAGGCGCGAAGAGUCUAGUGUUGUGGCUCUUAUUUCUGAAAUAGAACCCAAAAGCAUAGAAGAAGCUUUAUCUGAUGAAAGUUGGAUUGAAGCUAUGCAAGAAGAACUAAGGCAAUUCAGUAUUAAUGAUGUUUGGGAAUUGACUCCUAAACCGAAAGGUAAAUCUAUUAUUGGAGCUAAAUGGGUUUUCAGGAACAAGAUGGACGAGAAAGGAAAUGUCGUAAGAAACAAAACAAGACUCGUGGCCAAGGGAUAUACGCAAGAAGAAGGGAUAGACUAUGAUGAGACUUACGCACCAGUAGCGAGGUUAGAAGCAAUUAGAUUAUUACUUGCUUUUGCUUGUUAUAAGAAUUUCAGGUUAUUCCAAAUGGACGUCAAGUGCUUUCCUAAAUGGGUUUAUCCAUGAGGAAGUCUAUGUAGAACAACCACCUGGGUUUGAAGACCCAAGGAAACCAGACUCAAUAUUCAGACUGAAAAAGGCCUUAUAUGGUUUAAAGCAAGCACCUCGAGCUUGGUACGACAGGCUGAGUAAAUUUUUAAUUCAAAAUGGUUUUGUCAAAGGUAAAGUAGACACUACUCUGUUUAUCAAAAAAGAAAGCAAAAGUUUUCUACUUGUUCAAAUAUAUGUUGAUAUUAUUUUUGGAUCCUCUAGUCAAAGUCUGUGCAAGAAAUUCUCUAAGUCUAUGCAGGAUGAAUUUGAAAUGAGCAUGAUGGGUGAACUAACCUUCUUUCUUGGACUUCAAGUGAAACAAUUGAAGGAAGGAACCUUUAUUCAUCAAGAAAAAUAUGCUAAUAAUCUUGUCAAAAAGUUUGGACUGGAAAAAUGUAAAAAGAGUGAUAUACCAAUGUCAAGUUCUUUGAAGAUAGACAAAGAUGAAGGAGGAAAUAAAGUUGACUAGAAGCUAUACAGGAGUAUCAUUGGUUCACUUCUUUAUCUUACUGCUUCUUGACCUGACAUUUUGUUUAGUGUUUGCAUUUGUGCUAGAUUUCAAGCAGACCCUAAAGAAUCUCAUCUAAGUGCUGCAAACCGUAUUAUUAAAUACAUUGCAUCAACUUCAAGCCUUGGUCUUUGGUAUCCUAAAAAGGGAGACUUUACUCUUCUUGGAUACUCAAACGCAGAUCUAGCCGGAUGCAGAGUUGAUAGAAAGAGUACCUCGGGUACCUGUCAACUACGUGGAAGCAGGACAGUGUCUUGGUUUUCAAGGAAGCAAAAUACAGUGGCUCUUUCUACAGCAGAAGCAGAAUUCAUGCACGGAGAUUAACUGUGACAACACCAGUGCAAUCAAUCUCACCAAGAAUCCAAUUCUUCACUCAAGAGCAAAGCAUAUAGAGAUUCGACGUCACUUCAUUAGAGAUCAUGUUCAGAAUGGAGAAGUUUUGAUUCAGUUUGUUGACUCAAAGAAGCAACUGGAUGAUAUAUUUACAAAGCCUUCGUUCGUUGCAGACUCAACAUCUUAAGGUUUGAAGAAGUAAAAGUCUAGAGACUCUCAGACUCAAACAAUCAAGAUCUUUGAUUGUAAGUUAUUUUAUUCUCUCUCAGAUUAAAUCUUGAAAAUGUACGAUCAUCUGUCCAUAAUUGAUUUUUGCUACUUUCAAUUUCCAUGAUUAGUGCAAUCUUUCUUUUUCGAAAAUGGAGUUAAUUUUUAAAUGGCAGUUAUCUAAUUUUUUGAAAAAAAAAGGCAGUUAUUUUUUAAAAGGGCAUCUUUUUACUUUCCAUUACGACGUUUUGUAUGCCUCUCUUCAACUGACCUAUAUACUGUCGGUUCCUCUUUGUUUAACUAAAAAAAAAACCCUAAAAAGCAUCGAUCUUCCACUUCUGUCUUCUUCUCUUGUUUAAUCUUCGAAAAGUUGUCAUCUUUCUUGGGAAAGUCAAGUUUGGAAUCUUUCAAAGACUGUGAAAGAUGUCGUCUCAAAGGAAGUCUUUGAGGAUUGCAAAUAGGGGACCGCAGCAAAUGCGUGAGGGGCCUACGCACUUUGAUCUCACCGAGGAAGAAGAGUUUCCUAGUCAGCAGCAGAGCCCACAACAUUCUCAGCAGCGUCCAUCUUCUCCAUCUAGACCACAAGAUUUUGCUCGUCGAGAAGAGGAAGAAAUAAUCAAAGAUGCAGAACCCAUAAGAACUCUUAAGCCCUCUUUUACCUACAAGCUUUAUCGUGCUUUGAAAAGAGGUGGAACUCUUUUGAACUACAUUGACGAAUUUUUGAAAGACAAAGGAUACAAAAAUGAAACCUUCUUUUUACGCACAAUGGAACGGUUAGGAAGUGCCCCUGCUGGGUCGGCAGAAGAGGCAAUGGCAAAUAUUCCAAUCGAUCCACGUGUUGGAGGGCUGAAUCAGCUAGAUGGGAAUGAUGAUGACAAGUUGUACGGUCAGUUUCAACCGAGAAUGGGUGUUGCAGCAAAAAUUAAGAGCAAAAGGACAGACUUGUUUCGAUCGGAGGAACACAAGCAUCUAUACUCUAAGUUGUUGAAGCGUGGGGUCAUAAACCCUAGAAGUGUGGAUUUUGAUUUCCUUAACGCGGUGAACGUUAAUUUGAGGGAAAAAUUCAGUAUUCUUCAACUUGAACAGUUCUGUUCUGAAUCUACAGAAGCCUAUGCUGAACUCACUGCAUACUUCUAUUCAAAUCUCAGUUUCUUAAAUGUGAAUAGAUUCUCUUUUAGUGUCCGAGAUCAGGACUAUGUGGUGGAUAUAGAUAUGUUGGCUGAUGUGAUUGGGGUUGAGAGAGGGAGAUAUCAACCUAUCAAUGUCUCUAUUGCUCGUACUAUGUUAGAACUUGUUAAGGAUAGAAGGACAGAGGAAAAGGUUUCCUACUCGAGGAUGAGUGCGUUCAACAUUCUACUUCACAAGAUUGUGAUCAAUUGCCUCAGACCAAAAUCUACUUCAAAGACUAAUGUUUCAAACUCAGAGGCAAAGCUGAUGUAUGCCAUCAAUGCCAGGAAAAAGUUCUCUCUUCCUCACACUAUUAUAUUCCACAUGUAUAGAGCAGUGGUGAAGGACAAGGGUCAACUUCCUUAUCCAACUCUUGUGACAAAGUUAUUCAGACAUUUGAAUGUUCAGCCUCCCUGGAUUCUAUGUGUUCGAACUUGUGAUCAAAUGGUAGUGGGACUGAAAAUGGUGUCUAAAAUGCGUCUGAAGGAACUCAACAAGGCGUUGGAGAAAUUCAAUGAGAAAACCCCUGUCAAAUCUCAUCAAAUCUCUUCGGCAGCAAAAAGAAAAGGGAAGGAGCCCAUGGUUGCUCCAUCCAAGAAAAGAAGAGCUCUCAUUGUUGAUGAUAAAGAAGAUGAGGAAGACAUCACCAUUACUGCAAUGGCAUUGAAGAACUUGAGUCAUUCUGUUCCAGAAUCAACGGAAUGACAAGAGAAAGACACAGAACAGAGGACUGGAGAAAGAGAAGAUUUGGAAGCAGAAGAGAAAGAAAUAGAGGAGAGAGAAGCUGAAGAAAGAGAUGCAGAGGAGGAAAGAAUUGAAGAAGAAGAAGAAGAAGAAGAAGAGGAAAGAGGAGAUCAAGAGGAAGGAGAGCAUGAGGAACACUCUUCUCCACCUGAAGGCAUGGAAACAGGGGGAGAUCGUGAGAAAAGAGGAAUGUCCUCAUAUCCUGCUACCAGUGAAGGAGUCAGCCGCUCUCCAGCAAAUCCAGAGGACAUCUAUGCCUCUCAAUUUCCUGAGGAGGGACAUGAUGUUUCAUCGCCCAAUCUGUGUGGCUAUGCUGAUUUGCCAUCGUCUGCCUUUACUCCAUCUGAUCGUGCAGAAGCCAGUACGCAGACUGAUAAUUCAGUAGAUUUUCGCAGAAUUCUUGAUGUUCUCUUAGAAAUGCGGGGUCAUAUAUAUGCUCUGAGAUGUGAAGUACAAAAUUUGCAUAAUGCAAGUCAAGCUUCUUCAGUUUCUUUGAAUGAUCAUAUCCAAGCAUUUGCUCUUUAGAUUCAAGCAAAUGCUAAGGGUGAAGAGUUGGCUCAACUGAAGGAAGAGUUGACAAAGCUGGAAGACAUUAUCCAGUCAAUGGGAGAUUUCCAGCUUGUUCGUGUUCUCAAGCAUUUUUUAUUUCAUCUCAACCUUUUUUAUGAUGACAAAAAGGGGGAGAAAUGUGAUUUGUACUUUGAACCUUGAACUUUUUUGAACUAGAACUUGAACUUUUGAUUUGUUCUUUGACUUGACUUUUGUGUCUGGCUGUGAACUGGAUUUUGGAUUUUGGAUUGACUGCUUAUAUUAAGUACUAUUGAUAUCUUAUGGAUGGCUUUACUCAUAUGCAAGACUAACUUAUUUUCUGUGGCUGCAGAUUCUAGUGUUAUUAAUAAGCCAUUUAUCUUUAUAAGAUAUCCAUAUUUGCUUGAAUAAUGUUUUGCAGGUCAAAGUUAUCCAAAUCUGUAGGAAAGUUUUGUCACCAUCAAAAAGGGGGAAAUUGUUGGAGAAAUCUUCCUGGAGUAUUUUGAAACUGACAAAAUGUUUCCAUUAGUCUAGUCUGAAGAUUUGCAAACUUUACUAUUUAAAGUCUAAAGACCUCCAGACUGCCAGACUCAAGACUCAAAGUCUAUUCUCAUUGACAGUUUCUAAUCCGUCGAAAAAGGGCUAUUCAGGACUGGAUGUUUCGUUAAGGAUUUGACCUUAUCGACUGGAGAAUAUCUCUUGGCUGGAUAUGACAUAAUGGAAUCCUUUAUUGAUUCAAAGAUUGAGGAUCUUAUGAUUGGCGAAGUAUACUUGGAAGGUUCUACUUAUGGAAACCAAGAUUCUGAUUGUAUGGGCAAGCAGGAUUGAUGGACUAUCGACAUGUUCCUUAAAUAGCUCGAAUGAUCUUCCUAAUUGAUUCUGUCCAACGGGAAGAUUGGAAGAAUUCCUUUGGUAAGUGCCAACGGUAUGAUGGCAUAAAUGAGUAUAUAAGGAAGACGUUCCAGUUGUUCGAGAGUGCGCGAUAGAAGAAUUCCAAAGUCUGAAACUCUUUGUUCUUAGUCAAUUCAUUUUCUGAGUGAAAUCUUGUACGCAAAAGAGAGUUCAUAUUCUUGAGAAACCUUGAGGAAGUGUGGUAGAGUAUCUACAUUAUGGAAUCAAGGGAGAGCCUUGCUGUAACAACUCUUUUGUUCAUAGUGAAAUCCAGCCGGUAAGCUGUCAGUGCGGAAGAGUGGACGUAGGCUUGGAAUAAGCCGAACCACUAUAAUUUCUGUGUUCAUUUUCUCUUCCCUACUCUCUGCUUUACUUUGAUCAUAAUUCGCUUUGUUAACGAAAAGAGAACUUCAUUUCUAUUGUCUGCUUAGUAUUGCUCUCUUAUCUCAAGAAAAUAUUUUUUUACACCUAUUAACUCCCCUCUAGGUACUUAUACUAGCUAUCUCAAAGGGUUUGAACAGUUGCUUGUCGUUGACACCUAAAUUUUGACGACCUAAUUUGAUAUUCAUUACAUAGAAAAAUUAGGAAUCGACACCACUCCAAAACAAAAAUAUUACUUAAAUUGCAUAUAGAUAUUAGAAGCAUUUUAAUUAAGCCCAAAUAAUAUUGCAUUGGAGUUAAUGGACUAAAGCAAGGGGGUUUUAAGCCUAACUGAAUUAUUUGAACUAAGUCUGAGAUAACGAAAUUCAAAUGAUUCAAGUACAAGCACAUCUUGAUAUUCAUAAUCAAAAUACAUGGGAGCUCCAAAAAGUAGUGGCAAUGAGAGGUCCGUCUAAAAUGUUUGUAAAAUAAAGGGGUGAGUUAAAGCUCAGUAAAUAAAAUCCUUAAGUCUAAAUUAAAAAAUUAUCUUACCACUCAACUUGGUAUUGACAAACAAUGUGAGUUCAAGAUAAGUACAAAAUAACCAUGUAUGACUAAUGUAGAAGUAAACGCACUAUCUUUCCAUCAUAAUAUGCUCAUGGAAACCAUUAGAAACAUUGCAUAAGGUUAUUCACUCAACUACAAACAAAUGGCAUAUUAUUUCAUGAUCUUAGAUAUUGUGUGUGUGUGUAUAUAUAUAUAUUUAUAUACUCCUACUUGUCACUAGCUAGGACCCAUUUCAUAGAGGAUGAAAUCAUACAUACCCAUUUGCCACACCUCUUAUCCCAUCCAUCAAAGGUGUCUUCUAUAUCAAUGGUGAUAAAUACACAACUGUACAUUUGCAUAAUGAUUGUCAUUUCAUCGUCACAUUAACUCAUGGGGGAUGAAAUCAUACAUACCCAUUUCACACACCUCUUAGCCCAUCCAUAAGGGGUGUCUUCUAUAUCGAUGAUAAUAAAUAUACAACCGCACAUGUGCGUGAUGAUUGCCAUUUAUUAACAUCAUACCAAAGGUUAUACAAGCCAUGUCAUCAUAGGACUUCAUAUCCUCUCAACCUUGUAGAACCAUCUCAAACAGUAGGAUAUUUAGCUAACUCCAAAGUCUCAUACACAUACUCAUACAAGAGAAUUCACUUUGUGGCGAGUGGGCCGAUACAAAGUUCUUUAUCAUGUGGCAUCAAUGACAUACAAAUCAUUAUAACAUAACAAUUACCACAUGCAUAUGAAUAAUUUGUCAUUUCUCAUUCAAUUAAUCAUUAACAAAUAAUUAUAUGCACUUCAACACACGUAUCCUCAUUCUUUUUCUUGCUAAGCCAUCAUCAUUUAAUCUGAAGCAAUAAGUACGUGAUCAGUAACUUAAAAAUCGAUACUUGCAAAUUGACGACUCAAAAUGAACACUUCAGAACCAACAACUUUGAAACUGAUGUCUUAAUCCACAAAUUGACAACCUUAGAACUAGACAAUUUUGGUUGAAAUCAACAAUUUGAAAUGGGCAACCUUGGUCGGAAGUCAACUUCUUCUAAAUUGACUGCUUGAAGUUUGACACAUAGAAAUGGAUAACUUGGAUAAUAGAUUAGUUACUUAACAAUCGGUGAGUUGAUCACGAAAUCGAUUUACCUAGAAAGUUGAUUGGAUUAUCAAAAUCGGCAAAAACACUAGAAUUGGUGAAUUAGUAAGAGAACUGACAAUUGGUCAAGAAUGGUGAUUUAUCAAAAACCAAUGACUUUCAAAAUUGAAAUUUUGCUCAGAAAUCAAUUGAAUGACCAAAACUGGUAAAAUGACUUGUCAAUUGACACUUAAUCAAAAUCAAAAUCUCGUGAAUAUUUUUUCAAGUCCAAAUUCCAAAUGUUUACACUUAUCUCACCCAAAAUACAGCCAAGGCUUUUGGGGAGUCGAUCACACACUUUCUUUGCCGAAAAGAGUUAUCAAUUUAUGUCAAGUAAACAUAAUAUUUCAAUAUGCCUUUAUCAAAUCUUGAUCGCACUCGGGAUUAACAUUAGAACUCUGUUAACAAUCAUCAAACAACCAAAUCAAAAGUAAUAAAUAUAUUGACCUAACUUAAGCGUUAGAGUUUCACUUACCUUGAACAAAGACUUGGACAACUCAAAGCCUUAAUCAACUUCAAGGUAAAAUAAACAAAAACAAAGAUUAAUAGUUCUCAAUCUUUUAACAAAACUAGUUUAAUAGAAGAGAAUAAAGCCCAAGAAUUCACCUUGUGAACUCUUGAAAGAAAAAAAAAACUCUUGAAAGAUGAAUUUUGAAGCAACAAUAACACAAGUAUAGAAUUUUUUUCUUUUACUCAAAAGAUUUGAAAGUGAUAAUAGAAGAGAAGAGUGACGGAUGAUCUUUCUCUCUAAGCAAGAACAAGUUGGGAUUCUUUUGAAGCUCAGUUAUUCCUACAAGGCUUCAUACAAUCAAGAGAGGAUGUACUUUGAAGACUUACAUGAGUUACGAAGGGAUAAAAAUGUUUAACUAAGGUUAAAAGCAGUGAUAACAUUGGAUUAAAAACACUAGGUUGAAAUUGAGCAAGAGCUGUUCAAAUUAGAAAGAGACAAAUGGCUCAAUUAUAUGAUUUCAAAGUAGACAUUGCAAUGGGUUACUAAGACAUUUAGUAUUUCAGUACAUAAAUAAGGAAAUCAGUGUCCAUUAUAAAGACUAGUCAGAAAAAAUAUUUUGAAUCCACUGAAACUUUUCGUGAAAGUUACCAAAUGCAGGGAGAAACUCAACUCAGUAGAUUUCUAACUUGCUACUUUAACAAUACGUAAUCUUGGAGUGUAUGAAUCUCCAACAAUAAUUAUUACGGUGAUACAUGUUUCAUAGCCAUUAUAUAUAAUCAACUGUAAAUGUUUAUUAAUUUGUUCUUAAUUGAAUUAUUUUCCUAAAACCACUAUAACGGAAAGUAUAUUUUGAAUGUUCCGAGUACUACAACAUUUUUUAAUCCAACUGGAAUUUUUCACAUCUUGUCCUACAUAUCAGUAAUUGAUGUAGGAAUUUCUUAAUGGCAUAUUCACUCUCUCUCUCUCUCUCUCUCUCUCUCUCUCUCUCUCUCUCUCUCUCUCUCUCUCUCUCAAAGUUUUUUUAUAUGUCAUCGGAUCUUAAACAUUUUUAUGGUGGCAUACAGAUAUUUUGAUAUUAAAUCUGCAUGGACAAGUAUAUUUCAGAGAAAAGAUUCCUUUUUUUUCUCUUAAAAGCUCACCAUAUGUUGAUGAUGGAAAGGUUUGAUUAUAUAAAUCAAGCAUAUUAGGGGACUUAAUUGCAUCGAAAAAAUUGAGAAGCGGAAUUGAUAAACUCUAUAAGUAAAAAGACUAAAUUAGUCAUUACGUAAUAUGAUUUUGGAAAACAGUGGGAGUUGAAUUUGUUAAAGCUCUUCGAGCACUUUUUUUGGUAAUUGAUGUUAUGUAGAUACAGAAGGAAAAAAGUGAAAAUAUCAAAGCGGACCAUCUGAUGGGCCUACAGAGUUUUCCGAGGUUUAACUUGUACUCUAGCAGCCCAACCCUUUUUAAGAACCAAAACUGGCUCGGGUUAUUGAGGUAAUCAGGAGGCACGUUUGGGCAAGCUCGUUUAAUUCUUUCGAAAUGACAUGAAUGCCUUGUCACGUACGAUGCUCCCCUUAAUAUCUUAAUAAAUCUCGUUGUUGAUCUAUACAAAUAAGGGAUAUGUCAAUGCUGAAACUCCAAGAGUAACACUAUAGGCAUAAAAGAUUUUACCUGUUUUGAAAUUCUCUGGCCUUUCUAAAAUCGUGGAAACUCUUUAUUGCAGCUCCUGAGAUCAAUCAUGGGUUAUUUAACCGAUUGCUAGAAGGGCGCAUAUAAUUCUCUGAUGAGAUAGCCACAUAACGGGCUCUCCCAAAUCUUAUCGACCUAACUUGAUUUCUCAUUUAUGGGAUAAGGAUCUCAUGAGUAUCAUAACUUUCCUACACUUAAGUACUAUAACUUGCAUGUCAUGACUUCUAUUAAUAUUCUAUCGAGUGUCAUACUUUUUAAUUAAUUGGUUGAGUGUCAUAAACAUUUUAAAAAAUUUCAUCACAAUCAUCUUGUCACAUCGGAUUUUCAAUUCUUGUAGUGAACAUCAAAAAAUUAUGAGAUUAUCACUUCCUCUAAACCCAAAAGCAACCUCGAAUUACAUUAUUAAUUGUUAGGAACAUCAUUCAGCUAUCAUAAGCCCCAAGAAAAUGGAAGCAUGACAUAUGACAACAAUUAUUAGAUGAGCUCAUCCUGUGCUCAGUAUCGAAAUGAUCCACAUGUCAAUUUUCAGUGGUUGGAAUUAAGGACUUCAUAAUCUGCCAGCUAUAGAAGGGUACGACCAUCUCCUGUAUGCUUGCGACUGAACUGCUCCUCAGAAUGGUAAAACAUGCCAGAGCCUUCCUACAAGAGCGAUUCUGAUGUUUCCGCUGAUAAUUAUCUCCUACCAAACAAUGUCGUUCUAAAUGAAAUUAAAGAAAUCUAUAAUGUUUGAUAUGUGAAAAUUACGUUCAAUUAAAUAGGGACACUUUAAAAGUUGAUUUUUCUCAUUUAUAUAUAUUAUAAGUACAUGCCAUUGGCAUGUAAUAUAUGAAUGAGAGACGUAUCAUUCUAAGUCGAGUUCAAUGCAGAUAUUCUGUCAUACUUCGAAUUGUGCACAAAUUCAAUGUGAUCUUUCGAGUAUACACUUCAUUUGAUCUUUUUAUAUAUGGGAAUAAAAGAUGACGAGAAAGAACAUAAAGAAGUACAGCAGAUGAGGGAGGGAGAGAGAGAGAGAGAUUUGUUGAAACAAAUCUGAAAAUUAAAAGGAGAAAAAAAAAUGGAGAAAAAAAAUUUUAAGAAAAAUUUAAAAGUUGUCAUACUUCAUUAUCUCCAAAUAUGUCUUAUUAAUUUCAGAAUUUGGACUAGAAUCACUUCCCUCUCGUUAAGUAGAUAACGAGUUGAAGAGAAAAAUCUAGUAACGAAUCAAAAGGAGACUCGACCCAAUUUAGGAUUUAAUAAAAGCUAGCUGGGGGCGGUUGAGGCAAUUAAGAGCAUAUAAAGAUAGGCUUGUCAGGUACUUUUAAAAUGACGUGAAUUCUUUAUCUAUUUAGUACCACAAAAUAUUAGGUGGUGUUAAUAACCAUGUCCACAGUGGCCGCACCACCAACCACAGCAAGCUCACGAUGGCCUUGCCCAAUUGUGAAUUGGAUUUGUUUUUUUUUUUUUCCCCUUGUAGAGUUUCUUUUUCUUUUUCUUUUUCUUUUGGGGGGGGGGGGGGGGGGGGGUUGUGGUUUCUCAUCUUGAAUUUCUUACUAAAGGGGUUUUGCUUGUUCUGGUUUUGAAUUGAUGUGCAUUUUGAUUACUUCCUUUGAUGUUGAUUCUCUCCCCAACAGCACGAAUAUUUACUUUAACUUAUAAAAUUGAAUCCGUCAUAGUAGUUUGAUUUUGAUUUGAGUUUUAAUAUAUCGUUUUGCUAGAAUCAAAUUUUCUCCAUAUGAAGCUGAUAAAAGCUUUUGAAUUUGACACAAGAUGAGUAUGACUUGUCUUGUGCAUCACCAGAAAUCGAUUUAUGAGAAAUUCUAUGAUUGCCAUGAGCUAAUUAAGCAUAUAUAUAUAUAUUAUUGAAAAAUCACUCUUUGUAAAAUAUUAUCCUUUUUUUUUUUGCUAUAUGAGAUGUACAUACGGAAGAAGGGCAUUUGAGCGUUUAAAAGGAGAUCUCAAGUAAGAAAUAUGGAUUAUCCCAAAAGUAAAACUUAUAGAUCUAUCAUCACAUCAAAUAUGUGAAGUGCGUACCAAAAACACAUUAAAUGCACUCAAUUCAAUAUGUAGAUGGUAACCAUGCAAUUCAAUUCCCACGUUUUUCACAGCACAUACCUAAACACUUUUUGUCAUCUUGAGUUUCUUACUAUAGGGGUUUUGCUUGUUCUAGUUUUGAAUUGGCGAGAAAAAUCUGACUUUUCUUAUGCAUUUUAGAAGGUUAUGGAAUUAAAAAGGGAGGUUUCGAUGUGAAUUUUGAUUUCUUCCUCUUCUGAUGGUGACUCUCUCCCCAACAACACGAAUAUUUACAUUAACUUAUAAAAUUGACUCCAUCGUACUAGUUUGAUUUUGAUUUGAAUUUUAAUAUAUCGUUUUGCUAGAAUCAAAUUUUCUCCAUAUGAAGCUGAUAAAAGCUUUUGAAUUUGACACAAGAUGAGUAUAACUUGUCCUGUGCACCACCAGAAAUCGAUUUAUGAGAAAUUCUAUGAUUGCCAUGAGCUAACUGAGCAUAUAUAUACUAUUGGAAAAUCACUCUUUGUGAAAUAUUAUCAUUUUAUUUAUUUUUGCUAUAUGAGAUGUAUAUACGGAAGAAGGGCGUUGAGUAUUAAAAAGGAGAUCUCAAGUAAGAAAUAUGGAUUAUCCCAAAAGUAAAACUUAUAGAUCUAUCAUCACGUCAAAUAUGUGAAGUGCGUACCAAAAACACAUUAAAUGCACUCAAUUCAAUAUGUAGAUGGUAACCAUGCAAUUCAAUUCCCACGUUUUUCACAGCACAUACCUAAACACUUUUUGUCAUCUUGAGUUUCUUACUAUAGGGGUUUUGCUUGUUCUAGUUUUGAAUUGGCGAGAAAAAUCUGACUUUUCUUAUGCAUUUUAGAAGGUUAUGGAAUUAAAAAGGGAGGUUUCGAUGUGAAUUUUGAUUUCUUCCUCUUCUGAUGGUGACUCUCUCCCCAACAACACGAAUAUUUACAUUAACUUAUAAAAUUGACUCCAUCGUACUAGUUUGAUUUUGAUUUGAAUUUUAAUAUAUCGUUUUGCUAGAAUCAAAUUUUCUCCAUAUGAAGCUGAUAAAAGCUUUUGAAUUUGACACAAGAUGAGUAUAACUUGUCCUGUGCACCACCAGAAAUCGAUUUAUGAGAAAUUCUAUGAUUGCCAUGAGCUAACUGAGCAUAUAUAUACUAUUGGAAAAUCACUCUUUGUGAAAUAUUAUCAUUUUAUUUAUUUUUGCUAUAUGAGAUGUACAUACGGAAGAAGGGCGUUGAGUAUUAAAAAGGAGAUCUCAAGUAAGAAAUUUGGAUUAUGCCAAAAGUAAAACUUAUAUAUCUAGCAUCACGUCAAAUAUGUGAAAUGUGUACUAAAAACACAGUAAAUGCACUCAAUUCAAUAUGUGGAUGGCAACCUUGCAAUUCAAUUCCCACGUUUUUCAUGGCACAUACCUAAACACUUUUUGUCUUUACCUGGCGCACAAACAAGCGACACACUCCUUACUUGGGCACCUCCCAAACACUCUUCCCCCAUUAAUUUGAUUGGUUUGAAUUAGUUGCCUUCGAUUAAGUCAACAUUUUUUACGAGAUUUUUGUGAAUAUAUUUAAGUACUUAUCGAUUGAAGUUUUUUGUAAUAUUAAAGCGAAAACUCAUUAAAUCUACUAGCAAAUCAACACGAAAUCACUAAUAAAUAAACGAAGAAUAAAAAAUAAAAAAUAAAACACUAGAUUUUUAUGUAGUUCAGUCUAAGUAUCGGUAUUUGCUCCACUGGAAGAGUCAAGAGCAAAUAGUAGUCUUGUGACUAAUCUAAAAAUUAUAGAGUAACAACCACUUACAAGCUCAAAUAUUUUUCAUACCUAAAUCACACACGAGCCCACAAAGUUCAUGAAUAACAUAACUUGAUCCUUCUUUCUUUCUUACUUGUUCGUCCUCGAAUGGAAGACUUUCUAUAUCUUUUCUGCAUCUUAAAAUCAUGAAAAAAUUUAAACCAUUUUCUUGAUACGGCCAACCAACGGUGGCGCCACUUGUACGGCCUUCAGAGAAGUCAAUCUCUUUUUUGAUCAAUCUUGGAUACUUACACAGUUGCCACUGCUCCAAAGAAAAUAAAAAGUAAAAUAACAACCUUAUCUUGUUCGAACUCCUAGGACAUGGCUCCAAUAGGUAUUCAGUUAAGAAUUCUGGUCCAUCUCACCCAUUUUGGAUUGGGUCUCACGCACUAGCUCAAAUUCGAGAUAUCAUUUAAAAGAGCUCAUAAAUUCUCAUAGUUAAUUAUGCUUAAGUGUUCAAAUCCCCACAUUUUCAUGGGGAUGGGGUGGGAACGUGUAAGGUUCAAGAGUGGAUUUCGACUCCCACGCCCUGCACGAGGCGCGACAAAAGUCUAAGAGUGAGUGUAGAGUAGGAAUAGAAUAGGACUGACAAAAAAAAAAAUUAUGCUUAAGUGAUUUGAAACUAAAGAAAUUAAAAAAAUAAAACCCACACUAAUAUUUAGUUUCAUAUAGAAACUUAACUUUGAUUUGAGUUCUAAUAUAUCUUUUUGUUUAAAUUAAUUUGAUUUUUAAAUUUCACACAAGAUGCUUACAACUUAUCUUAUGUGUCAUUUGAAGUUAAAUAUAUGAUAAACUAUAUAAUUGUCAUGAGCUAACCAUUCGGGGAUAUCACUAGAACAUUUUACUCAUUAUGAAAUUCUUUCCCCACAAGUGAAAUAUAUAUAUAUAUAUAUAUAUAUAUAUAUAUAUAUAUAUAUAUAUCAAGUACUAAAAAUGACAUCUCAAAUAAGAAAUUCCGCAUGUCCCAAACAUAGGAGGUACAAAUUAUUAUCAAAUGCCACAACAAAUAUCAAAUAUACGAAGUUUAUGCCUCAAUUAGCGUGCCCGCCGACAGGCAACAGUACUGGAAGAAUCCGUCCAUCUACAGGGUGCCCGCCUUCAUCACCAACCUCAACUGGAAGGCCUACCAGCCGCAGGUUGUCUCUUUCGGCCCCUACCACUAUGGUGAGGUCCACCUCGGCCAAAUGCAGGAACACAAGCACCGCGUGCUCCUCCACUUCCUCGAGCGGUCGGGGAAGACCCUCAAGCGCUUCCUUAGCUCCUUGAGAAAGGUGGCGCGGGACCUUGAGGAGAUGUACGACACGCUAGACCCGAAGUGGAUGGAGGGCGGAGGGGGCCGGUUCCUGGAGCUGAUGAUGAUGGACGGUUGCUUCAUGCUCGAGAUCAUGAGAACCACGAUAGAGGAGAAGCAUGGCUACUCGCCCAACGACCCUAUCUUCAGCACCUCCAGGCUGGCAUACUUAAAGCCGUACAUAAGACGAGACAUGCUGAUGCUGGAGAAUCAGCUGCCGAUGCUAGUGCUGUAUGAGCUGGUCGCCAUCGAGAGCGAUUACACGAUGGUUAGUUUCUUAGAUUUCGCUCCCUUGUUAGAGAGGUUAUUGCAUGCACGCAAACCGCCGUACUAUGUUCACCUAAUAGUACAUCUUGGUGAUCUCACAUCAACCUCACGUAGAAUCCACCAAAUUUAAUGCUCCAAAAAUGUUGGAUGUUCGAGAUCACUCAACAAUUUCAUUAUUAAAUCUAUCAAUAAGAGAAAAAAGGAAAAGGGAAAAUUCUACCAAAUGUCUCUUAACUAAUUAUAAAAAAUAUAUCAAGUAUUGCGCUAACUAAUAAAUCCUAACUAAUGAUGUUUGAUAUGUCAAAUAUUAAACAAAUAGGAAAAAAACUUUUAGCAAAUCUUCUCUAGUACUCCCUCUCAAGUAGGUGCAUGGAGGUCACAAAUGCCCCACGUGCUAACGAGAAAUGUAUACCAAUUUUGACUCAAUGUCUUGGUUAAAAUGUUUGCCAAUUACAGUCUAGUGGGUACGUGCUCAAUUUUAAUGGCCCUGGACUGUGUUCUCUAGAACAAAGUGGCCAUCAAUCCCAAUAUGCAUUAUUCAAUUGUGAAAUACCGGGUUUGCUGCAAUGUGUGAGGCGGCAUGGCUAUCGCAAUAAAGACCCAUCGGUUUGUCGUACAAUAAUUUAAGGGAGGCAAGUAAGUGUGUAACCAAAUCAAUUCACUAGUGGUAGUUGCCAUAUUCAACUUCAGCAGAAUAUCAAGAAACGGUGAUGUGCUUCUUGGUUCUCCAAGACACUGGACAACCACUGAGCAUGACAAAGUAACAAGUCAUCGAAUGCCGAGUGAUCGGGCAACUCGCCCAAUCAAAAUCACUAAAGGCAGCCAAGCGAAAUGAAGUCGAGAAUGGUAACAAAAUCUCUUGUCCUGGGUUUUUCUUGAGAUAUUUAAAAACUUGUGUAGCGGAAUUCCAAUGUACUCCUUCGGAUGUUGCAUCAACUGAAAACACUACGUGGACGAAAUAACAUAAUUUAGGUCGAGUGCUAUGAUAAAAAUUAACAAAGAUUUUGUAAAUCUCUAAUUUUUCCUUCAUCAAAUAGAUCCAAAUUGCUCGACUAUAAUUAUCGUCGGCACAAAUUUUACACAAGGCAUUGCUUAACGGAAAAGGAAAAGGGAAAAGGGAAAAUUUACCAAAUAUUAUUUAACUAAUUAUACGAGAAAUGUUAUGCUAACUUAUAAAUCCUUGCUAACGAUAACAGAUACACUGUAAGGAAAGUAAGUCUUUAGCCAAUCUUUUCUAAUAAUCACCUCUAUGGGAGACUUCUGUUUUUCCUUUUAAGCAAGUAGUAUCGACGCGACAACAAUCUUGUAUCCAAUGCUCUGACUUUACUGGAACAACACAGGACGACGAAUACGUCAACAAGCUCGUCCUCAAGUUCUGUUCCCCCAGCAUGCGCAUCACAAGGAUGGGCAUGGGCAAAUGCCUGCAUGUCGUGGACGUCUUCAGGAAGGGCCAGCUGACGGACACCGCGAAGGUCCGGUACGAGCCAGAACAUGUGGAGCUUGAGGCUGCUGCGGAGACUGAGCAGAUAGUCCGAUCGGCCACCGAGCUCAACGAGACCGGGAUCCAGUUCAAGAAGAGCCGGACCAACAGUCUCAAGGACAUCUCCUUUGCCAGAGGGGUCCUGAGCCUCCCCGUUAUCAAGGUGACUGACACCACCGAGUCCGUGUUCCUCAACCUCAUGACUUUCGAGCGCUUGCACAUCGAGGCUGGGAACGAGAUCACAGCCUACAUCACCUUCAUGGACAACAUCAUCAACAGUGAACAGGAUGUUGCGCUGCUUCAUGCCCAAGGCAUCAUCCAGAAUGGCGUUGGAAGUGACAAGGCAGUCGCCAAGCUAAUCAACUCUCUGUGCAAGGAAGUGCCGCUCACAUCCAACAAAAGCCUUGAUGUUGUGCAAAAGAACAUCAGUAAGUACUGCGCGAAGCGCUGGCACAAGUGGAGGGCUAAUCUCAACCAUACCUACUUCAAGAGUCCUUGGACUAUUUUGUCUCUCAUCGCCGCCUUCUUCCUCUUCGCGCUCACUGCAGUGCAGACAGUAUAUUCCGUGCUCAGCUACAAUUGAACCCUCCCGUUGCCUAAUAAUUUAUUUUUUCCAUUUUUAAGUUUUUCUCCUAAUGGCUGAUGCUUGAUGAUUAUCUCUCGAUUGGUUGUUGAUUGUUGUCGUGAAUGAUUUUCCUCCUAUUUCCAGUCGUGCUUAUUUCCCUCUCUAUAUGUUUCAAACGAUGGACAUUUGGCUGUUUAUAUAUCAUUAUCCGAUGAUGAUUCUCUUGUUUCAGUCUUCUUCAUUUUUGUCCAAUUUGGAUAGGUAUUCUGACGGAUGAUCAAGUUUUAGGCAAAUGAAAUCUUCCAUUAAAACAUUUUCUUCUUGAUUAAAUUUUGUUGAAGUUGUUCCAGAAAAACCAAGACUCUGCAAGUUUCUAGAUCUAUUUUAAGUAGUUAAAGUAUGUGGUUCUAGCUUAGUUGGUGGUAGUUAGAAGUAAUGGCUAAAAAUUUGUCCAACAUGAAAUAUAAAGCAAAUUUCUCUGUUUGUGACGGAGAUUCUUAGCAGAAGAGUCAAUUAGGAAGGACUAUAAAAAGGCUUCAUGCUCGUUCAUUCAUGUCCAGAUCGACUACAGCUCCACAAAUCCCUUGUACCAAACAUUUUGAUAAUACAAACAUCUCCAAAAGCUCCUUCCCUUGUUCCUUUGUUGAGUAAAUCCCACAGACAUACACACUUGCUCAUUAACACCAAAAGCUAACAGUGGUAUUAAAGACUCGUUCAGUUGCUAUUGGACAUGAGUCCUAUCUACCAAUAAGGUCGCAGAUGCGCUAAGUUAGAAGUCAUCAAUUGUGCAAAUGAUGGUUCAAGAGCAGACUCUACUCGAAGGAGUUUGAGAUUUGAAUUUCAAGUUUGAAAUAAGCCACCUUUCAAGUCUUUUGGCUAUCCUCAGAAUUGAAUUGGAAGUGCAGGUGAAGAUUAAGACGUUGCAAUCGUCAGACCUUGAAAUCUAGAAGAUUCUACAAGAAGACACAGAAAAGAGGAAAACGGAUAUUCAAGUAACUGAGGAUGUAAUAUUAAAGUUUUGUGGACGAUUGUGCGUUCCCAAUAAUGUGGAGCUUAGGGAAGAAAUCUUGUUGGAAGCCCAUCGUAGUGGUUAUAAUAUUCAUUUAGGCAGCACAAAGAUGUUUCAGAAUCUAUGCCAAUACUAUUGGUAGAACGGUAUAAAGGUAGAUAUCACCAAGCUUAUCGCCAAUUGUUUAAUGUGUCAGCAAGUGAAGGCACAACAUUGCAAGCUUGGCGAACUUUUGCAACCUCUGGAGAUUGCCAAAUGGAAAUGGAAACAUAUUACGAUAGAUUUUGUGAUAAGAUUGCCGAGAAGUCAGUGGGGUAACAAUUCCAUCUGGGUCACGGUUAAGAGGUUGACAAAGUUUGCACAAUUCAUCACCAUACGAAAGGACUUUGCCUUAGACAUAUAUGAUGAAUUGUACGUGCAAUAGAUAGUUUAUCUUCAUAGAGUACUAGUAAUGAUCACGUCAGAUCGAGAUCCUAAGUUUACGGUGGCUUUUUGGAAAAGUCUGCAAAAUGCCUUAGGAAUGAAGUUACAGUACGACACAGCCUAUCAUCUGCAUAUGAAUGGCCAAUCUAAAAGGACUAUUCAGACGCUCAAGGAUAUGCUGCGAGCUUGCGUAUUAAACUUUAAGGGAAAUUAGGAGAAACAACUUCAUCUGGUUGAGUUCACCUACAACAAUAGCCAUCAGCAGAGCAUCAAGAUGGCAACAUUUGAAGUGUUGUAUGACAAGGUUUGCAGAACUCCUAUCUGUUAGGACAAAGUUGAAGAACGCAAGGUUACGAGUCCUGAGUUAGUUCAGUAGUUAGUGGACGCCGUCAAAGUCAUUCAAGAAAGGCUUAGGAUAGCCCAAAGCCAUCAAAAGAGUUAUGCAGAUAAACGACAUAGGCUUUUAGAGUUUCAAGUAGGCAAACACGUUGUUCUCAAAGUGUCACCGAUGCCAGGAACUUCACGUUUUGGCAAAAAGGAAAAGCUAAGUCCAAGGUACGUUGGUCCCUUCGAGAUUUUGGAGCGAAUUGAGACUUUAGCUUAUCAUCUCACCUUGCCAUUGAGACUCGCUCAAGUAUAUGAUGUUUUUCACGUGUCGAUAUUGAAGAGGUAUGAACCUUAUCCAACCCACGUGCUAAAUUUUGAAAAAAUAGACUUGGAUGAAAGGGUAUCGUACAUGGAGAGGCCAAUUCGGAUAGUGGAUCAAAAGGAGCAAAUGCUAUGCAACAAGACGAUUCCCUUAGUCAAGGUGGUCUAGCAACACAGCAGAACGGAGGGAGUCAUGUGGGAAAGCGAAGAGAUGAUGAGGUAUUAGCAUCCCCACCUUUUUGAGGAAGUCUUGUAAUAUUUCAAAUUUCGAGGACAAAAUUUUUGUAAGAAGGAAAGAGUUGUGAUAUUCCGAAAUUUGACCAUUUUCGAAAUAUAUGAAGUUGUUAUUUCAUCAAUGCGCUGAAGGUUAAUUUACUUUGAACUGAUCAUUUAUGAAAUAACUAAUCUAUUAGAUGAGGCCGUAAAUAGUUAAAACACGAAAGAGUAGAAAAUUCAGUUAAAGAUCGACCACUCAAUCAUAAGGAUCGACAAUGGUCAAUAUUACACUGUUAUAAAUCAAUUAGCGAAUGGAUCAAUGGAAGUACGUAUACAGUUUGCGGGUGGUUCCACACAAUUACGAUACUCGCGUCAGACGACGAUAAACCGAUUUUCUAUUGAUCUUGUACUCAUGAUACAUAGUUGAACUCUCGUGAUUACAUGACAACCAAAGGUCAUCCACGAUUCGAAGUGAGGUACAAAGGUAGAUCGAAAAUUAUCGAUCACAAGUCAACUACGCAAAAACCUCUAAAAGCCAUCUGAUAUUUAUGUCGUACUAAAGUCGCAUUUGAUCGAUUUUAACCAUAAAAUUUAAUUCAAUUUUGGGAAUUGAACUUUUGAGGAUUUCCAAACCCAUACAUUGGACAUCCCCAAAAUUUUCGGCAAGUUCAAAAUUUUCAGAAAAAUAAUUAUAAUACAAAAAUUGGAAACCGGAAAGGGAACCAGGCCUAAGGGAAAAAUUAGAAAGUUUGGACAAAAAGUAAAUGAAAUGUCCAAAGAAAAAAGAAAUAAAGGAAAUGAGGAGAGGAUUUUACGGGAUUUUGUUGGAUUUAUCAAUGAUAAAAAUUUUUGGAAAAAUCUUGAGAAAUUUCCUCUCCCCCCCCCCCCCCCCCAUUUCCCCCUUGGACGGCUGAACCUCCUUCCUCCUCCUCUCUCUCUCAUUUUGCUUCUCCUUCUUCAUCUUCAUCUUCUUUAUUCUUCCUUGGGUGACCACCACCACCGCCCACAUCACCACCGUCCACCACUACCUCCAUCUCCACUGCCCAAGCCAAGCCCAAGCUUGGUCGUACGUUUUGAGGAGUUACCGCCGCCGCGCCAUCUUCGUUGUCACUUGUCCACGCCAUCACUGUUCCUCACGUUGUCGCUCACUGACCUCACCACCGCCACAAGCCACCACCAAACACUCCUCCCUCCUUAGCCAAGCCGUGGGUCUCAAGUGUCGAGCUACCACCAUUCGUGUCUCCACUCAAGCCAUGAGACCCGAGUUCUCGUCACCGUCGCACCGCCGUUGUCGCGAGCUCCCCGUCGCUAGAAAACUAGUGAGUUAAUUCAUAAUCCUUGAUUAGGAAGUUAAUUUCCGUAGAUUUAGUUUAGGGCUAAUGGUAGUAGUGGCCUUUAAUGAUGAUUUAGCCCUAACUAAGGUUAAUGAUGGAUUAGAUUAAGGUUAAUAAAGGUUACUCUUAACUAAGGAUGGUUAGUUUAAUUAAUCAUGUUCAGGUUAAUUAAGUGUGGUUAGUUUAAUUAAUUAUAAUUACCUAAAUUAAUAUUAAGUAUUUAAUUAAUUGUGAUUAGUCUAAUUAAAUGUAAUUAGUUUAAUUAAUUGCAAUCAAUAUUAGUUAAUCACUAUUAGACUAAUUAAAAACGAUUAGUAUUAAUUAAUAUAGUUAGUUUAAUUAACUGCAGUUCAUCGUAAUUAAUCAUGAUUAGUGUAAUUAAUAGCUAUUAGCUUAAUUAAUCGCAUUUAACGCUAAUUAAUCAUGAUAGUGGAAAUUAAUGAUGGAUUAGUCGUUAAGUAGAAUUUUACGCUUGUUUUACUGGAUGAAUAUGUGCUUAAUUCAGCUUGUCUAAGCUUUUUAUGCCAUGAUGUUGAUUGCCCAAAUCAUGAGUUUAAUGUUUAUUUGAAAAGAAAAUGACAAAUUUUGAGGUGUCGUGUUUGGACCUCAUGUUUUAUAUGUUAAAUGGGACAAUGGGAUUUUAAAAUAAAAGCGUGCAAAUUUUGGUGAGUUAAUUUUAAGUACAAGAGCACGUUCAAUUAUUUUACUGAAAUUUUAAAUGUAAAGAUUUUCAGAGGUUUGUUAUCUAAGUGCGAACUCUACGGUAGAUUAAAUUGGCUUGAAUCUUGGCAUGCUUGUGUGGUCAUUUAAUUGAACUCGUCGGUGUACUUGUGUGGUCACUUAAUUGAACUUGUCACCCAAUGGGAGUUUGAGGACAAUGCCUAAUGUUUAUUGGAUGCCCAACGGGGGUCUGGAUGCUGAGUUGCAGUUGAGGCCGGACCAAUGCUCAUUUAUGAAAUUCCAUCUAGGCGGGGAUUUUAGACGAUGCCGUUCCCGAUAGGGCAGGACGUUCCCCGAUCAUGCUAGAAGACCGUUAACUCAUGUGUUUGUGGCAUUGUGCUUGAUUAUGAGGUAAAACUAUGAGGCACGGUAUGGGACAAACCAGAACAGGUUUUACCUUAUAAUUGGGACCUGUGUAGAUGCAUGGUGCAUGAGAGUUAUGUGUUCUAGUUAUUAAUUAUACUUGUUGAAUGAUAAUGUCAUAUGUGAUGUACUAAUAUGCAGGAGUGUGCCAAGGCGAGACAUGAUUGUAUAUCGUUGUAUGUUUAGACUGCCUCCGAAACGAAUUUGCAUCCUAAUCAGGGCUUAGGCUGGUAAAUCGCUGAAAUUUAUAUCUUACCCCAUUAUUAUUAAUUAUUUUUCAGGCUCAUAGUAUGGAGAACCAUCAUAUUAGGUUCAAGGUCCCUAUGGAGAUGAAAAGUUGGCAUCUCAUUAGAGAAGGUUAAGUUAACUUUAGACCCCUACAGGUUUUUGUAAUGGUUUGUAAAAAUGAAACUUCCCGAGUUAAACAAACAUAUAAAACAAAGUAGCAUUUUGGAAGUGUCACUAUUGUACUGCUUUACUGUCCCUAUUCUUUACUGAUUGAAUGUUGUUUAUAUAAAUUGCUUCUGCAUGGGUUUUAAUUAAAAGAGAAAAAGGAUGGAUCGGCGACAUGUCUUGGAAUGUUGCACUUUAAUCGAUAGUUGAGGAACGUUCACGCACUCGGGAGUUCGAGGUUUGACAAUAGGAGUCUAGUUAAUGUGCAACUGGAAUAAGAUUACAACAACCAAAUAGGAUAAGUGUGCUGAGCUUUAAUCCAAUAAAUUCGGUUUAACAAAUCGAUCUCGUCCUCUAAUCAGAUUAGUUUCGUAUACUUGAUCGAAUUGUUUUUGUUUGUGGCUGAAACUCAUACUAUAAUUUGACAACAUACUAAAAGAAGAGUUUAUGACGCAACAAAGGCACGCAUCAUUAGACUUCAAUCUCUUCAAAAUGCUAAAAUAAACAAUUAUGAGACCCUCAAACAAUAAUGUGGAAGAUUAAGAGGACAAUUAAAUUACAUAAGGGCUUAAGGAGAUGAUACCAGGGUAGAAGAAAAAUUAUUUGUGACACUUAUUAGAGAGUAGAAUAUCAUUGUCGACUCUGUAGAAGAACUGAUCUCGUCCUCUAAUCAGAUUAGUUUCGUAUACUUGAUCGAAUUGUUUUUGUUUGUGGCUAAAACUCAUACUAUAAUUUGUCAACAUACUAAAAGAAGAGUUUAUGACGCAACAAAGGCACGCAUCAUUAGACUUCAAUCUCUUCAAAAUGCUAAAUAAACAAUUAUGAGACCCUCAAUCAAUAAUGUGGAAGAUUAAGAGGACAAUUAAAUUACAUAAGGGCUUAAGGAGAUGAUACCAGGGUAGAAGAAAAAUUAUUUGUGACACUUAUUAGAGAGUAGAAUAUCAUUGUCGACUCUGUAGAAGAACCGAUCUCGUCCUCUAAUCAGAUUAGUUUCGUAUACUUGAUCGAAUUGUUUUUGUUUGUGGCUGAAACUCAUACUAUAAUUUGUCAACAUACUAAUAGAAGAGUUUAUGACGCAACAAAGGCACGCAUCAUUAGACUUCAAUCUCUUCAAAAUGCUAAAUAAACAAUUAUGAGACCCUCAAACAAUAAUGUGGAAGAUUAAGAGGACAAUUAAAUUACAUAAGGGCUUAAGGAGAUGAUACCAGGGUAGAAGAAAAAUUAUUUGUGACACUUAUUAGAGAGUAGAAUAUCAUUGUCGACUCUGUAGAAGAAUUGAAGGAUUUAAAAACCAUGUUUGUGAGUGAAUUAAUUGACUCUUUAGGGGCGUAUAAAAAAAAAAACUAAUGCUACGAGAUGAAGAUUGUAGCCAAAACAGAGCACAAUAAAGCAUAUACACGAAUCUCACGAAAAAACUCUCUCUCAAGGAUUUUUUUAGUUCAAUCGUCAGUGAUCCUUCUCCAUCGCUCCUCAGAUGUUGUCACCACCAUCGAUUGACCACGUCCGUUGCUUCCAAGUCUUGUCCGCCGCGCCUCUCUUCUCCCUCCCUUCUUUAAUGUGAGUGUUCAAAGCUCCUUAUGCUUGCUCGGUCCUUCUUUGCCGGCACCAAUCACGCUUGAUGUUUUGCUUCGAACCACGAUAUCUUUACAACAUGAAGUACUCAAGAACAAGGCUACCCUUCAAACCAUGACAUCUGCUUCCAAAUUGUCGAACAAAGCUUGAAUGAGAGAGAGAGAACAAUAGAGGAAGAGAGAUAAAAUUGCUUUAAAGCGGCAGCAUUUUGUGAUUAAAGAACAACUCAUCAUCACAUGGAUUUCUUAAAAUGAAAAAAAUACUUAAGCAUUAACUUUUAGGGUCCAUUCAUUUCGUGAAAAAUAUCAUAUUUUUGGAAAAUAUUUUGUAGGAAGUCAUUUUUCAAGAAAAUAACUAUAUUUUUUGGUGUUCAAUUGAAACCUGAAAUUUAAGUGAAAAAUAUUUUUCAUUGUCCGUUAUCUAAUUUGAUUUUUUAAGAUAAAGUACCAAAAAAAACUAAAUUUCAAUAUUUUUAAUUGACCAAAAAAAUUUAAUUUUAAUUUAUAUAUAUUUAAAAAAAUUAAUUUUAAUUUUUUUAAAUCAAAUUUUUAUUUUUAUUUUUUAUUUUUUCUUUCUUUCUUUUUCUUUUCUUCCCUCCUUCUUCCUCCUCCUUCCUAUGCCACUGCAUGCCUCGACGUGGCCAACUACUCAGCGGCCAACCAAGACAUAAUCGCUAGAUCCAACAAGCUCGAGGCUCGGCCGAUCCAGGUGAGCCGUGAGCUUGCCGGCCAAUGGAUAGGGCUCGCCUGGAUUGGCUGAGCCUCAAGCUCGCCAGCCUCAACAGAGCUUGAGGUUACUUGGAUCGAGUGAGCCGCAAGCUCGCCAACCCAAUACAGGGAAGCCCAAGCUCUGCCAAGGCUAGCAAGCCCAUGGCUUGCCAAAUUCGAUGAGCUCGAGCUUUCCCUCACCGGAUCUGGCCUUGGGCAAGGCUGGAGUUGGCCUGUGGCCUGCAAUCGGCCAAGGAAAAAGAAAAGAAAAGGGAAGAAAAAGAAAAAUAAUUAAAAACUCAAUUUUAAAAAAGAAAUAAAGAAGAGGAAAAACAAAAAAUAAUUCAAAAUAAUUCAAAUAAAAAAAAAGGAGGAGGAGAAGGAAGAAGUGAGGGCUUAUAGGGAUGUGAGUUUUUCUUAGUUUAGAAGACUAUUUUCCUUUUAUGGAAAAUUUUUUCCUUAAGUAAUUCAUUUUCCAAGAAAGAAACAUUGAAAAAUUCGGAAAACGUUUUCUCAGAAGUUAUUUUAUAUAAAAUGAAUGGAGUCUUUAUGAAAAAGCCAUGUUAUAUUUUUUGUUGGAAUUUCUCGUCGAUUGGCACUUUAAGAUUUCGUUUUCUUUUUUUCUUUUUUUCUCUCGAUUCCACACUUAAGUGAACCGACAAAAUUUUUUAGAAAUGAAGUGAGUACCGUACAAAACUUUUAGCACUUUUAAUAUCUUAUGCCUCCAUAAUUUAGUUUGAUGCAAUUGUUCUCCCGCAAUAGAUUCAGGAAAAUCCGUGGGGGUUUACACCGUGGACAUACAAAGUAUCAAAACACAGACCACCCUCUUGUGAUUCUUGAACAAAACAAAGUACUUACAUAAAUUACUGUGGUGUUUACUCUUUCGUGAUGUGAUUCGUUUCUUUUUGCCUCCAUGUAUGGAACUAUUUUAUUAUCCUCCCUCUUUAGUCGUGCUCCAGGAAAGGCGGUCCACAGAAUUAACGUGGACCCCCAGAAAUGGUUGCAAACUCGAUUACUCCUAGAAGAUUAAGAUCUAAAGGGUUGUCUUAAUGACACAGAAUUAUGUACUGGGUCAAUUGAUGUGUUGUGCUUGUUUACGAGUAUAUACCCAGAAUCCUAAAAUGAGCCUUCUGGGCUUGUCCAAGAUGGGCUUUAUCCUUCAGCAUUUGCAACAAAAGGGCUCAACAAAAAGCCUUUUGAUCUUCCUUUCCUUGAGGAACGGUUGACCCUGACCAUGACCAACAAAAGGGCUCAACAGCUAAUGCCUAUGAUCGUGUACUAUAAAGCUGUCUUUGGUGGGAUUUUUUUGUCGAAUAAAAUAAUGGUCGAAUAAGAUAUUGAUGGGAUUUGUUAUAUGGUAUCUAUUCUUUCGUAAAUAUCCGGAUAUAACAUAGAUAAUAAGAGAACUGCUCUAUUGACGAAGAAAUCUGCUGCUCUAAAGCACUGUUAACGAAAACUUCGCCUUCAUGCCGCACAGCGAAGACAUCCCCCAGAUCAGGGGCCCCGCGACUUCCGCGACAGUUCUCCGUGGAGUCCAAGAAGCAGUCGCGAGAGAGGAAAAAAUGAUAAAAGAUUGAAAAAAGGGAUCUUUCAGGGGAAGGUGGCUCGGUUCUUCUCCCUCGAUCCACCAUUGCCAUACGUCACUGCUACUUCAAAUUUCACCGAGCCUUGCCUUAUUGUCAUCACUACAACACCGUCAUAUUCCUUUUCCCCCACUUUUUUUAAAUGACUUUCAUCGACAAUGCCAAAAUUUGUCAACUCAACACCAAACAAGCCAGAAAGUCACGCAUACCUCCAUCCUCAUAUACCUUCAUUUCUUUCCCCUUUGUUUUCUCUCUAAUCCACUUUCUUUUUCCUUAUGUGUAUGUUGUCCUUAUGGAUAUAUUAUGUAUUCAUCAUCACUACAAUAUUCACAAUCUAUGUCUUUAUGCAGACAAAGCAUCUAAAAAAUCUCCCACAUCUAGACAACACAUGGUUACAGUUAUGAUGAAUGGUUUUGACUCAACCAAUAUUAAUUAAAAAAAAAAAAACUGGAUAUAUGUUGAUGGAUAAUCUAAAUGAAAGAAACCAGUGCGAUUAACUAUAUCAUUAGAUGUAGAUAAUCCCAUAUUUAUGUCGUUAAUCCACAAGGUUUUGGCUUUCUCCUUUAUAUGAUUACUUAAUAAAUAUUACAAUUUAUUUUGGGUUUGAUAAUAAUAGAACUCGACUAGUUGAAAUUUAUUUACUUAAAGUGGAUCCUCUCAAAAAGGUAAAAAAAAAAAAAAAAAUACAUCGCGACCAGAAAAAUGGCCAUGGUUAUAUUGGAAGCAAAAGACAGAUGUGAUUAUUUAGAUGUUGAUGCAAUCCGAAACCGAACAUUUCUCGCUUCUCCACCCGCCACAAAAAUAAAUGAAUAAUCAACAAAAAAAUUUUAAUAAAGAGAACAAAAUGAAAUGAGACCAUCUUUUUCUUUUUCUUCAAAUUAUGAUUUCACUGUUGCCGGAGCUAGAAAAUUCGACUUAACUGCAUGAAGAAUAAUUCAGUCGAUUAAAUUUACUGCUAGUCAAAUCAAACAGAAGAAACUAUCAUUAAAGUGAUUUAAUUUUAGUUGAGGAAGUUUUCUUCUUCUUCUUUUUCUUCUUUUCCGUUUGGACACGUGAUUAUGAAUUGUCAUUCUCAUCGACUCCACGGUGGUUUAGAGGGAAAAAGCACAUCAAGAAUGGAAUCCCCUCCUUACCAUGUGCGGUCGGAUGGAACCAAAUCUACAUUAGUUGGUCCGCCUGCAAUUUCCCCCUGUUAUAGGUGGUCGUCAGUGCGAAAUAUGAGACCACAAUACAAAAGAAAAUUAUAUUCAUCCAUGGCAGUUGCGAGGCAGUAUGCUUUUUGAGCACGUGGCUAAAAAUAAUUUAAUAUGAAUUGCCACAUCAUGUUAAACAACUCAAUUGAAAUGCAUUUGAAUCUUUAUUAGGCUUGUUUAUAUCAGCUGUCAAUAUUCUCUCUUAUUCGAUUCCUCGUACAAAUUGUCGGAUUUUCCAUUGUACAUGUGCAUCAUGAACAUAAAAUCCCAUAGAAAUGGAGAUGGGCCGCCACCACCCCCGAGACAACCGCGAGAAUCUCUCAUUUGUUUAGGAAGAAAGAAGACUAAGCAGCCCAGACAUGCGAAGGACUCGAAAAUAUGAUCUGCAUCCUUUGAGAAAGAGACAGAAAGUUGGUGCUCUUCUUCUUGUUUUGUAAGUCGUAUGAUACCGUUCUCUAGGCGUCAUAAACUCGCGUGCAUUAUGAUAUGUUUACUGAUCUGCAAUUAAGUACGAAUUGCAUUGGUUAGAUAAUUGAUCUUUGUACUUUGAGAAAGAGACGAAAUGGCGGUGCUUGUCUACUUUUUUGUGAGCUGUAUGACAAUCAAUCUCUAGCUGUCAUAAACUCGCGUGUAUUAUGAUAAAAUAAGACCGGUAGUUGACUUGAUAUUAUGGUCUUUGUCCUUUGAGAAAGAGAUCUAAAGGGAGUUGAAUUUGUGUUGUACCCACGGAAGCAAAAGCGUUUAUCCUAGAUUCAGUUAAAUAAUCUUCAGCCCUCUGUGCAUAAUCUUCAUUAGAUUUUAAUGAAUCACACUCCAUUUGAUUAAAUAAUUGUGAAAAACACAUCCUUAAUAUUUGAAAAGCAUAAGCUACCAUGACGUAUUUUAGUCAGUAUUAUCUAAGACCUUACCAGCCAUCUAAAUUUACACAUUUCACAGAUUAUCAUCAUAUUAAAGAAAUCUACCAAACUUUUGGAUAGUUACCAAAAUCAUUUGAAUGGUAUGUACUAAUGCAUAUCUGCAAUUACCAAUGUCAUAUAAAUAUCUAUCAAUCUUUUAUAAUCUUGAAGUCCUAAUGUCCGAUGUUGAUAAGCAUAAAUCAAAAUCAACGGCUAACUCUCCUACAAAAUACAUACAAACAUGAAACUUACUGCCCUAACUUGAACUUAUGAGCAUGUCUCAAUAGGUGAACUAUUACAUACUUCGUUUGAAUAUGUAUCAACUCAGUUUCAAAGCCGUGCAUGUUUGUUUGGCUUUAAGAGAAGGUAAAAACUUUUCUUUACUUUUCCGCCAUAAUUUAGAAUAUUGUUUAAAUUUCAAAAACUUAUGAAAAAAUAUAUGUGAGUCUACGUGCUGGCAUUUGAGUACUUUCAGGAGUUCAAGAUUUAAAAAGAAGUUAAAAUGCUUAAACUGUAAUUAUUUAAGUUAAGCAAAAAAAUAAAAAAAUAAAAAAAAUAAAAAGUUGUUCCGAACAUACUAGUGACUAAUGGAAACAUGUCAAUAUAGGGGAGGAGCAACUUGGUCUUUUCUAAAUAGGGUUUUGCUUAGAGGUGUGCGAAUAGUAUUGCAUAUAUAAAGCUUUUAAGGAGUUAUUGGGUCAACAGUGGAGAAGGAUCCAAUAUGAUAUAAAUAUAAGCACCUUUUUACAAAAUUUAACAACAAACACGCCAAUUUUAUAAAAGAAAUGAUGCAACAAACUUUGAUUAACUACUUGAGCUUGUGAGUCAUGUCUAAAUACUUAAGAAAGAUGUAUCACAUGAUUUACAACUCGAUUUCAGAAACUAGUUUUAUAUUGAAAUACCGUUGAGUGAGGACAGGAAACGUACAUGCACUGGCCUGUGUAAUUAAAGGAAACUUUUUUUUCCUCUCUUUUCUUUGGAAGGAAUAAAAAAUGACCAUCGGGAAUAAGUAUGUUUAGAUGUUAGGGUUUAUAUAUGGCCGUCAUGCCCUUGACAUCAAUAAUGCACAUUGGGAAGGUGAAAUCGGAGGGUUUCCCAAGCCACUAAAUCCGGGUCAAACAAAGAAGUGAUGGCUCCACACGUCUUUUUAUUUAAGCAAAAAGCCAUUCAUUAUUACAUUGAAAGCAAGAGGGAGGAGAUUCUAAUAAGCAUACCCUUUUCCGUUAUUGCACUCACUCUACAUGCACUUACUUGUAAAUUUCCUCUUCAAGGCUUCCUCAACAUGUUUCCAAAGUAUUGUUUUCUUGAUGCAUAUAAACUCUCUUCAUGGAUGGUUGAGCGGAUACUUGAGAUAAAAUAAAAGAGAGAACAUCUUUCUAUUUCUCUCCAAAUUAUCAUUUCACUGUUGCUGGAGCUAAAAAGUCGAUUUAACUGCAUAAAGAAUAAUUUAGUUGGAUAAAUUUACUGCUAGUCAAUCAAACAGAAGAAACUAUCAUUAAAAUGAUUCAGCUCAAAAAACAUUGUAUGACUGAUUUAAUUUUAGUUGAGGAAGUUUUCAUUUCUUUUGUUGGGGUAUGAAAAAGCACCACAAGAAUGGAAUCCCCUCCUUACCUUGUGUGGUCAGAUGGAUUAACUGACGCUGACAUGGAUAAUUUUUAAUAUUUUUUUUAUUUUUAUCGAUUUUUUAUUUUUUUCUUUUCUUCCUUCCUUCCUUCCUUCUUUGUUUCCCAUUGUGGCCAACAAGCUAUGGCCAAAGGGUCGUCGAAGCUUGCCGGCCACUAGGCGAGGGCCUCGGACCACAAAGCCCUCAUUGGUCGCUAGCAAGAGUCACGGCCCUCACUUGGCCUCGCUAGCUACAAACACAAGCAGCCUCACCCAUGGUUGGAAAGUACAUGGCCUCCUUUGCCUGUGGCCAGCGAGGCUAUUCUCACCCCCACAAACCCAAGGCACUCAUGUUCUUCAGUAGCGUAGAAGAAAAAUAGAACCAAACAAAAAGUGGAGGUAUAGAUUUUUUACCAUUAAUUAUGCCCAAGAGCAUAAGUCCAGUGAAGUAACACAAACCGACCACGGGCAAGGCCACCUUCACUUGCUGCUAAUGAGGCCAUCUGAGGCUAGCCUCGCCCAAAUCUAGGCUAAGCCGUCUUACCUGCAGCCCCCAAGCCUCGACCCUCACUGGCCAUAGCUCGCCGGCCAUAGUCGAAAACAAAAAAGGAAGGAAGGAAGCAAAGGAAAAGGAAAAUAAUAAUAAUAAAUUUGAAAAAAUAUUUAUUAUUAAAAAUUACCCAUGACAGCGCGACCGAACGGCUGGAGUCCAUGUCAACACUAGCCAACCAAUAUUGGUUGUAUACGCUGAAUUGGCACAAAUAUAAAAGGCUUAGAACUCAAUGAAAAAAAUGUUUAAAAUUAAAUUAGCACACUUACAAUAGAUUUAGAAUUUUUUUGAUAAUUUUUCCGCUCGUCACGUCAUUUUAAAUGAGUCAAUUGAAACGCAUUCGAAUCUUUCAUAGAUUUGUUGACAUCGGCUAUUAAUAUUCUUUAUCUUAUUCGAUUCCUCGUACAAAUUAUCGGAAUUCCAUUGUAUAUCUGCAUUGGGAACAUAAACCCCCGUGGAAAUGGAGACGGGCCACCACUACCCCCCAGACAACCUCGAGAAUCUCUCAUUUGUUUAGGAGGAAAAAGAUUGAAUAGUCCAAGCAUGAGAAAGCUAUGUGCUCUCAAUAAUAUGACCUUUGUCCUUUGAGAAAGAGACGGAAUGAUAGUGCUUGUCUUCUUAUUUUGUCGACUGUAUGACAUCGGUCUCUAGGCAUCAUAAACUCGGUGCACUGUGAUUAGCCUAUUGAUCUAUAAUUAAGUACGAAUUGGAUGGACCAUAACCAAUGAGGUUAAGGCUUCGGACAUGGAUUAUUGUGAUAAAAUAACACGGGUAGUUGACUUAAUAAUAUGGUCUUUCUCCUUUAAGAAAGUGACCUAAAGGGAUUGGAUUUGUGUUGCAUACACAUAAUCAAAACCGUUAUCCCAGAUUCAGAUAAGAAAUCUUCCUUUCUUUGUGUAUAAUCUCCAUUAGAUUUUAAUGAAUCACACGCCAUUUAAUCAACUGUAAUAGCGAAAAACACAACCUUUUGAAAGGCAUAAGUUACCAUGACAUAUUGUAGUCAAUAUUGAUUGAGAUCUUACUAACUCUCUAAUUAUACACAGUUCAAAGAUUAUCAUCAUAUUAAUGAAAUUUGCCACACUUUUGGAUAGUUACUAAAGUUAUUUGAAUGGUAUCUACUAAUGCAUAUCUGCAAUUACCAAGGUGAUAUAAAUUUCCAUCAUUCUUUUAUAAUCUUGAAGUCCUAAUGUACAAUGUCGAUUGAUAGUUUAUCAUUAUAAAUCGAAAUCAACAACUAAUUGUCCUGCAGAAUGCAUAUAAAAGUGAAACUUAUUGCCCUAACUUUAACUAAUGAACCUGUCAUGCAAAGGUGAAAUGUAACAUGCUUUGUUUGAACAUUUAUCGACUCGGUUUCAAAGCCGUGCAUGUUUGUUUUGAUUUAAAAUAAAGUAAAAAGUUUUCUUUACUUUUCCGCCAGAAUUUAUAAUAUUGUUUAAACUUCAAAAAAUUAUUAAAACAAUACAUGUAAGUUUAUACGUUAGUAUUUGAGUACUAUGCAAGUUUCAGAAGUUUAGGAUUUAAAAAGAAGUUAAAAUGCUUAAACUGUGAAAUUCAAAUUAAGCAAAAAAUUAAAAAAAUAAAAGUCGUUCCAGACACACUAAUGAUAAAGGAGACAUAUCAAUGUAGAUUUAGAACUUCUUAUUAGUUAUCCAGUACAAUACACAAAUUCAAAGUUAACCACCCAAAAUACUUAUAACCAACAAAUACUCAGACCACCCAAACCUUAAACAAGAUGGAAAAUAAGUUUGUAAGGAGGAGCAACUUGGUCUUUUUAAGCACCAUUUGCUUAGAGGUAUAUGAAUAGUAUUUGCAUAAAUAAAGAUUUUAAGGAGUUAUUGGGUCAACAGAAGAGAAUGAUCCAAUACGAUAUCAAUAUAAGCACCGUUUACAAAAUUGAACAACAAACACGCUGAUUUUAUAGAAGAAAUGAUGCAACAAACUUUGAUUAACUACUUGAGUUUGUGAGUCAUGUUUAAAUACUUAAUAAAGACGUGUCACAUGAAUUACAACUGAAUUUCACAAACCAGUUUUAUAUUUGAAAUACUAUUAAUUAAGGAAAGGAAACGGACAUGCACUGGCCUGUGUAAGGAAAGGAAACGUUUUUUUUUUCCCUCUUUUCUUUUGAAGGAAUGAAAAAAUGACUAUGGGGAAUAACUUUUUUUGUAUGUUAGGGUUUACAUAUGGCCGUCAUGCCCUUGACAUCAAUAAUGCACACUGGGGAGGUGAAAUCGGAGCGUUUCACAAACCACUAGAUCCGGGUCAAACGAGGAAGAAGCGUUGGCUCUAUUUGUCUUUUUAUUUAAGCAAAAAGCCAUUCAUUAUUACUUGAGAGCAAAGGGGGAGGAGAUGCUUAUAAUAUACCCUUUGUUAUUACACUCUACAUGCACUUACUUGUAAAUUUCCUCCUCGAAGCUUCCUCAUAAUGUCUGCAAAGUACUGUUUUCUUGAUGAAUAUAAACCCGAUGGAUUGUUUUUCUUUUUUUUUUGGUCGAUCACUUGAUGCAUGGUUGAGUGGAUAGUUGAGCCGCAACCAAGAUUAUGACAUAUUGGAGUGAUAAAAUUCAAACUAAGUAAAAAUAUGACAUUUAGCUCCAUUCCAAAUUUGUGGAACUAAUGGAACUUCUGAGAUAGCUAGUAUAAUCACCUAAAGGGGGGUGAAUAGGUGCACAAACAAUUUAUCGAGAUACGGAAGCGAUUCUUGGCAAACGAUAGAAAGGAAAUUCUCUAUUGAUUAACAAAAUAAAAUACGAUCAAGAUAAAGAGAGUAAGGAAGAGAAAAUUGAACACAGGAUUUAUAGUGGUUCGGCUUAAUCCAAGCCUACGUCCACUCUUCCGCACUGACAGCCCACCGGCUGGAUUUCACUAUGAUCAAAAGAGAAGUUACAGCACAGCUUUGCCUUGAUUCCACAGUGUAGAUGUUCUACCACACCUCCUCAAGGUUUCUCACAAAUAUAGACUCUCUUUUGUAUACAAGUAUUUGCUCAAAGUGAUUGUCUAAACAACAAGGAGCUUCAGACUUUGGAAUUCUUCUAUCGCGCACACCUCGAACAACUAAGAACGUCUUCCUUAUAUACUCCUUUAUGCCAUCAUACCCGUUGGCACUUACCAAAUGAAUUCCUCCAAUCUACCCAUUGGACGGAAUCAAUUAGGAAGAUUGUUUUAGCUAUUAAAGGAACGUGUCGAUAGCCCAUCAAUCCUGUUCGUCCAUACAAUCAGGAUCUCAGUUUCCAUAAGUAGAACCUUCCAAGAAUAUUUAGGCAAUCAUCGAAUCUUCAAUCAUCGAAUCAAUCUCGAUCAAUCAAAGGAUUCUGUUACAUCUUUUCCAGCCACGAGAUCUUCUCCAGUUGAUAAGGUUGAAUCCUUAACGAAACAUCCAGUUCUGGAUAACCUUUCUUCAACGGAUUAGAGACUGUCAAUGAGGAUAGACUUUGAGUCUUGAGUCUGGCUGUCCGGAGGUCUUCAGACUUUAAAUAUCAGAGUCUGCAAACCUUCAGACUAGACUGAUGGAAACGUUUUGUCAGCUUCAAAACACUUCAAGAAGAUUUCUCCAACAAUCUCCCCCUUUUUGAUGGUGACAAAACUUUCCUGCAGAUUUGGACAACUUUGACCUGUAAAACAUUUCUCAAACACAUAUGCAUAUCUUAAAUGGCUAAAUGAAUAACACUAGAAUCUGCAACCACAGAAAAUAGGUUAGUCUAGUAUACGAUAAAGCCUUCCAUAAGAUAUCAAUAGUAAUUAAUAGAAGCAGUCAAGUCCAAGUCUAGUUCAGUUCUCAUCUAGACACAAAACAAAGUCAAACAGAGUUCAAACAAACAAACAAACCACACGAUUAAAAGUUUAACAAUUGAAAGUUUGAUCAAAUCUUGCAUCUCUCCCCCUUUUUGUCAGCAUUAAAAAGGUUGAGAUGAAAAUAGAAUGAAGUCAAGAUUGCUUGGGAAUGCGGACAAGCUGGAAAUCUCCCAUAGACUGAACGAUGCCUUCCAGCCUUUUCAAGUCUUCCUUCAGAUGUGCAAUCUCCUCACCCUUGGCAUUGGCCUGAAUCUGAACAGAGAGGGCUUGGAUCUUAUCAUUCAAUGAACAUGAAGAAACUUGACCCGCAUUCUUCAAGUUUUGAACAUCGCAUCCCAAGGCAUAAAUUUGACAUUGCAUCUCCAAGAGAAUAUCCAUGAUUCUGCGAAAAUCUGCUGCAUUAUCAGUUUGAGUACUUGCUUCGGCCCGAUCUGAUGGAGUAAAUGCAGACGAUGGUAGAUCAGCAUAAUCUCGCAGGUUUGGCGAUGAAACUUCAUGACCUUCUUCUGGAAACUGAGAGGCAGAGACAUCCUCUGGGUCUGCAGGUGAGCGACUGACUCCUUCACUUGCAUCAGGAUAUGAAGAUUUCCUUCCUUUUUCUUGAUCUCCCCCUGUUUCCAUGCUUGCAGGUGGAAAAGAGUGUUCCUCAAGUUCUCCUUCUUCUCUUCUAUCUUCUUCAGGUAUUUCCUCAUCUGCUUCUUUUUCAGCUUCUCUUUCUUCUUUUUCCUUCUCCUCUACUUCCUUCUCCUCUGCUUCUUUCGUCAUUUGUUCCGAUUCUUUCUGUGAAACAAGACGACUUAAAUUCUUCAAAGCCAUUGCAGAGAUGGUAAUAUCUUCCUCAUCAUCUUCAUCCUCUACGAGGAGAGCUCUUCUUCUCUUGGAUGGAGUAACCAUGGGCUCCUUUCCUUUUCUUUUAGCUGCAGAAGAGAUUUGAUGAGUUUUGGCAGGAGUCUUCUCCUUGAAUUUCUCCAACUCCUUGCUCAGUUCCUUCAGACGCAUUUUGGUCACCAUUUUCAGUCCUACCACCAUAUGAUCGCAUGGUCGAACACAAAAGAUUUGCGGAGGCUGAAUAUUCAGAUGUCUGAAUAACUUCGUAACAAGACUUGGGUAAGGGAGCUGACCUCUGUCCUUCAUCAUUGCUCUAUACAUGUGAAACAUAACAGUGUGAGGGAGAGAAAACUUUUUCCCAAAGAGAAUGGCAUACAUCAGCUUUGCCUUUGAACUUGAAACAUCAGUUUUGAAAGUUGAUUUCAGUCGGAGGCAAUUGAUCACAAUCUUGUGAAGCAAGAUGUUGAAUGCACUCAUCCUUAAGUAGGUGAUCUUCUCAUCUGUUCUCUUGUCCUUCACCAGUUCCAGUGUGGCCCGAGCAAUGGAAACUUUGAUUGGUUGAUAUCUUCCCCUUUCAACUCCUAACACAUCUGCCAGCAUAUUCAUAUCCACAACAUAAUCUUGGUCUUUGACGCUGAAAGAGAAUCUAUUCGCAUCCAAAAAGCUAAGAUUUGAAUAGAAGUAUGCAGUUAAUCCAGCAUAGGCCUCUGUAGUGUCAGAGCAGAACUUUUCAAGUUGAAGAUAACUGAACUUUUCUCUUAAGUUCACAUUUACAGCAUCCAGAAAAUCAAAAUCCACACUCCUAGGGUUUAUUACCCCACGCUUCAGCAAUUUCGAGUACAGAUCCUUUUGUUCCUUUGAUCUGAACAAAUCUCCACUUUUUCCUUGAUUUUCAACUGCAAUACCCAUUUUCGGUUGAAAUUGGCUGUACAAUUUGUCAUCAUCAUUCCCAUCUAUAGGAUUCGGCCCCCAGUCACGAGGAUCACUUGGGAUAUUCGCAAGGGUUUCCUCAGCCACCCCUUUACGAGCAAUUCCCAAACUUUCCAUUUUUCGCAGAAAGAUAUAUUCGUUCUUAUAUCCUUUGUCUUUAAGAAAAUCAUCAACAUAGUUCAAAGGAGUACAAGUUCCUUUUAAGGCACGAUAUAGCUUGUAAAUAUAAGCGGGCUUUUGAACUCUUACAGGGUCUGCAUCCUCAAUGAUUUCUUCCUGUUGUUGAUGAUCAACGCCUUGAGGACUAGAUGGAGGAGAAUGACGCUGCUGAGAAUGUUGUGGGCUCGGUUGCUGUUCUGGAGACACUUCUUCUUCAGUAAGAUCGAAGUGCGUAGGCCCCUCACUCAUUCGCCGUGGUCCCCUGCUUGCGAUUCUCGAAGACUUUCUUGAAGAUGACAUCUUUCUCAAUUUUUGGAAGAUUCCUUGCUUAACUUUCCCAAGAAAGAUGACAACUUUUUUGAAGAUUAAACAGAGAAGACAAACGGGAAUGGAGGAUCGAUGCUUUCUAGGGUUUUUGAGAGUAAAGUGAAGAGGAAUCAACAGUGCACGAUCGGUUAAAAGGAGAAAUAACCGAACCGUUACAAAGGAAAUAAAAAGAUGCAUUUUCAAAAUAACUGUCUUUUUCCGUGAAAAUAGUCAUUUUAAAAAUAACUUCUUUUUGGAAAAGGAAACGAUGCAAAAAUUACGCCGAUUAAAGAUAGCAAUAAAACACGGUUACCAAUCGUACCUUUUUAAGAUAAGAUUUGAGAGAGAGAGAGAGAGACUAACUUACAGUCUGACGGUCGUACCAAGACUAACUCAAAGUCUUGUAUGACUGAGUUUGAAAGUCUUUAGACUUUGAUCUCCUCGUACCUUAAAAUGUUGAGUCUGGAACGGAUGGUUUCGAACUGAUUUUUCUCCAACGGCUUUGUGAAUAUAUCCGCCAGUUGGUUCUUUGAGUCAACAAAUUGAAUUGAAACAUCUCCAUUUUGAACAUAAUCUCUAAUAAAGUGAUGUUGAAUCUCUAUAUGCUUCGCUCUUGAGUGUAGAAUUGGAUUUUUGGUGAGGUUGAUAGCGCUGGUGUUGUCGCAAUUAAUCUCUGUGCAUGAGUCUUUAAUUCCAAAGUCUCUUAGCUAUUGUUUUAUCCAUAGAAUUUGCGAAUAGCAACUUCCAAGAACUACAUACUCUGAUUCUGUUGUUGAAAUAGCCACGGUGCUUUGUUUCCUUGAAAACCAAGACACUGUCCUGUUUCCAAGCAACUGGCAAGUUCCCGAAGUGCUUUUUCUAUCAACUCUGCAACCGACCAGAUCCGCGUCUGAAUAUCCCAUAAGAUUAAGGUCUCCCUUCUUAGGAUACCAAAGACCGAUGCUUGAAGUUGAUGAAACAUAUUUAAUAAUACGCUUCACAGCAUUCAAAUGAGAUUAUUUUGGAUCUGAUUGAAAUCUGGCACAGAUGCAAACACUAAACAAAAUGUCAGGUCUAGAAGCAGUAAGAUAAAGAAGAGAUCCGAUGAUACUCCUGUACAGCUUUUGAUCGACUUUCUUCCCUUCUUCAUCUUUGUCUAUCUUCAAGGAACUUGACAUUGGUAUGUCAGCCUUUUUGCAAUUGUCCAGACCAAACUUUUUGACAAGAUUAUUUGCAUACUUUUCUUGAUGAAUAAAAGUUCCUUCCUCCAAUUGUUUUAUUUGAAGUCCAAGAAAGAAGGUUAACUCACCCAUCAUGCUCAUUUCAAAUUCUUCCUGCAUAGACUUAGAAAAUUUCUUGCACAGACUUUCAUUAGAGGAUCCAAACAUAAUAUCAUCGACAUAUAUUUGAACAAGCAGAAAACUUUUGUUUUCUCUUUUAAUAAAAAGAGUAGUGUUCACUUUACCUUUAACAAAUCCGUUUUGAAUUAAAAACUUACUUAAUCUGUCAUACCAAGCUCGAGGUGCUUGCUUUAAGCCAUAUAAGGCCUUUUUGAGUCUGAAUACAGAGUCUGGUUUCCUUGGGUCUUCAAACCCUGGUGGUUGUUCCACAUAGACUUCCUCAUGGAUGAAUUCAUUUAGGAAAGCACUUUUGACGUCCAUUUGAAAUAACCUGAAAUUUUUAUAACAAGCAAAUGCAAGUAAUAAACGAAUUGCUUCUAACCUUGCUACCGGUGCAUAAGUCUCGUCAUAGUCGAUCACUUCUUCUUGUGUGUAUCCUUUGGCCACGAGUCUAGCCUUGUUUCUUACGACUUUACCUUUCUCGUCCAUCUUGUUCCUGAAAACCCUUUUAGCUCCAACAACUGAUUUACCUUUAGGUUUUGGAGUUAAUUCCCAGACAUCAUUAAUUUUGAAUUGUCUGAGUUCUUCUUGCAUAGCUUCAAUCCAGCUUUCAUCGGAUAAAGCUUCUUCUAUGCUCUUGGGUUCUAUUUCAAAAAUAAGUGCCACGGCACUAGACUCUUCUCGCCUUUUGGAUCUUGUGCGAAUUCCUUCAUAGAUGUCGCCAAUAAUAAGAUCUUUGGGAUGACUGGACUUAUGUUUCCAGUUGCUGGUUAAUUUAUCAUAUUGAUGAUCACUUCCUUCACUUGAAUCUUCAACAGUCACUUGUUGCUGAUCCUUCAAAGUCUGAAUUGCUUCUUGAGAUUUAGACUUUGUAGAGUCUAGAGCAGAUUCAGUCUCUUCAAGAUGAGUCUGAAUGAAUUCACUUUGUGUAGAAUCUUGAAAUUUGACAUUCAUUGAUUCUUCCACAGUUUGAGUCUUCUUGUUGUAGACUCUGUACGCUUUGCUUGUGGUUGAAUAUCCAAGGAAGAUGCCUUCAUCUGACUUUUCUUCAAACUUACCAACUCGAUCAUUUGCAUUUUUCAAUAUGAAACAUUUGCAUCCGAAUACAUGAAAAUACGAAACAAUGGGCUUCUUUUCUUUGAAAAGUUCAUAGGAGGUUUUUUCUAGAAUAGGUCUUAGAAAGACUCUAUUGAUAAUAUAACAUGAUGUUGAAACUGCUUCAGCCCAAAAACGUAAAGAGAUAUUACUUUCAAUUAAAAGAGUUCUAGCCAUUUCUUGAAGAGAUCUAUUAUUUCUUUCCACGACUCCGUUUUGCUCUGGAGUAUAUGGAGAGGAGAACAAAUGUUGAAAUCCAGAUUCAUCACAAAAUUUUGCAAAGUCUUGAUUUUCAAAUUCACCUCCAUGGUCUGUUUUUAAACUUGAAAUGACAUACCAUUUUUCAUUUUGAACCUUCUUAGCAAAUUUUUCAAAGUAAGAGAAAGUUUCAGACUUACUUGCUAAGAAAUAUACCCAAGUAAAUCGUGAGUAGUCAUCCACAAUUACUAGGCAAUAUUUCUUCCCUCCAAUGCUCUGCGUUCUUGUUGGUCCGAAGAGAUCCAUAUGCAAGAGCUGCAGUACACGGUUAGUGGAAACUUGAUUUAUUGGUUUAAAAGAAUUUCUUACCUGUUUUCCCAAUAUACAUGGUGUACAUAGAUCGGACUUUUGAUAUGAUAGAUUGGGUAGAUCACGAACAAGCUUCUUUGCUGAGAUUUUGGCUAUCUGCUUCAUGUUGAUAUGCCCAAGCUUUUUGUGCCAUAAGUUCGCUUCGUCUUGGAUUGAGAUUAGACAUUGCGAUUCAUCUGGUUUCACGUCCAAGAGGUAGAUAUUCCCAUGUCUUCGACCCAUGAAUGACUGAGUAGAGUCUUUACUGGUUCCUGAACAAAUACCCUCUUGAAAGUUGAUUCUAAAACCAGCAUCACAAAGCUGACUGAUACUAAGCAGAUUGUAAUUGAGCCCUUCAACUAAAGAAACAUUGAUUAUUGUGAGGUUCCCAAUUUUUACUGUUCCAAAUCCUACUAUUUUUCCUUUGCUGUUUCCUCCAAAUGAGACUUUUCCACCAUUCAUUUGGGUGAGCUUUAUGAAGUAAUUUGAAUCCCCUGUCAUGUGUCUCGAGCAUCCACUAUCCAGAUACCAUUUCACUUUUUUCUUGAUAGUGACCUGCAUUCAAAAAGAAACUCAAGCUUUCUUUGGUAUCCAUAUUUUCUUGGGUCUUUUUGAGUUAGUCUGAUAUAUGGUUUUUGCCUAGACUUUAUUGACAGGUCUCCACACCAUAGGACAUUCUUUCUCAAAAUGAUCUGUACUAUUGCAUUUUGAACAUCUAAGAGCAUUGCGGCCUACUGGUUUUACAAAGUUCCUUUCAAAAUGAUUUUUGUAAGCAUUUCUUAUGGGUCUUUGUUUGAUUCUUUCCUUUACUUUAGGAAAAUCAAUUAAAGGAAUGGUUUCAGCAGUCGUUCCCAAACCAGAUUUAUUGAAAUAAGGUCUUUGAACAUAAAGUAUUUUCUCCAGUUUUUCAGAACCUAGAGAAAAUCUUUUGGAAAUAUUUGAAAUAUCCUUUUUUAAGAAUGCAUUUUCUUUUAAAAGAUUAUUUUCACUUUCUUUGAGAGAAGAAACGUUCUGGUCUAAGCAUUUCACUUUUUCCUCCAAAGCAUUCUCAUGUUGUUUUAAAGCAGAAUUUUCUUUUUUGAGUUCGGAAAUUCUUUUAAGAGAAGUCUUAAGACUAAAACAUAAUUCAUCAAUGUAUUUUGAAACUUUAAUAGGGAUUUUGAAGUUACUUACCUCGAAUUCACUUUCUGAAUCUGAAUUAGUCUCGGAGUUUGAUUCUGAAUCCGAUUGUGCCAUUAGACAUAUGUUGGCAUAAUCAUCAUCACUAUCUUCACACUCCGUAUCACUUCAGGUUUCAACUUUGAGAGCUUUUCGAUAUUUUUCAGUUUUUCCUUUCUUCAUUUUCAAAAGAGGACAGUUGGGUCUGAUGUGUCCCUUUUUCUUGCAUUCAAAGCAGACUACAUCUUUGUUUGAUUCAUCAUCUUCAGCAGACUUUGUCUGUUGCUUCUGAAAACUUUGUUUCCUUGAAUUGAAUCUUCUUCCUUUUCUGUUUAACUUUCUGAAUCUUCUUAUCAUAAGAGCAAGUUCUUCAUCAUCCAUGUCGUCUUCAGAAUCUGUUGCAUCAGAAUCAUCAUUAGAUCUUAAUGCAAUAGAUUUCUUACCUUUAGGGUCUUCGUCUUCAUUGAUUCGUUCCACUUCAUAAGACUGAAGGGUCCCAACCAACUCAUCGACAGACAGUGGCAUGAUUCUUUGGGUCUCUCUGAUUGAUGUCUUUAUAUGAUUCCACUCUUUGGAGAGUCCACGCAGUAGCUUGUUCACUUUCAUGGGAUCAGAAAUUGGUUGGCCUUGAUUUUCAAGACCAUUCACGCUAUCUGUAAAACGACUAAACAUGUCAGUUAUAGAUUCUCCUAGUUUCAUUCUGAAGGCUUCGUAUUGACCGAGAAGAAUGUUGAUUCUUGUCUCUUUCACUCGAUCGGUUCCUUCAUAAGUAAUGUGUAAUCUAUCCCAAACUUCUUUGGCUGUAUCACAAGAAGAUAUUCUGUUAUAUUCAGUAGGUGAUAAAGCACAAUAUAAUGAAUAAAUUGCUUUUGCAUCAAGAGCUUGUCUCUUGAUUAUCUCUUCCUGAGUCAUUUCGCUAGACUCAACAGAGUCUUUUCCUCUUUCUGAGACAGGAGCAGCUUUGGGAACAAUUCCUUUUUCUACAACGUCCCAUUCCAGAUGAUCCUUUGAUCUUAAGAACGCCUUCAUCUUGUUUUUCCAUAUGUUGUAGUCCUUUCCAUCAAAAUAAGGUGGUAUGGUGUUGCUUUGCCCUUCUACCAGCCCUAGAGCCAACAUACUAGCCAUGGAUCUUUAACUCUGAAGUAAAAUACUUCAAACAAAGUGAGUACACAGGCUCUGAUACCAAUUGAGAUAGCUAGUAUAAUCACCUAGAGGGGGGUGAAUAGGUGCACAAACAAUUUAUUGAGAUAUGGAAGCGAUUCUUGGCAAACGAUAGAAAGGAAAUUCUCUCUUGAUUAACAAAAUAAAAUAUGAUCAAGAUAAAGAGAGUAAGGAAGAGAAAAUUGAACACAGGAUUUAUAGUGGUUCGGCUUAAUUCAAGCCUACGUCCACUCUUCCGCACUGACAGCCCACCGGCUGGAUUUCACUAUGAUCAAAAGAGAAGUUACAGCACAGCUUUGCCUUGAUUCCACAGUGUAGAUGUUCUACCACACCUCCUCAAGGUUUCUCACAAAUAUAGACUCUCUUUUUUAUACAAGUAUUCGCUCAAAGUGAUUGCCUAAACAACAAGGAGCUUCGGACUUUGGAAUUCUUAUAUCGCGCACACCUCGAACAACUAAGAACGUCUUCCUUAUAUACUCCUUUAUGCCAUCAUACCCGUUGGCACUUACCAAAGGAAUUCCUCCAAUCUACCCGUUGGACGGAAUCAAUUAGGAAGAUUGUUCGAGCUAUUAAAGGAACGUGUCGAUAGCCCAUCAAUCCUGUUCGCCCAUACAAUCAGGAUCUCGGUUUUCAUAAGUAGAACCUUCUAAGAAUAUUUAGGCAAUCAUCGAAUCUUCAAUCAUCGAAUCAAUCUCGAUCAAUCAAAGGAUUCCAUUACAUCUUUUCCAGCCACGAGAUCUUCUCCAGUUGAUAAGGUUGAAUCCUUAACGAAACAUCCAGUUCUGGAUAACCUUUCUUCAACGGAUUAGAGACUGUCAAUGAGGAUAGACUUUGAGUCUUGAGUCUGGCUGUCCGGAGGUCUUCAGACUUUAAAUAUUAGAGUCUGCAAACCUUCAGACUAGACUGAUGGAAACGUUUUGUCAGCUUCAAAACACUUCAAGAAGAUUUCUCCAACAACUUCAAGGCUUUGUUAAUUGAGCCUCUUGUUUUAGGUCUUUCUCAUUCUGUUUGCAUCCCUAAGAAAGAAAAUAGUGAACCACCACAUCGUUUUCCUCUUAUGGUCGGCCUAUGUGAUGGCUGAUUGGAUAGAAGCAUUCGCAAUCAAGCUCAUCUCUCACAACCGAGGCAAUUCAUGCACUUAUGCAGCUGAAGUAGACGACACACUUCGGGCUUUUUGAGCCUCAUUUCUCUUAUUACAUUUUGGUGAUUCAGACGCCACUACCUUCUCUAUUAGGGGUAGUUUUCUUUGGCGACAGCUCUCGCUUAGUCUCAUCUUCCAAAUCAAUGCCUCUAUCUAUGUUUUUGUGUAGAUAUUUCCUAACAACAAGUGUUGUUAAUCUCAACGAUGCUGGUGAAGUUGUGAGCUUAAUUGAAUCUUUAAAUAAGCCUGCAAGCCUCAUGAAGUAUGGCCAAGCCCUAAUUCCCUCAUGAUGGCCAAAAAUUGCAUGUGCUAUGCACAUGGAUAUUCUAAACUUGGAAAGAUUUCAUUAUUUAAUCAAAUUUGGGGGAAAUAAGAAUGUUAUCCUUGAGAAUUUUAAUUGCAUGAAACUAAGAAGUGAAGAUACAUUCUCUUGGGUUUAGGCAGGUAAGGAAAGUGAUAUCUUGAAAAAAAAGGCUAAACGUAAACCUAUAUAAACACAUUGGUUCACGAGAAGGGGCUUGGACACAAUACACGCAAUAAUGUCCUGUGGUUGGUCUAUUUGGGAUUAAAAUAGAAUGUAUUUCUCCGGUAAUAGGGAUUUGAAAUGGGUCAUCAAUAUUUGUAAUUACAACUUGAGGAUUUAGAUGCAUGUCAUGUAAUUCAUUUUGAAAGAGUGAAUUAUAAGAAUCGCCUGAUAUAAAAAGUCACUGCACAUAAGAAUUCGGCCAUUUUAAAUAAGAGUAUCGAGUCCAAGUCAUGUUAGGGAUACUAAUACUGACAUGCAAAAUUUAUCCACGAGAUGAUGCAUUAAUUUUUCUAUGAAAUUAGUCGUUUGUGGAUCAAAUCAACAUUUUUUCUUGAGAUAUUUAUAUUUACUGUUUACUAAUUAUAGCAAUUAUGGUAGAUUCAAGUACUUCUUGAUUGGAGCUUAUAAGCUGUUAUAAUGGACCGAGACCCUUGGAGUGCCAAAAGUUGGCACAAAGGAACAUUUAAGUGCCAAAAGUUAUGAAACUGAUACUUAAGUGCCAAAAUCAUAGCAAAAUGGAUCACUUAAGUGCCAAUUCGGUCAAAAUGUUGAUGUAGCGAUUUUCCGGCGAAGCAAGUACAAAAUGGUAUCAUUUUGGUGUUAAUGUGAUAAAAAAAUUAAUAUAAAAAUUAAUUAAAUUAAAUUUAAAAUUAAAUUUUUUAAAAUAUUUAAAAAUAUAGAUAACUUUAAAAAAAAAAAAAAACUUCCCGCUGCUGCCAGGAAGGGCUGGCGAUGAAGGGGGAAGAUCGGCCAAGGUGGCCAGGCCAUGGCCAGGGGCCGGCGACCCUAGCUGACCGGCGACGAGGGCCCGCGAGCCCUCACCCCGAUAUGGGGGGAGGAUCGCGGCCCUCACCCAAAUCCGACAAGGGUCAAUGGCCCUCGCCCGGCCGGGCCAAGGGCCGCCGCCCGCUGGGGGUCGCCUCAGCGAGCAGCAGCCCUUGGCCCAGUUGGGCGAGGGCCGUAAGCCCUCACCCCAGAUCGCCCAACCCUCACCAAAUCUGAGCGAGGGCUCACGACCCUCGCUGCCGGUCGGCGGGGGUCGCCGACCCCUAGCCAAGGCCCAGCAACCCCGGCCGACCUUCCCCCCUCCGUCGCCGACCCUUCCCAACGGUGGCAGGGAGGCAGAGGCAAUAAGGGCUCAGCCCUCAAUCGCCUCCCUCUUCUUUUUUUUAAAUAUAUUUUUUAAUUUUUUAAUUUUUUAAUUUUAAUUUUUAAAUGUUUUAAAAAUUUUAGUUUUAAAUUUAAUUUAAUUAAUUUUUAUAUUAAUUUUUCGCCGGAAAUUGCGCAUGUCAACAUUUUGGCCGGAUUUUGCCAAAUUGAUACUUAAGUGAUCCAUUUUGCUUCGAUUUUGGUACUGUGUCACUUUCAUAACUUUUGACAUUUUAGUAUUCCUCUGUACUAACUUUUGGCACUUAAAGCAUAUUUUUGCCCGGAAAAAACCUAUCCCUUAAGAACCACGAAAAGCCUUCAGUCUGUUAUUAGGAGUACCUUAUUAAGGAAAGAAACUGCACACGCUGCACCAUCGAAUCAAAGCAAAUAUGGCAAGUUUUUCACCUCCCCAACAUCAUUUGGUUGGGAAAUCACAUGCCCCAAUAUCAGAUCAAAAUAUCAUCAACAGGUUCAACAACCUUUCCUAAUGUCAAAGGGCUGCAAAAUCCGUAGAUUGAAAAUAUAAGCAGCCUGGUCGACUUGAAGGGAUCCACAGAACAUGCAAGUUUAUUGAUACGCAUACUUGAUUUCGCGAAGGAACUCAUGGUAAAACUUCCCGGAACUUCACUUAUCAGAUUCUAUGCAACGUCCUAUAUGUAAAUAAAGAAAGAAAAUUUUACCUCCAGAGAGUAGUGGCUUGAGCACAAUCAUAGAGUACAUGGCGUUCGGCCCUACAAGGUCAAUUUUUUCCCUCAAAUUGGGUAACAUAAGAAACUCAGAGCACUCGCAAUCCACAACCUUCACCAAAAGAAGAUUGGAUUGUAAAGCAAAGUUAUACAAGCUAGCCAACUAGGUCUCUCUCUGCUGUUAAGUAUUGACUGGCAGCUGACUUGGUCGGAGAGCAAGGCCAAAGGAUGUAUUAGAAAGAAAACCAAAAUUCCCGGAAGUGAGUCCAAGAGGAGGAGUUUCUUACAACAUCACAAAUGCGGAGAGCUCACUCGUCCAUAUCCUCUUCUUCGUCGGCUUCCGCCUCUUCAUCCUCCCUCCCUCCUGAGCUGACCCCAUACAUUACACUCCAUUAUAUCGGAAGGACGGACGGAGGCAGAGGAGCCAUUGUCCCGCCGCAGUUUUUCCUGUUGCACAUAUACCUAAUGAGGAAAUACGCAUGGGGGAAGUCGGUCUCUUUAUCCUCUGCAAUACGCACCUCCCACCUGCUCAUUUGUUCAUCGGCAUCCUCAUCCAUCCUUCAUCGUCACCAUUGUUGUCUUCGACUCUUCGCUGCUAUCAUGGUUCUCAUUCUGGUCAUCGGAGCAAUUGGCCUGACCUUGUGCCGAUCUAGCCAAAUUCAAGCUCACCGAGCCUUGUUGACCUCUAGCGAAGGUUCAGCUAAUUGGAAUCUGGCGAGCUCAACCUUGCCUGUAGCAGGCGAUCGCUCGAAAGAGAAGCAAAAAGAAAAAUAAAAAUAAAAAGUAAUUAAAAUUUUCAAUUUAAGAAAAGAAAAAAAUAAAAAUAAAAAUAAAAAAUUAUUAAAAGAAGUGCACUAAGGUCCAUAUCAAACGGUGGAAAAUGUUUUCUCGUUUCAGCCAAACACUGGAAAAUAUUGUUAUUCUUCUAAAAAAAAAUAACUUCUUAAAAAACACUUUUUAGAUAUGUCAAAAAAAAAUUAAGUUUAUUUUUGGAUUUUAGCCAAACGGAGCCAAUGUAACAUUGACUCAAUCUAUUACAAUAAGUAGGUAAUCACUUCUUCAUUUGGACAACAUUUAAAUGCUCUCACAAUUACAACCCAUGAGUGGUAGAUACACUUAAAAUAGAUAAAUCCACAAUGCAUUGACUCGUGCUCCUAACAUUGACUCAAUGAGAGGUUUAGACUUUUGCGGCAGCUUCCUGGUAUUGAUGCUGAGAUGCCAUAAUGUCAAAUCCAGUGCACCUUCACCACCCGCAUGAUGAUUUAAUUGUUUUUUUUUUUUUUUUUUGGGUCCUUUUAUACUACCUCGCCGGGGACGUUUCAACCGAUCGUGGAGGAAAAUGUUUUCUGCCAACAUGGGCUCUUAUGUCAGCCAUGACGACCGGUGGGGUCCACCAAAAGCUAAUGAACACAUUCAAAAUUUUUCAGAUUCAAACCUACUCCGCCCCGCCCCCGCCCCCCCGGGGCGCGAAGUCGUCGACCCCGAGUCAAUGCAAAGCAAGACCUUCAAAAACCUCACUCCCCUCCUUCCCAAACCUCCGAUUCCGGAGCUCUUCCGAUCCUCGAUCAUCGUCCUCGCCGUGUUGAAUUAGGUUCCGAUAGACGAAUCGAGCGUGGCCUGGUUGGUCUACAGCUCCGCGUCUCCGAUGAUUUGAGCUCCGGGCUUGAGGGCGUCAGAACUGUCGAGGCCUCGGGUCACGAUCACUCUCGGUCGUUCUGGUCAGGUAUGUGCCGCUUUAGCUCCUUGGCGUCCUCGUAUGAGAUCUUUGGAUCAACUGACGUUUGUUUCAGCUGGACUCAUUGGUUUGCGGAUUCCGCGGUAGCUUCAGUUUCGUUGUUCGGGCCUGUAUCGACUGCGAUGAUAUGGUUUUGUUCGAUCGGUUAUGAUUAGGCGUAAGGUUGAUACGUGCUCUGCUUUUCUGGAGAAAUAUGUCUGAUUACGUGAUCAGUUGAACCCCGAGGGAGGCUCUACCGUCGGAUAACUGAGCUUGUUCUUUGCAAUUUUAGCAGCGGUUCCAUCACCUGGCCGUGGGAUUGGGCCUGUCACGGUCGAACAGAAACUUGUGGAACCUGUGAAACUUGCGGAACCAUGCCUCCUAUGGAACUGGACGAGUCCGACUCGAUUGCCCCACUUGACGAGAGCCUCCAGUUCAUGCGCUCCGACGACGAGGAGCAAUGGCGCUGGAAGAAACGGUCCAUCUACAGGGUCCCCGCACGCAUGACGGCCCUCAACCACAAGGUCUACCAGCCGCAAGUUGUCUCCUUCGGCCCCUACCACCACGGCAAUAAACGCUUCCUCCCCAUGGAGGAACACAAGCACCGCGCGGUCCGACACUUCCUCAAGCGGUCCAAGAAGCCUAAAGAGUGCUUCUUUGAGUCCCUGAGGGAGGUGGCAUGGGACCUCGAGGAGAGCUAUGAUGCGCUGGACCCGAAGUGGAAGGCAAGCAGCGGCGAGGGUGUGGCACGCCUGUUCCUGGAGCUGAUGAUAACUGACGGCUGCUUCAUGCUUGAGAUCCUGAGGUUCGCAGCCCACAAGGUAGACGACUACGCGCCCAACGACCCCAUCUUCAGUGACCACAGGACCAUCCACAUAAUGUCAGACAUUGGCAAGGAUAUGCUGAUGCUGGAGAAUCAGCUUCCGAUGCUAGUGCUGGAUCGGCUGGUGGCUGUGGAGAGCGAUGGCAAAAAGGUUACUUUCUUAGAUUUCGGUCGGUUGUAAGACGAGAAAACAUUGCAAGUACGCAAACUGCCAUACUAUGUGCACCUAACGGUACAUCUUUGUGAUCUCACGUGAACCCUACGAUGGAUCCACCGAAUCUAAUGCUCUAAAUAGAUUGAUUGCACGGUUCACAAUCAACCGAUAAUUUGAUUAGUAAAUCUAUCACCGAAACUUCAUUUAUUUCCCUUUUUCGCGAGUAGUAUCAAUACGACCACAAUCUCAGAUUCAAUGUACUGACUUCACUCCAACAACACAGGACGACGAAUUCGUCAGCAGGCUCAUCCUCGAGGUCUUCCCGUUCCCCAGAAAGGGCAUCACAAGCUCGGGCAAAUGCCUGCACGUCCUGGACGUUUUCAGGAACAGCAUGCUGAUGAAGCCCGAGAAGAAGGACGAGGAGGUUACUUUCUUAGAUUUCAGUCUGUCGUAAGAGAUGCUAUUGCAAGUAUGCUAACCGCCGUACUAUGGGCACCUGACAGUACAUCUUGGUCAUCUCACCCUACGAGGGAUCCGCCGAAUCUAAUGCUCCAAAUGCACUAGACGCACGGUUCUAGAUCAAUCAACAAUUUGAUGAUUAAAUCUAUCACCACCAUAGGAAGCUAUAUUUUUCCCCCUUUUACUCAAGUAGUAUCGAUCCAACCACAAUCUCAGAUUCAAUGUAUUGACUUCACUCCAACAACACAGGACGAAGAAUCCGUCAACAGGUUCAUCCUCAAGAUCUGCUCCCCCAGCAAGGGCAUCAUAUGGAUGGGCAAAUGCCUGCACGUCCUGGACGUUGACAGGAACAGCAUGCUGAUGGAGCCCAAGAAGGACAAGGUGAAGAGGGAGGACCUUCGGGAGAUUAUACAAUUGGCCCCGGCCACCGAGCUCAGCGAGCAUGGGAUCAAGUUCAAGAGGAGCAAGACCGAUAGCAUCAAGGACAUCUCCUUUGCGGGUGGGGUCCUGACGCUCCCCAAGAUCUGGGUGGAUGAAUGCACCAUGUCCAAUUUCCUCAACCUCACGGCGUUCGAGUACCUCCAUGCUAUGUAGCACGGACACUCUCCGGAAGCCUUCGAGUCGUGUCCGACACUCCGACACGUGUCCGACACGUUCCGACACGUCCCGACACGCGGUCAACGAGUGUCGAAAAAUUCGACACGUGGUCAACUCUCUCCGACACGCUUCGACACGCGAGUCCAGAAUUCCGACACGUGAUUCCGACACGCACGGGGUCAAUUUUAAAAAUUUCUAAUACUUGAAGGGUCAAAAUAUAAAUAUACAAAAAAGAAGUGAUAAAAGAAGUAAUAAAAUUACUACAAAUAUACACGCACAAGGUUAAUUUUUUUUUUCAGUUUUGUUUUUUUAUAAUUGUUUUAGUUUUUUAAAAGUCUUUUACUAUGAAAGAAGUAAUAAAAAAAUGCUAUAUAUGAUAAAUAAAUAAAUAUAAAAAUAUCAUUUCAGCAUUUUUCUUUAAAUAAUGUUUUUUUCCUCUAGGUUUUAUGUAUUAUUGUAACAAAUUAAAAUAAUGAAUGAUAUUAUUUAAUAUUUUUCAUGUAAAUUAAUUCUAGGCUAUUUUUAUUAUUAUUUAUUUAUGUAUUUAUAUAUUUAAUAUAUAACGUGUCGAAAUUCUCUAUUUUUAAGAAAUGACGUGUCGGCGUGUCGUGUCGUGUCGUGUCGCGUGUCGCGUGUCCGUGUCGAUGCUACAUAGCCUCCAUGUCGGGAUUGAAAACGAGGUCAUGUCCUACAUCUACUGCAUGGACCAAAUAAUCAACAAGGGGCAGGACGUUGCGCUACUCCGCGCCCACAGUAUCAUCAUGAAUUAUAUGGAGAGCGAUGAGGCGGUAGCGGAAAUGUUCAACUCGCUGGGCAACGUUGUGGGGAUCAACCCCAGCGACAGCCUCACGGACGUGAUCGAGAAGGUCAACACGUACCGCAAUAAGCACUGGAACAAGUGGAGGGCUAAUCUCAUCCACACCUACUUGAGGAAUCCUUGGGCUGCAUUGUCUCUCAUCGCCGCCAUCUUCCUCUUUAACAAGUGGAGGGCUAAUCUCAUCCACACCUACUUGAGGAAUCCUUGGGUUGCAUUGUCUCUCAUCGCCGCCAUCUUCCUCUUUACGCUCACCAUAAUUCAGACUGUAUUUUCCGUGCUCGACUACUACAAAUGAACACUUUGCCUCAGUACAACAGUAUACUGUAUUUUUUCCACUUUUUUUGGUUUUUCUCCUGAUGAUGGAUGCUCGAUCAUCGUCUCUUGAUCGGUUUGGGUUGUUACGAAUGAUUUUCCUCCUGCUUUCAGUCAUGUUCAUAUCCCUUUUCAAUUUUUUGAAUAAUGGACAUUUUUAUUUAACAUUAUCAAAUGAUGAUUCUCUUGUUUUAUUCUCCUUCAUGUUCAUGUUUGUCCAAUUUGAAUCGGGUAGGGUGAAGGAUGACCAAGUUUUAGGCAAAUGGAAUCUACCUUUGCAACAUUUCUUCUUGAUUAAAUUUGUUAAGUUGCAGUGAAUUUAAGUGAGAAAACAAAUAUGGCCUUCAAAGUCAUCUCUAAUCACCAUUUGCUUCAAAUAUCGUAAAAGAACCAAAUUGUUUGAUGUUAAUACCUAAAUUUGGUUAAGUAUUUAUGAUAAAAAUUGCAUAAAAAAAUUAGGAACCAACUGGACCUUAACAAAAAGGAUUUUCGCACCACCUAGGUCUUAGUUUUAUUUUACAAUAUUUUCGGAUUUAAAAAAGAAGGAAAAAAAAAAAAGAGUGAGGCCUGAGCAGGUUGGGCCUUCGCGCCCAGCCCUUCCUUUUUUCCCUUCCGCAUGGGCUCGGGCCCAUUUGGCCCCAGCUCCCCCCUAACGGCCCGGCUCGGCCCUCUCGUUCAUCUUCCGCCCACCUUCCUUGCGCUGCGCGCCAUCCGCGUAGACAGAGAAAGAGGGGGAGAGGACGGCGAUGCAUGUGGAGCAACGCGAGGACCGGAGGGAGACCCGGACGGAUGGGCGGGCGCCUUUCAAUACGGUAGAGGAGGCGGCCUAGCUAGUGCUGUCUCGACUGGUGGGAAGCCGGUUCGGUUGGGGGAGGACGGUCGGAGCGCCGAAGACCGACGAUCGAGGAGCCACCGCCGACCGGCCCCCCUUGGCCUAUGAAUAAGGCGUCAUGCGGAGGCCAAAAAGACACACACAAAGAGAGACACAGAAGUAGCGAGCUCCGACCCCCCCGAGAGUCAUCUGGGGCGUCCCGAAUGACCGAAUCUAAGAGAGAGAGAGAGAGAUUUGAGUUUGAGAGCUGUGAGCGAGGGUUGAGGGCAAGAUCUGAACUGUAAAAGAGGGAAGAGAGAUUUGAGGGGGGGAAAAAAGUCUAGAUCCAAGGGAGAGAGAGGGUCGCGAGGACCCGGCCUCGCCACCGCGUGCAGCACUGGCUGCUUGGCCCGAUGCCGCCGCCGUGCAGCCACCAACGAUGAGGCCUGCUCUCAUCACUCCCGUCGCCGCCUGCGCCUAUAGCCGUUGCCUUUUUGUCCCACAACGACCCAGCUGCCCACUAGGCUCGACCGAGCCCCUGCACCGUCGAACCCGCCGUCGCCUCUUCUGUCGAUCCACCGCCCUGUGACUUCCCAGCCGCCCCUAUCGGCGCCGUAGAGAGGCAGAGAAGGAGAGAAGCGCGAGUCGAGUUAGAGCCGGGUCGGGCGCGGGUCCAUAAUCGGGUAGGGCUUUCGCUGAUAGGAGGGAGAAACAGGCUAGGCUUGUGUUUUUUACUUUGUUUUGGGUCUCGGCCAAAUUCGCGGGCCAGGCCUCGCCUUUCAUUUCCUUCGCGGCUGAAGGGAACGGUUGGGCUGGGCCCCUUCGUGGAAACCAGCCCCGCCUGAGGCCUGUGCCACGUGGAGUUCCGACUCGGAUCCGUUUUUAGAAUAUGAUAUAUUCUUAUUUUAAUAUUAAAAAAUAUUUUAAUAAAAAAUAGAAAAAUCCCAAAAAAUGAUUUACACUUUAAAAAAAAUGGACAAACCCAAAAAUAUUUUAUAUUUUCCAAAAAAUCAGAAAAAUAAAAAAUAAUCUUCAAAAAAAUAAAAGCUUUUGAGUGGUUUUUCUUAAAAUAUGUGAAAAUACUUAACAAAAAAAAUCCAAAAAAAAAAAAAGUGUUUAAAUUCAUGGAACCAAAUAUUGGCUAAUUCCAAUUGCGCCCUUAUGAAACAUGGAUUUCUAUUUCCUAAAUCUGAUUAGGAAUCGAAUCCUAAAAUUCGUAAUUGGUACAAAAUGCUGUAUAAAUGCUUUACUUGAUAUUUAAAUAAGAUUAGGUAUCGGAAGGAUAUUAAUGAUUAACUAAUGUAAUCAAGUCUCUAAUCCUACUUUCUCUGAUUACGCUGGAAUGAAGAAUAUCUCAUAAUAUUUCACUUGGGUUUCUAAUCAACUCACAUCAAAUUGAUUAAUAAUGACUUCAUAAUGAAAUUGACUUGUAUGUUAAAAACUCAAAUCAUAAAUCAUGAAUUGGUGCGUUUGGGAGAGCCUGAACUAAGCCAUAUAUGCUUAGCGAGCCAUUAACCCCCACCCACCCCAGCGUGUAAGAGGGCGCUGAAAAGGGAGGUCACGUCAUUUUAUUAUUGAACUCAUUAUAUAAUUUGUUAAAAUGAUUUCCACUAUAUUAAAGAUAUUACAAAGCAUUAUACUUUAUAAGGAAACGUACAAUGAUAUAAAUAAUAAAGCUAUAAAUCCCUUGAUUUUAAUAUAUUUGAGAAUCUACUUGUGAUUUUCAUUGACAUUUUCAUAUUCUUCUCUCUUGAUUGAUAAAUGGGAAAAGUGCCAAAAAAGUUCUAAACAUUUUGUCUUUGUACCGAUUUAUUCCUAAACCUUUUUUUGAUGCCGAUUCAAUCCUAAACCUUUUUCACGUUGUGCCUAUUCAGUCAUUUCUUACCAAUUUUGGCCGGAUUUUGCUGAUUGGAAGUCGGUCAGCUGAUGUGGCCUCAUCGGCACUAACGUGGACAACUUUUAAUAAUAUUUUAAAAUAUUAUUUUUAUUUUAUUUUUUUAUUUUUGUCUUUAUCCUCCAGUCGGUGAGGGCAAGCCUCGCCGGCCCCCGCUAGCCAUGGGCGAGGCUCGCCCUUGCCGGAUCUGGCGAGGUCGAGCCUUGCCGACCCUCGUCAGCCAUGGGCGAGGUGGCUGGCGAGGUUAGCCUCGCCCUCGCCGGCCGUUGCCUCUAGCCGGUCACUGAGGUCUGGAGACCGACGGGAGGAAAAAGACAAAAUAAAAAAUAAAAAAUAAAAUAAAAUAUUAUUAAAAUAUUAUUAAAAGUUGUCCACGUCGAGGCCACGUUAGCCGUCGACGUCCAGUCAGCAAAAUCCGGCCAAAAUUGGCCGGAAAGGACUAAAUUGAUACAAUAUAAAAAGGUUUAGGAUUGAAUCGACACCAAAAAAAAAGGUUUAGGACUAAAUCGGCACAAUGGCAAAAGGUUUAGGACUUUUUUGGCACUUUUCCGAUAAAUCAAUGCCUUAACUCCCCUUCAAAUUGGCAAAUGGGACAAUCCCAAAUUCUCAAUUUGCAACGUAAGUUUCCAAAUGCGUUUUUGGAAUAAUAGCUUCGUGAAGAGAUUAACAAUUAGAUGCACAAAUAUUCUUAUCUUUUACAAAAAAAAAAAACAAUUAGAUGCACAAAUAGAACAUACUUAGUCACAAGAGUUCCACGAGCCACUUUUUCUCGCACAUAAUGAUAAUCUAAUUCGAAAUGUUUAGUUCUUGCAUAUAACACAAUAUUAAUUAACAUAUGAAUUGCACUGAUAUUAUCACAAAAUAAUAUUGAUGGACUUAAGAGAUGAACACCUAAAUCUCUUAAAAGGAAAGAUAUCCAAACAAUCUUAGCUAUUGUCAACCAAUUGUACCAUACUCUAUAUUAGCACUAAAUUGAGCAAUCAUUCAUUGCUUCUUAGCACUCCAUAAUAUACAAUUACUACAGGUACAAAAUAUCACAGUCAAUCGUCAAGUCAAGUGGCAAUUUGCCCAACCUUCAUCACAAAAGGCAUACAACUCUAUAGUUAACUUGGACAAGAUCAGCAUUUCUUGAUUUAUCGUGCCACUAAUAUAGCGCAAAACGUGCUCCACAAUUUGAAAAUGAGUCAUAGUGAGCCAAUGCGUGAAUUGAGAUAUAAAAUUGACUGCAUAUGAAAUAUCUAGAUGUGUGAUGGUGAGAUAUUAAAGAGUUCUGACAAUACUUAAAGAUAACGUUCGAAAGUAAUUUCGCAUUUGAGACAAUGAGUGCGAGUGGCUAUAGGCGUGGAUCUUGGCUUGCAAACAUCCAUUUGAGCACAUUCAAGAAUUGACAAAGCAUAUGCGGUCGGCACAAAUAAAGACUAUCAAAUAAUAUUCUAACCUCCACAACCAAAAAGUAAUAUAAUGGCUCUAUAUCCUUUAUUGUAAAUUCACUACUCAAUGAAGAAAUAAAUCCAUCAAGCAAGUUUGGAUCAUUACUAAUGACAAUCAUAUCGUCCACGAAUAAAAGUAGAGCUAGAAUGGCAUGAUCUGAUUUUUGAAUGAACAACGAAGUAUCUACAAUGCUGCAAAAGAAACCAAAUGCUAAAAGAAACAAGCUAAAAUGAUCAAACCAUGCUUUUGAUGCUUUCUUGAUUCCACACAAAGCUCUCUCAAGUUUGCAAACAUAAUACAGGUUUUUUGGUCCUCAAAACAAGGCAGUUGCUCCAUAUAAAUAGAUUGUGACAGAAAUAGAUAUCUAUAUUAAAAAUAAAAAAUAAAAAAAUUGACCAAAAAAAUAUUAAAAAUGCAAAACAACAAAUGGGGAGUAGAUUAAAAAAGAAAAAAAAAAUCAAAGCCCACUUGCAUCAAUCGUACAAUCUGACUACUCUCCCUCCUAUACAUCUGAAAAGACCCUCUUUUCAUCUAAUUUAUAGAUAUGUGAAACAAAUUUUUCAUUGGACCCUCAGAAAAAUAUGCAUCCACGGGAAAAAAAAAUGUUGAUAUACUGACAAUGCUAAUUUAUAAUAACUUUUCUAAUAUAACUAAGUACGAUGUAUUACAUAAUGGGAUGAGAUGCCCAUACUUUUUAAGUUUCUACAUUGAGUUAUGCAAUAUCAAUUUUGCAGACUUUAAUCAUCAAAUUGAUUUGAAAUGCCUGGGUUUGUCAUGUUUGGUGCAUGAGGACCUAUAAACUGCAUAAUGACUUGUCUGCAGUCUCACACUCGGUUCAAUAGAUGUUAAGGCUAUUGUUAAACUUGGAUUACAGUCUUUGCCUGUUUUGUCUAAUUGUAACAUCGGUAAUGCACACAGAGCUGUCUGUACAACGUAGGGAUUUUGAUAUUUAUUCUAGACAUUCCGUUACCAUUAGCACACCCCUCAUUAUAUGCAAGGCAACCCCUUCAUCGUCUCAUGCCAACUCCUAAAGCCUGUAGUUGUUUCAGAAUCAUUUUCGACAAAUGAGAGGACAAGGGUCUCCUUCUGUCUCGCCCCGUCGUUGCUGUUGAAAAACAUACCAAGAAACAUAUAUUUGGGACCAAAAUCAGUCUCUACACAGACUCGAGACGAUGGAGAAAGCAAAAACGGGACACACGAGUAGAAUGUCAUUCCUUGUAUGGGUGAGAUUAGGGACAUAAGGCAAGUUGAGCCCGAAUUAGAGACACUAGCAUCAUACACCGGAUGUAUCUUUGGCCGUCAAACUAGUUAUCGAAGAGGUGGAAAAAUUCACCAGCUUACAAGUCUAAACACAACCAGGCCACAUAGCCCCCAAGGAUGCCAAAAGACUCACGGAAAAAACCUGUCCCUUAAGAACCACGAACAGCCUUCAGUCCAUUAUUAGCAGCACGUUAUUAAGGAAAGAAACCGCACACGCCGCACAAUCGAAUCAAAGCAAAUAUGGCAAGUUCUUCACGCCCCCAACAUCAUUUGGUUGGGAAAUCACAUGCCCCGAUAUCAGAUCAAAUUGUUUAUCAACAGAUUCAACCACCUUUCCUUAUGCCCAAGAGCUGCAAAAUCCAAAGAUUGAAAACAUGAGCAGUCGACUUGAAGGGAUCCACAGAACAUGCAAGUUUAUCGAUAAGCAUACUCGAUUUCACGAAGGAACUCAUGAUAAAACUUCCCAGAACUUCACUUAUCAGAUUUUACACGACGUCCUAUGUGUAGGUAAAGAAAGAAAAUUCAUCUUCAGAGAAUAGUAGCUCCACCACGGUCACACAGCACACGGCAUUCGGCACUACAAGGUCAAUUUUUUCCCCCACAAAAUGGCUGACAUUAGAAACUCAGAGCACUGCAAUCCCAAACUUUCACCACAAGAAGAUUGAAUUGUAAAGCAAAGUUCUACAAGCUAGGCAACUAGGUCCCUCUGCUGUUAAGUAUUGACUAACACUUGACUUGGCUGAAGAGCAUGGCCAAAGGAUGGAUUAGAAAGAAAAACACAUUCCCCGAAGCGAGUCCACAAGGAGAAGAGCUUCUCACAAGAUCACAAAUUGGGGGAGCUCACUCGUCCAUAUCCUCUUCUCUGUCGGCUUCGGCCCCUUCAUCCUCCCUCCUGAGCUGACCGCAUACAUUACACUCCAUUAUAUCAGAAGGAGCAUCAUCCCACGGAGGCAGAGGAGCCAUUGUCCCGCCGCAGUUUUUCCUGUUGCACAUAUACCUGACGAAGAGAUACGCGUAGGGGAAGUCAGUCUCUUUCUCCUCUGCAAUACCCACCUCCGACCCACUCAUUUGUUCAUCGGCAUCCUCAUCCAUCCCUUCACUGUCACCAUCAUCAUCUUUGCCGAUAUCAUCGUGCUCGUUCUCAUCAUCGGACUAAUUGGCCUCGACCUUGCACCGAUCACAGUCGCAGGCGAACCCGUAGUCUUCCAUCAACCUCCUCUGCCUAUUCGCAUAAUUCAAGUUGACAGGAAAAUAACUCAGGCAGAUCUCCCUCCCUUGAGGGACAUCAUGGAUCAUCCGCACGAUUAUAUCACUAUUGCCAUCAGAAGCAGAGUCUACAUAGUCAAAUCUGCAAGCAUUUGGCAGGCAAUCGUGGUUGAAGAAAGAAGCUCUUGGAUAAAUACCGUAAGCUCUCACCGAUCUCUCCCCAUCCACCUCGCCCCCACCCCGCGACAAAACCGGCUCCAUCAAACCGAAAGCAUUGAGCUUGUCCUUCGACAGCAAGGCGACGAUCAAUUCAAGAGAAAACCCCAGAGGAAAAGGCGAACCCGGAGGAGGGGGAGGACAAACCGAGGCGAGCAGCGAAUGCAGGAACCGCGCGGCCGAGACGGUGUCGUCGGCGUGCGCCUCGCGGCCCUGGAGAGAGAGCAGUAGCUGAAAAUUGGAGGGAGAGACGGUGGCUAGAUUGCAAGCGGCGAUCAGGAACCGAGCCUGGACGUGGCGCUCGACAGGCUGGCCGUCGAGCAGGCGGGAAGCGACCAGGCGGGAGAGCGUCUGGCAGACCCAGGGGGUGUGCGACGUCGCGGCGGCGGCGGCGAGGCAGCCGGGGCCGCAGAACGCGUGGCGGCCGCACGCAGGGCACGGGGCCCCUGGCGGCGAGGAGGACGGAGGCAAGAUUCUGAAGCAGUGGUCGCAGUAACAAGCAGCUGAAGAAGAAGAAGAAGAGGAAGAAGGAGGUGGUGGUUUGGUGAGGGGAAGAGCAGAGUAGAGAAGAAUAGGAGAGUCCCUGAGGACGAUUUGGCCGCCGCGCAGCGGCCGCGCCGCCACCAGGGCCAGCCCUCUGCCGUCGAUCUCGGCGAGGUUCAGCAGCGAAGCUGCUCCGUCCGCCAUUUCCAGAGCUUUGUUUGAGCAAGCUUUAGGGUUUCUUUCCGGGUCAAGUGCCCGCGAAAUUCUUUUUUAUUUCCUUCGCCAGCCCAGGAAAAAUGGGAAAUCACAAUAGUGAACUUCUGCCUGGGGUCCCUCGCGGCUCCCGGGUCUCGCUUAACAUGAAUUUGACUAAGCCUAGGCGCCGAAAUGGAAAUUGAACUGAAUCACUUUUCUUUUUUUCAAAAGAAAGUUUCAUUCAUUUGUCAUAAUCAUAGGAACAUAGAAAAGUUCCAAGUUCCAAGCAAAGCAACUCACAAAAGAGCCGCAAGACAAAACGAAACAAAACCCAUAAAACAAAAUAAUACGGCUUAUAGUUAGCUCUCGUCCCAAAAGACUCGAUCUAUUACAGUAUUAAAAAUCAAUUGGCAGUCAAUCACCAAAAUCAUCAGUAAUGGGCAUCCGACAAGAUCUUCCCAUCCAGAAACUGGCAUGGCAUCCUCAACACUAUUGCUAUACUAAAACAACAACAAUAAUAUUUUGAAUCAUCACAAAUCUAACACUUCUAAGAAACUUCUAGAUGUAGAUUAGAACAAGAAAUAAAAGCUCUCAUAUUCAAAUUUACACCUAAAACAAGAGAGAAUAGAUUACACCAAAUCCAAAAAUCAUAAAACCAUGUCCUCAGCAUCCUAUUAGCUAGAUUUGUGACAAUUUUCUCACAAAUUUUUCAAUUACAAGUAGAUUUUUUUCUAUCAGUAACUAUAAGUAGGGGUGUAAGUGAUUUAGUUCAAUUCGGUUUUUUUUUAAACAAAUCGAAAAAAAUCGAACCAAAAGGAAAUUUAUUGAACCAAACCGAAAUCCAAUCAGAACCGAACUGAAAGCCUAGUUCGAUUCGAUUCAGUUUGGUUUGGUUUUCAAUUUUUACUUUUAUUUUUGUUUUUUUCCUACAUGCACCCCCUUCAAUAAAUUUUUUAUUCUUUAAAAAAAAUCGAUUUUUAAAUUAUUUUUAUUCUUUUAUUUUUUCUUCAUUUUCUUUCGUUUUCUUCUUCUUCUUUUUCAUUGGCCAAUCGCCGACUACAUCAUUGAUUGGCAACUAGCCAGCUGGUGAGCUCGAGCCUUGCUAGCUUGUGGCAAGGCUCGAGCCCUGCCUAAGUGGCCAAAUCUGACAAGGCUCGAGCUCGCCAAUGUCAAAUAAGUUUGGCCUCGUCUAAUCAAGCAAGGUGGAGCUGUUGUCCUCAAGCCUUGCCAGCCUGUGGCGAGGCUCUAAUCACCUCUGGCUAGUUGUAAAAAAAAUUAAAAAAUGAAUAAGAAGAUCGCCCAAUGAUGAAUAAGAAGGAAAAAAAAUUAAAAAAAAUGAUUUUUUAACAAAAUAAAAGGAAAAAAUUUUAGAUUUUAUUUGUUUGGUUUGGUUAACCAAACUGAUAAAAACCGAACUGGUUAAAAAAAAUCGACUUUUAAUGAGAAUCAAAUCAAAAAAAAAAAAAUGAACUUUUUUGGUUCCAUUUUUGACACCCCUAGCUCUAAGCAGAUUUAUUCACGACAGUGAGAGAAAAGAGAGCCGUAUUAGACCAAGAGAAAGAAAAAAAGAAAAGAAAAUCGAGGCCCAGAAAAGAAAAGUAUAUCAAAGCAGGCUAAAGUUUAGAGUCUGUAGGUGAAAUUUUUUAAGAGGAAGGAUUUUUUUUGGGGAGAUAGAAAAUUGCCGAGAGAAAGAGAUUGGGGUUGCGUCUAUCUUGUUUGAAUCAUAUAGAGCAUUUCUUUCGUGGAAAGUAAAUGCUAUGGAAUAAAUUUUCCAAAAAAUUAAUCAUUGUAUUGCUUACAAAAAUGAAAGAAUGAAAAAAAAAUCAUCAUUUACAAAAAUAAUUAUAUAUAAAUUAUUUUUAUCAACUGAUUAUUUUAAGCUUUGACAAAAAUAAAAUAAUUAUUUCAAGUGUGAUAAUUUUUUUAACAAUGUUUUUCAAAUAAUUUAUUUUUCGCAAAAAUAAUGUAGUCUAAGUUAGUUCAAUUUGAAACAAAUAGAUUAUCGUCAAAGGAGAGGUAAAUCUUAUUGAAUUAAUUUCAUUGAUUAAUCGUAUGCUUGUCAAAUUUCAAAUUAGAUAUGUGACACCGCAAGUAGAAGCAUCCAUAUGAAUUAUCUCAAAUAGGUGAGAUAUCACUUUCGAUGUUUGAAUUCAUAGAUCCUUUUCAUUCGCAUUAUUAAACUUCUAGUCUGUCUAUUCAAAAUAUCGACUUGGCCUGACUUUUCUAAUCAAGUACAUUAAAUCUAGGGAAAAUCUCAAAUAAGGACCCAGAGUGAGCCUACUUUCUCAAAUAUAGAUCCGAAAUAACCAUUGUUCCAAAUAAGGACCUAAAGUGGCUAACAAGUCUCAAAUAAGGACCUGAACCCACCAACCGGCCAAAAUGUUCAUUGGCUGGUGAGCGUGUGACAUUUCCAGUGGCUGAAAUAUGAGCAAUUUUGUCCCAAAAAAUUAUAGAUAGAAAUUAACAAACCCUAAAAACAAAACCCCCAAACUCUUCACGUUCUUCUUCUUCCGCUCUUCAUCUUUUACGUUAUUUGUCCCCUCAUUUGGAGAACCCAAAUUCUCCGUUGAUGGAGCAAGAUCCCUGUCUCCCUAAGUUCCAAAUGUACAUGCCCUCCCUCUCUCUCUUUCAAUUUGAACGAAAUUGACCUCGGUUGAACGAGAGUGUGAAUGAAAGUGUACGGCAAACCUAGGAAAAGAUAAUGAAGAAUCGAGGCCCUCGUGUUACACACAAGUGUCUCAAUAACGAAAAGGUGGCUUUACUCAAGAUUUGUCUUCUCCAUUGGAAAGAAACGAAGACAGAAAACAAAAGAAGAAGAUGUGAAGAAACGAAGGUAGGGUUUCUUGUUGUGUUUCAAUUCGUGUUCCAUUAACAGAAAAUUUCCGUGCUCCAAGCGAGAGAGGACAAAGAACAGAGAAGAUGAAGAGCAGAAGAAGAAAAAUGUGAGAACAUGAAGAGUUUUUCUUUUUAGGUCAAAAGAACAUGAAGAGAUUGGGGGUGGUUUUUAGGGUUUGUUAAUUUCUAUUUCUAUUUUUUUUUUGGCACCAAAAAUGUCACAGUCUCGCCAGUCGGUGAACAUUUUGGCCGGCCGGCAAGUUCAGGUCCUUAUUUGAGACAAUAGCCACUUUUGGUCAUUAUUUGAGACAAUGGCCACUUCGGGUCCUUAUUUGAGAAAAUAGACUUACUUUGGGUUCUUAUUUGAGAUUUUCCCUUUAAAUCUAAUUACUUGAAAUUAGUGUGUUAUACAGAAUUAGAGGUUGACAAGAAUAAACUGUUUGGAACCAUUUAUUAUUUGCUAAUAAUCUUAAAAAUGAAGGUCGCAAUUGGAUCUCGAGUGACGAGAAAUCUCAACAUGAACACUUUCACUUGAGCUUUUAACUUGAAAACUCUCGUAAACUUACGAUAGACGCAAUUAGUCAAAUUACAAGUUUAGAGAAUUGAUUAAAGAAGAAAAUUCAAAGAUUCGAUUCGAAAACACAAAUGGCCAAGCUAAAAGAUUCAACGUUAUCAUUCUAAUAUCAUUUAUGCAUUACACUCUACUACGACGCAAAGUUCAUAGUUCCACGAGUCAAAAGUUUAAUUUUCAAACGAAACCAAAUCACGAAGCUUAUAAUAUAAAGUCCCCGGGCUCUAUGAAAUACUCGAUACGUUAGAAGUCAGUAAUGCUCUUGAUAUAAAGCUUUUGACUGUUCAAAAGAUUUCGCAAACGAGCACUUGUUAAAUAAUAAAAUUCCGGAAACUUUAGAGUUUCAAAUACAUGGGUUUUGCUCGUGUAAUAUGCAGAAUAAAGGAAUAAGAAAUUUCGCAUAUAUUGAUGUGUGUAAUGAAGAGCACAUCUGCAUAUUUACAGGCUUUAUUAAAUUACUAUCUAAGAUAAUAAAUUAAUCAAGAUAUACGCAUGGUCAAAGAAAAACUUGCUAAUAAAUAUCUAAUUAUUUCAUGCACCAAUCUAACUGAUGGGAUCGAGAUUACUAACAACAUAUGAAGGUUGGGAAUAGAAAUGGUUUUACUUUCUUCAAUACUAGAAAUGGUUUCAUCAGCAGCACUUUUGAGCCCAUUAAUUCAUAAUAGCCAAUAGUAAAUGUAGACUUCCUGAAGAGAAACCCCAAUAAAGCAAACUUAAAUUUUGGUAUGUGAAGACAAAAGAAUUAUGACAGGACUGAACUCUUGAAAACAAAAUGAAAAGCCAUAGAUAGUUUUCCUGUUAGCAAUAGCAUCAUAUAAUCAAAAUUAGAUUAAAUUUAAUCAACAAAAGUAAUCCAACCAACAGUUUUGGAAUAACAAAUAAAUGUAACAGAUAAGCAACAAGCUUUGUAACAGAACUAGCAACAACCUUUUUAGUUUAUUUAAUAGAUCCACUUAGUUGCAAAAUAUUGAAAGAAAAAACCUUAUUAGCAGGUCACACAACCAACAAACCUCCUAGCUACAAAAAAAAAAAAAAAAAAAAAAAAACUCUUAUUGUCGAUCAUGUCUAUGUUAUUAUUUUAUUAAGGCAAGGGAGUUUAAUCGAAACUCUGAUCUAACCAUAGGCGUUGGACUUCAUCUUUGGCCAUGCCAAUCAAUGUUGGCCGAUCUCCGUCUCCACUGAACAACACCUAGUCACUCGUUGGACUAUCACCAAACCAAACUUCGUCGACUACCGCAGGAAAAAGAAAAAACAGAGUAAACCCAGAAUUGAAGAAAGUGGACCUAGUUCAGGCAUUUUGUCAAUGGAUGGUGGGCGACUCAACUAGAUUGUUUAGGCUCAAAAUUUAGACAAUAAAUCACGCUAACUACACAUAAACAUCACAAACAUCACAUAUUUUGGGACACGACACCUCACGGAUUUCAUCCUUAAGUGAAUAGGAGUAGCAUGGCGAUUCUUACCUUUUGUGGGAGAGAAUCCGGUAGCAAUGGCAAGGGGAUACGCUAAUCUGUCUAGUGAAGACACGCGAGCGACCUGUGAAGGCGGAGAGGCUCGAGACCCAGCAGUCACAAGGUUCUUCUGCUUUAGCUUCAAAAUCGCUGGCGUUGUGCCCGAGCCCGAAAUCAAGAAUGAUCCACUCGCGGUUUCUAUUGCCCGAGCCAGAAAAGCAACGACCCCGACAAACGAAGCGAGCGGCGUGUGAAGGCAAAGAGGGCUCAGGACCCAGCACUUGAAAAACUUCUUCCGCUUUGGUGCCAACGCGGCCGAGCCCGAAAAUGAAACCGACCCACUCGCAGAUUAUAUCGCCGGAACCAGAAAGGCGACGAUGGCAACAAACAAAGCGAGCAGCGUGUGAGGGCCGAGAGGAGUCGUGACCUAGUAGCUGCAAUUUCUUCCGCAUUGGUGAGGAUGUGCCUGACCCAAAAUCGAAACCGAGCCACUCGUGGUUUCUAUCGUCAAAGCUCGAAAGGCGACGAUGGUGAUGAACAAAGUCGAAGUGGAAGGAGCGCAAGAGCAAGAGGGCGAGGGCGUGAGGGCUUGAGGUGAGUGAGGACCGGGAAGGAAGACGAAGAGCUCCAUGUUCAAACGUGAAAAGACCUGUGCAAGAGAGAGAGAGAGAGGAGCAGAGAGAAAGAGAGAGACAGAGGAGCCAUUAAUGGCCGCUCAGCCUACUGCCGCCUGCAACUUGCCCUAGAGGAGAGAGAGUAAUUUUUUUAUUCUAACUUUAGAUGACACGUGUCGUUUUAUUAGUGGACCUAAUAGAUAAGUAUAUGCCAGAUUGGUGGAUGACGUGGCGCUUAUGAACCACUGAAUAUUUUAUUAGAACUUUUUUUUUUAUAGUUAAUAUUUUCUUAGAACUUCAGGGACCAUGAAUUCAUCCCUCAGCACUCUUCACUCUUCCAUUCUCUCCCUCUCCCCAUGAAUUCCCCUCUUCUCUCACUCCUUUCAGCUUGAGAGGGGAAAAAAAAAAAAAAGCAAGAGCAAAAGACCCUCCAGAGCAGAAACAAGUGGAACCCGUGAAACUUGUGGAACUAUUUCUCCUGUGGAACCGAUCGAGUCCGACUCGAUUGCCCCACUUGACGAGAGCCUCCAGUUCAUGCCCUCCAACGACGACGAGGAGCAACGGUACUGGAAGAUGCGGUCCAUCUACAGGGUCCCUGCCCACCUCACUGCCCUCAACCGUGAGGCCUACCAGUCGUGAGUUGUCUCCUUCGGCCCCUACCACCACGGCAAGGACCACCUCCUCCCCAUGGAGGAACUCAAGCGCCGUGCGGUCCGCCACAUCCUCAAGCGGUCCAGGAAGCCUAUGGAGCGCUUCUUCGAGUCCCUUAGUGUGGUGGCGUGGGACCUCAAGGAGAGCUACGAUGCGUUGGACCCGAAGUGGAAGGCAAGCAGCGGUGAGGGCGCAGAACCCCUGUUCCUGGAGGUGAUGAUAACUGACGGCUGCUUCAUGCUCGAGAUCCUGAGGUUCUCAGCCAACGAGGUGCACGACUACGCGGCCAACAACCCCAUCUUCAGUAAACAUGGGAGCACCCACAUAAUGUCACACAUUUGGCAGGAUAUGCUGUUGUUAGAGAAUCAGCUUCCAAUGCUAGUGCUGGAUCGGCUGGUGGCUGUCGAGAACGAUGGCGAGAAGGUUACUUUCUUAGAUUUCGGUCGGUUGUAAGACGAGAAAAUAUUGCAAGUAUGCAAACCGCCAUACUAUGUGCACCUAACAAUACAUCUUUGUGAUCUCACACCCUACGAUGGAUCCACCGAAUCUAAUGCUCUAAAUACAUUGAUCGCACAGUUCAAAAUCACCCGAUAAUUUGAUUAGUAAAUCCAUCACAGAAACUUCAUUUAUUUCCCUUUUUCGCAAGUAGUAUCAAUAUGACCACAAUCUCAGAUUCAAUGUACUAAUGUCACUCGAACAACACAAGACGACAAAUUCGUCAGCAGGCUCCUCCUCAAGUUCUUCUCGUUCCAGAGCAAGGCAUCACAAGGAUGGGCAAAUGCUUGCACGUCCUAGACGUUUUCAGGAACAGCAUGCUGAUGGAGCCCGAGAAGAAGGACAAGGAGUUUACUUUCUUAGAUUUUAGUCUAUCGUAAGAGAUAUUGCAAGUAUGCUAACCGUUGUACUAUGGGCAGCUAACGAUACAUAUUGGUCAUCUCACCCUAAGAGGGAUCCACUGAAUCUAAUGCUCCAAAUGCAUUGGAUGCACGGUGUUGCGAAAAGGUGAGCGAUCGAACAAUAAUAUAGACAUAAGAAGAAAAUAAAUUGGACACCAGAUUUACAUGAUUCAGUCAUAAAGACUUACGUUCACAGGGAGAGCAGCAGCGAAUUUCACUAUAGAUCAAGCGAUACAAGAAGAUUACACACUCAAGUCACUCAAACACUCUCUCAGUGUUUCCCAAGCCCCAAUUACACCCAAUAAUGCACGUAGUGUUUAGCCCCGAAAUUCCUCAAUAAAUAAUAUUUCAAUCUCACAAAGGAAUUACACGCAAAUCUUACCAUAAGAUUUAAUUGGCAUGAACACUAAAUUUUCUUGGAUGUAAUUCACAAACAAGAAUGACAGAGAAAAUCCCUCCCAAGCACUCGACGACGAGACGACGCUUCAAGACCAAUUCUUCACGAUCAACCUUCUUCCAUCCAUGGCCACAAGUCUAUAUAUAUAUAUAUAAGUGAUUUGCAACUUCUCAUAAGAUUUUGUUUCAUAUCUUGGAUGAUUUUAUCCAAAACAUAUCUCUGUAUAUUUUAAACAAAAUCCAAGUCCUAGUCAAAGUUGGACUUUCCUAUUUUAGCGGCCAAAUUCUCCAAUGCAUAUUCAAACUUUGGGAAGUUGAUCUUUGGAUCUUCUUUGCUCAAUUUCGAACAUCCGCAACAUAUACAAUUCAGAAUAUUUGGAAUUUCACAUUGAACUCAAACUCAAGACAUAAUUUAACAAUCUCCACCUUGGCUCGAUGUUUGAGCCAAGUCACAAUCGCUUUGCGAAAAUUCAAACUCUGCUGCUAUUCUUCCAUAGCCCCCGAUGGGCUCAACCGCCAUAGAUAUUAUCCAAGUCCAAGCUUCGCUUGAACUUCGCCAUAACUGAGGACCUCAUUAGAAUACCAACUCCACAUGCACCUUUAACUUUAACUGCUCCGCAAGAAUUUUCCAACGCAACCUCCUCAACUGCAAAUAAAGUAAAACCAUUGUUGCAUCCAUAUCUGUUAGAAGAUCGAAUAUGUACCUUGUUAAUUUCAGUAGUUACAGCAACCGUUGGCUCUAUAAGCUCCACCUCGCUACAAGCACCAUCUGUGUCAAUUACUUUGCUAGUACUCAUACUCACCACCUCAGGAGUUUCUUGUCGCAACUUCACCUCAAGCUGAACACCAUCCAGAUCCGUAUUAACACUGCCACAAAUACUCAUAGCCAGAAGUAUUGGAGACUUAUCAAGGAGAACUUCUUUGCUAUUAACAGGUGAAUUUAUAUCUUGGCACCACAACCGAUCGCCCCACUCACCUUGUGCAUAGCCAUGGAAUAUGCACCUUGCCCUCCAAUCGAGCUUACCAUCACUCACUUGAAAAUAACACGAGCAACCAAACAUUCUAAUAAUAGAAUAACCAGCAACGUUACCUGACCAUACUUCUUUAGGAGUCCGCCAUUCAAUAGCAGUUGAUGGGGAUUUAUUCACCAAACAGCUUAUUGUACUAAGUACAUCAGUUAGGAUUCUCCUAGCAAAACCAGCACUAGAGAUAAUUUUUUGGGCCGUCUCUAGUAAUGUUCUGCUCAUCAAUUUUGCAAAUUGUUGUGAUUUAUCGGCACUAGUGCGGUGUUUCACUAUGCUCUCUUUCAUGUAGAAUUUAUUUGCCAGCUUUGAGCAAAACUCCAUGCUAUUGUCAGUCUGCACAUGCUUGAUCGACUUACCAGUCUCCAUCUCGAUCAAAGCUCUUGACUGUAAGAUCCUGACACCGGCAUCAAACUUUUGCCUUGGCACAAACACCCAGGUCUUCCUCAAGCAGUCAAUAAACUCUCGAACAGAUGCAUCCGACGUCUCCGGGGCGAAAUCUGUCAUUGUCUUACCUUGAAGUUUAUACAGGCCUCCGUGCUUGAUUCAUUUCAUUAUCACCAAGGCACCUCGAACAACCUUUAGAACUCCACCUUUUGAAGAAUACCUGCAACUAGCCGAAUCUAGGGCACCCAAGGAAAUUAAGUUCUUUUUCAAUUCUGGAACGUGUCUUACUCCAGUCAAUGUCCUCACAAUACCAUAAUGCAUUUUGAUUUUAACAUCACCAACACCCACAACAUCACACUCACCGUUGUUCCCUAAGUGGACUUUACCACUACCCGUGUACUGAUAAGUGAUAAACCGGUUUCUAUUUAGUGUGACAUAAAAAGAACAACCAGAAUCCAAAAUCCAUCCAUCAAGCGAUGAAUCAUUAGUGACAUACAAGACACAAUCGACAUUAUCAGCUAUAGCUGCAAUAUUAUCUGCAGAAUCAACUAUAAUUCCCUUACCCUUCUCAUUUUUUAACUUAAGACAAUCCCUUCUAAGAUGCCCCCUCUUGCCACAGCUCCAACAGACAACAUCACCAGUCCUAGACUGACUACGCCUGUUCAUAUUAGUACUACUCUUACCCACACGCGUUCUAGAUCUUCCUCUAUUUUCACCUACUAAAGCUGCAGAUACAUCUUCACUAGAUUCUCUUCUACAGAUGUCCUCGCUCAGAAUCAAAUCUCGAAUCCCAUCAAAUGUCAAACUUGUUGACUCAGAGGAAUUACUAACGGCAGUAACAGUAGUAUUACAACUAUCAUGCAAUGAGGAUAACAGAAUCAAAGCACGUACCUCAUCUUCAAAGUCAAUCUCAACUGAACUCAAUUGACUGACAAUCACAUUGAAUUCAUUGAUAUGAUCUGCAACUGACGCACCUUCGCUCAUCUUCAAAUUAAAUAGACGUCUCAUCAAAUCGACCUUGUUGAUCGCAGAGGGCUUCUCAUACAUAUCCGACAGGGCUUGCAUCAAAUCAGCGGUGGUCUUCUCCUUCAAGAUAUUAAACACGACGUUACGAGCCAACGUUAGCCGAAUUACACCCAUAGCUCGUCUAUCCAGCAAAUCCCAAUCAGCUUGCUUCAUCGUCUCUAGUUUCUCCCUAUAUAAGGGCAAGUGUAGUUUCAUCUGGUAAAGAUAAUCUUCAAUCUACAUUUUCCAGAAACUAAAAUCCUUCCCAUCAAAUCUGUUGAUUCUCACUUUUACUUCUUCUAUCGCCAUCGAUUUGCUUCAACUUAGCCAAGCCUGGCUCUGAUACCACUUGUUGCGAAAAGGCGAGCGAUCGAACAAUAAUAUAGAUAGAAGAAGAAAAUAAAUCGGACACCAAAUUACGUGAUUCAAUCGUAAAGACCUACAUCCACGGGGAGAGCAGCAGCGAAUUUCACUAUAGAUCAAGCGAUACAAGGAGAUUACACACUCAAGUCACUCAAACACUUUCUCAGUGUUUCCCAAGCCCCAAUUACACCUAAUACCGCAUGUAGUGUUUAGCUCCGAAAUUCCUCAAUAAAUAAUCUCUCAAUCUCACGAAAGAAUUACACGCAAAUCUUACCACAAGAUUUAAUUGGCAUGAACACUAAAUCUUCUUGGAUGUAAUUCACAAACAAGAACGACAAAGAAAAUCACUCCCAAGCACUCGAUGACGAGACGGUGCUUCAAGACCAAUUCUUCACGAUCAACCUUCUUCCAUCCAUGGCCACAAGUCUAUAUAUAUAAGUGAUUUGCCAACUUCUCAUAGGAUUCUGUUUCCUAUCUUGAAUGAUUUUAUCCAAAACAUAUCUCUGUAUAUUUUAAACAAAAUCCAAGUCCUAGUCAAAGUUGGACUUUCCUAUUUUAGCGGCCAAAUUCUCCAACGCAUAUUCAAAUUUUGGGAAGUCGAUCUUUGGAUCUUCUUUGCUCAAUUUCGAACAUCCGCAACAUAUCCAAUUUGGAAUAUUCGGAAUUUCACAUUGAAUUCAAACUCAAGACAUAUUUUAACACACGGUUCUAGAUCAAUCGACAAUUUGAUGAUUAAAUCUUUUUCCCCCUUUUACUCAAGUACUAUCGAUCCAACCACAAUCUCAGAUUCAAUGUACUGACGUCACUCCAACAACACAGGAUGACGAAUCCGUCAACAGGUUCAUCCUCAAGUUCUGUUCCUCUAGCAAGUGCAUCACAUGGAUGGGCAAAUGCCUGCACGUCCUAGACGUUGUCAGGAACAGCAUGCUAAUGGAGCCCAAGAAGAAGGACGAGGUGAAGAGGGAGGACAGUGGGGACAUUAUACAAUUGGCCUCGGCCACCGAGCUCAGCAAGCAUGGGAUCAAGUUCAAGAGGAGUAAGACCGACAGCAUCAAGGACAUCUCAUUUGCAGGUGGGGUCCUGACGCUUCCCAAGAUCCUUGUGGAUGAAAUCACCAUGUCUGAUUUCUUCAACCUCAUGGCGUACGAGUACCUCCAUGUCGAGACUGAAAACAAGGUUAUGUUCUACAUCUACUGCAUGGACCAAAUAAUCAACAACGGGCAGGACGUCGCGCUCCUCCGCGCCCAGGGUAUCAUCGUGAAUUUUCUGGAGAGCGAUGAGGCAGUAGCCAAGAUGUUCAACUCGUUGGGCAAGGAUGUGGUGAUCAACCACAGCCACAGCCUCUGGGACGUGCUCGAGAAGGUCAACAAGUACCGCAAUAAGCACUGGAACAGGUGGAGGGCUAAUCUCAUCCACACCUACUUCAGGAAUCCUUGGGUUGCAUUGUCUCUCAUUGCUACUGUCUUCCUCUUUGCGCUCACCAUAAUUCAGACUGUAUAUUCCGUGCUCGACUACUACAAAUGAACACUAUGCCUCUUAGUACAACAGUAUAUUGUCUUUUUUCCACUUUUUUGGUUUUUCUCUUGAUGACAGAUGCUCGAUCAUCGUCUCUUGAUCGGUUUGGGUUGUUAUGAAUGAUUUUCAUCCUACUUUCAGUCAUGUUCAUAUCCCUUUUCAAUGUUUUGAAUGAUGGACAUUUUUAUUUAACAUUAUCAAAUGAUGAUUCUCUUGUUUCAUUCUCCUUCAUGUUAGUCCAAUUUGAAUUAGGUAGGGUGAAGGAUGAUCAAAUUUUAGGCAGACGAAAUCUACCUUUGCAACAUUUCUUCUUGAUUAAAAUUUGUUAAGUUUUAGUUAAUUUAAGUGAAAACAAAUAUGGCCUUCAAAGUCAUCUCUAAUCACCAUUUGCUUCAAACAUCCUAAAAGAACCAAGUGUUUGAUGUCGAUACCUAAAUUAUGGUUAAGUAUUUAUGAUAAAAAUUGCAUAAAAAAAUCAGGGACCAACUGGACCUUAACAAAAAGGAUUUUUGCAUCACUUAGGUCUUAGUUUUAUUUUACUAUAUUUUUGGAUUAAAAAAAAAAGUGAGGCCUGUGCAAAUUGGGCCUUCUCGCCCAGCCCCUCCUUUUUUCCCUUCCGCGUGGGCUCGGGUCCAUCUGGCCCCAGCUCCCCCCUCACGGCCCGGCCCGGCCCGGCCCUCUCGUUCAUCUUCUUCCUCCUACCUUCCUUGCGCUGCACGCCACGUGCAUAGGGCAACCUAGACAAAGCAAGAAGGGCCGAGGACGGUGAUGCAUGUGGAGCAACGUGAGGAUCGGCAGAAGACCCGGACAGAUGGGCGGGCGCCUUCAAUGUGGUAGAGGAGGUGGCCUAGCUAGAGCUGCCUCGACGAGUGGGAUGCUAGUUCGGCAGGGGGAGGACGGUUGGAGCGCCGAAGACCGACUAUCGAGGAGCCACCGCCGACCGGCCCCCCUUGGCCUAUGAAUAAGGCGUCGCGUGGAGGCCAAAAAGACACACAAAGAGAGACAUAGAAGUAGCGAGCUCCGACCCCCCCUCCCGAGAGUCAUAUGGGGCAUCCCGAGUGAGCGAAUCCGAGAGAGAGAGAGAUUUGAGUUUGAGAGCUGUGAGUGAGGGUCAAGGGCAAGAUCUGAACUAUAAGAGAGGGAGGAGAGAUUUGAGAAGAAAAAAAAAAUCCAGAUCCGAGGGAGAGAGAGGGAUGCGAGGACCCGGCCUUGCCGCCGCGUGCAGCACUGGCUGCUUGGCCCAAUGUCGCCGCUGUGCAACCAUCGACAAUGAGGCCUGCUCUUGUUGCUCCCAUCGCCGCCCGCCGCCUAUAGCCGUUGCCUUUCUGUCCCACGACGACCCAGCCGCCCACUAGGCUCGACCGAGCCCCUGCAUCUGUCGAACCCGCCGUCGCCUCUUCUGUCGAUCCACCACCCGGUGACUUCCCAGUUGCCCCCAUCGGCAUCGUAGAGAGACAGAGAAGGAGAGAGGUGCGAGUCGGGUCAGAGCUGGAUCGGGCACAGGUCAUAAUCAGGUAGGGCUUUCACUGCUAGGAGAGAGAAAUGGGCUGGGCUUGUGAUUUUUUACUUUGUUUUUGGUCUCGGCCAAAUUCGCGGGCCAAGCCUCACCUUUCAUUUCCUUCACGGCUGAAGGGCACGGUUGGGUUGGGCCCAUUCGCAGAAACCAACCCAGCCAGAGGCUUGCGCGACUCGCUCGGGCCAUGUUCGAUCGGGUCGGACGCAGAGUUCCGACUCGAAUCCAUUUAGAAUAUGAUAUAUUCUUAUUAUAAUAUUAAAAAAUAUUUUAAUAAAGAAGAAAAAUCCAAAAAAUGAUUUACACUUUAAAAAAAAUGGAAAAACCCAAAAAUAUUUUAUAUUUCCCAAAAAUCAGAAAAAUAAAAAAUAAUCUUCAAAAAAAAUCAAAAAUAGCUUAAAAUAGCCUUUGAGUGGUUUUUCUUAAAAUAUUUUAAAAUACUUAACAAAAAAAAUCAAAAAAAUUCCAAUUGCACCCUUAUGAUACAUGGAUUUCUAUUUCCUUAAUUUGAUUAGAAAUUGAAUCCUAAAAUUCGUAAUUAGUAUAAAAUGCUGCAUAAAUGCUUUACUUGAUAUUAAAAUAAGAUUAGGUAUUGGAAGGAUAUUAAUAAUUAACUAAUGUAAUCAAAUCUCUUAUCCUAAUUUCUCUUAUUGUGCUGGAAUGAAAUAAAUCUAAAUUGAUUAAUGACGACUUCAUAAUGAAAUCGACUUACAAGUUAAAAAUUUGAACCAUAAGUCAUAAAUCGGUAGGCUUGGGAGAGCCUGCACUAAACCCUAUGCUUAGCGAGCCAUUAACCUCCGCUCUCACCAGCGCGUAAGAGGUGCUAAAAAGGGAGGUCACGACAUUUUAUUGUUGAUCUCAAUGUAUAAUUUGUUGAAAUGAUUUCCACAAUAUUAAAGAUAUUACAAAGCAUUACACUUCAUAAGGAAACAUACAAUAAUAUAAAUAAUAAAGCUGUAAAUCCCUUGAUUUUAAUAUAUUCGAGAAUCUGCUUGUGAUUUUCAUUGACAUUUUCAUAUUCUUCUCUCUUGAUUGAUAAAUCAAUGCCUUAACUCCCCCUUCAAAUUGGGAAUGGGACAAUCCCAAAUUCUCAAUUUGCAACGUAAGUUUCCAAAUGCGUUUUUAGAAUAAUAGCUUCGUGAAGAGAUUAACAAUUCGAUGCACAAACAAAACAUACAUAGUCACAAAAGUUCCACGAGUCACUUUUCCUCUCACAUAAUGAUAAUCUAAUUCGAUAUGUUUAGUUCUUGCAUAUAACACAACAUUAAUUAACAUAUGAAUUGCACCGAUAUUAUCACAAAAUAAUAUUGAUGGACUUAAGAGAUGAAUACCUAAAUCUCUUAAAAGGAAAGAUAUCCAAACAAUCUCAGCUAUUGUCAACCAAUUGCAUGAUACUCUAUAUUGGCACUAAAUCGAGCAAUCGUUCAUUGCUUCUUAGCACUCCAUAAUAUAUAGUUACUAUAGGCACAAAAUAUCAUAGUCAACCGUCAAGUCAAGUAGCAAUUUGCCCAACUUUCAUAACAAAAGGCAUACAACUCUAUAGUUAACUUGGACAAGAUCCGCAUUUCUUGAUUUAUUGUGCCAUUGACAUAGCGCAAAUGUGCUUCACAAUUUGAAAAUAAGUCACAGUAGGCCAAUGCGUGAAUUGAGAUAUAAAAUUGACCGCAUAUGAAAUAUCUAGAUGUGUGAUGGUGAGAUAUUAAAGAGUUCUGACAAUACUUUGAUAUAAUGUGGGAUCCAAAAAUAAUUUUGCAUUUGAGAGAAUUGAGUGCAAGUGGCUAUAGGCGUGGAUCUUGGCUUGCAAACAUCCAUUUGAGCACAUUUUUUUUUUUGGUCGAAUCCAUUUGAGCACAUUCAAAAAUUGACAAAGCAUAUGUGGUUGGCACAAAUAAAGAUGAUCAAAUAAUAUUCUAACCUCCACAACCAAAAAGUAAUAUAAUGGCUCUAUAUCCUUUAUUGUAAAUUCACUACUCAAUGAAGAAAUAAAUCCAUCAAGCAAGUUUGGAUCAUUACUAAUGAUAAUCAUAUCGUCCACGAAUAAAAGUAGAGCUUGAAUGCCAUGAUCUGAUUUUUGAAUGAUCAAGGAAGGAUCUACAUUGCUGCAAAAGAAACCGAAUGCUAAAAGAAACAAGCUAAAAUGAUCAAACCAUGCUUUUGAUGCUUGCUUGAUUCCACACAAAGCUCUCUCAAGUUUGCAAACACAAUACAAGUUUUUUGGUCCUCAAAACACGGCAGUUGCUCCAUAUAAAUAGAUUGUGACAGAAAUAAAUAUCUAUAUUAAAAAUAAAAAAUAAAAAUUGACCAAAAAAAUAUUAAAAAUGAAAAACAACAAAUGGGGAGUAGAUUAAAAAAGAAAAAAAAAUCAAAGCCCACUUGCAUCAAUCGUACACUCUCACUACUCUCCCUCCUAUACAUCCGAAAAGACCCUCUUUUCAUCUAAUUUAUAGAUAUGUGAAACAAAAUUUUCAUUGGACCCUCAGAAAAAUAUGCAUCCACGGGAAAAAAAAAUGUUGAUAUACAGACAAUGAUAAUUUAUAAUAACUUUUCUAAUAUAACUAAGUACGAUGUAUUAUAUAAUGGGAUGAGAUAACCAUACUUUUUAAGUUUCUACUUUGAGUUAUGCAAUAUCAAUUUUGCAGACUUUAAUCAUCAAAUUGAUUUGAAAUGCCUGUGUUUGUCAUGUUUGGUGCAUGAGGACCUAUAAACUGCACAAUGACUCGUCUGCAGUCUCACACUCUGUUCAAUGGAUGUAAAGGCUAUUGUUAAACUUGGAUUACGGUCUUUGCCUAUUUUGUUGUAUUUUAUUAAUUAAUCCAUGAUGGGGUGCGAUUGGCACGCACCAUUUCGACUUGAUAUGCUACAAUGAAGGGGUGUGAUGGGGUCAUAUAAAAGACCCCUGAAGACAACCGUUGGAUGGCUUGAACGAACCUACGUUCAGAAAGUUUUCUUCCUUUCUCUCCCCUUUCCAUCAAGACGUUCCAUUCCUUCUUUACGAGAACAAUUUGCAUUUACGCCGUGAAAAUCGGGUGCUUUCCUUAUGAUCGCAUCCAGACCAAUGUGAGGUAAUAUUAUUCAUAUUUUAUCAGCAAUUCAAUGUUCGUUCCGGGGCUAAUUGUUGUUUGCGCAUCGGAUAAAGGUAAGUCGUCUUCCGCCGACUCGAAUUCCAACAUUGGUAUUAGAGCCCGGUCGCGAUUUCUGCCUUGUUUUUUCAUUGAGUUUUCUCGUUUACCAUUUGAUAUUGAGAUCAAGAGUAUAAAAUAUAACACUGUUUGGAUGUCUAAUGGUCGGAAUUGCCAUCUGAAAACUCGAAAUCGAAUCGAAACGAAGAACGGGUUUGAGGUUGUGUACACCCGUACGAUUUUCGCCUUUUUUCGAAAUAAUUUUUUGGCCAAAAUUAAUUUUUGAAUAUACAUGGUGAAAGAGCUCGUCGAGACGAGUCCGACGAUGGGUCGAGCGCCGCCAAAGGACGUCGAAUGCGCCUACACGCACGGCCAGAAGCCGCUACGCGUGGGCGUCAUGCGCCUAAAGCACUGGGACGACCGGCGCAUGCGCAACACGUGCCGGUUGGCGAACUAGCGCGUGUGACCGGCGCGUACGCAACACUCGCCGGACGACGAACCGGCGCGUGAUGACAUCUUUGUGACGUCAUCCAAUGGUUAGGAUGACGUCAUCGCCGGUAGCGGUUGGCCGGCCGGUCAUCGGCCAACGACUGACCCGACCCGAGGUUGACUCGACCCGACUCGACCGUUGACAGUUAAUGGUCGGACCAGUUAACCAGUCCAGCAGUCAAACCGAUCGGACCGGUCAACCGGUUCGGCGGUCAAAUCGAUCGGACUAGCUAGGAGCCGUUUAGCUCACUGGCGCGUGCGUCAGGCUGCGUGUGGAUGCGUGCGAGCUCCGAUUGGAGCGUGGUCGGUGGCGUUUGGUUCGUAUGGAUGUUCUCUAUACUGUGGUAUAAUUAUUUUUCAAUUUGGAAUUUUAUAAAUGUAUAAAAAUGUGUAGGAAACCCUAAGUACGUGUAUUUUUUUGGGAUUUAAUGUAUAGUUUAUUCAUUUGUAACUUGUAUUUUCUUGUGGUUUAGGAAAUACAGUAACUAGCUUGUGUACAAAUGAUGUCAUAUAUGCUAUGUAGAGCUUGGUUCGAUAAUAUCAUGAAUAUACUUGCAAUUUUCUAGUUGCUAGAAAAUUCGAACAAUGGUAGGAAAUUUAUUACAUGUUGAAUUGCGAUUUUAAUUAUAGUUGAAGCAUGAUUGUUGUUUGUACAUUGGUUCAUAUCAUGCUAUGUUUUUAUGUUAAUGGAAAAAUAUAGAAAUUACAUGAGGUCAUGUAAUUAUUUUAUCUAAUGGGAGUUCGUAAGUUGGUAGAAUUCGAAGGAGUUCUCACCUAGAACUUAAAAUUUGUGCAAAUUAAACUAAUUAAUGAUAAUAGAACAAUUGUACAUAGAAGUUGAUUGGGAACAUAGUGAACUUUUGCUUUUGUGUCUUUUGUUGAAUUAUCAUUAAUUUAGUUUGUCUUUACUGCAAAUUAAAUAUGUGUGUUACUCUGUAAAGUGUGCUAGUAUUGAUUCUGUGUUUAUUAUAUCAAUGUGUUAUAGCAAUUGAUUAUAGCUUCAGCAUCCAAGACCAUUGUGGCUGACCUUAAUAAGGGUGAGAAGUUGAACGGUGACAAUUAUGAUAUUUGACACCGAAAGGUUCAGUACAUUAUUGAGGAGCAAGAGGUUUUGGAAACCCUCAACCAUACCAUGGAUGAAUCUGAGUGUGGAAUUUCAGCUUAACAUGGGAGAGAUCUAGAAGCUUAUCAAGCUUGGAAAAAGAAAAAUAGCAUUGCUCGCAUCACGUUGUUGAGCUGUAUGCAAGAUAAUCUCAUGUGUGAGUUUGAAAGUUAUGAUAAAGCUCAAACUAUGUGGGUUGCCUUGAAAGAUAAGUUUGGGGGUACUAAGCUGAGAAGACUAAGCUGAGGAGACUCACCAUCAAGUUUGACACAUUCCGAAAGUGCCCAAAUGUAACGAUGAGGCAGCAUCUUCGGGAGAUGUCAAAUAUGAUUCGUGAGCUGAAGUCAGCAGAUCACUACCUUACUGAUGAACAGCAAGUUUAGGCUGUUAUAAGGUCUCUUCCUAACAAUUUGGAGCAUAUGAAAAUAAUAUGACGCAUAAUGAGAAUAUUGUCACUUUUAAUGAUAUUGCGCGUCACUUGGAAUUAGAGGAUGAGCGUUUAGAGGUUGCGAGAUCCUCUACCCAUACUUAUGUUGCUAAAUCGAGUUCACGCAAAGCUUCGGGCUUCAAGCGCAAGAGGAAUUUUCAGUUUAACAAUAAAGGGAAGAAGACUGAUCAUGCAUCAAAAAGGGCUAAGACCUUCCGACGCAAAAAGCGUGGUGGGAAGAAUGACAAGGCCAAGAUGGAGUGCUACAAUUGUGGCAAGAUGGGUCACUUUGCUCGUGAAUGCACUAAGCCGAAAAAGGCACCCUAUUACUCCAUUACUUUGAGUAAUGCUUUUGUUUCUAGUACUAUAAUGCUUGCUGAAUCUCAUCUAAUGUAGACUGUAGACUUAGGAGCAACAAACCACGUAGCUAGAGACCGAGAAGCAUUUGUGGAGUAUCGUCGAAUACAGUCUGGAAGAAGAUGGAUAUAUGUUGGGAAUAACUUAAAAGUUGAAGUGAAUGGUAUCAACACAUGUAAAUUAAUCUUACGUGGUGGUCGAAACAUAUUCCUGCAUGAUGUUCUUUAUGCUCUUGAUAUUCGACGAAACUUGGUCUUUGUAGUUGUUCUUCUUAGCUUAGGUUAUGUAUCGAAUUUCUAUGGUGAUUAUGUUGACAUUUUGUAUUGAACAGUUUAUUAUGGUUCAGGUCAUAUAUCGAAUGGUUUUAUGGCGUUAGACAUUGACUAUGAUCAGUACAAUGUUAAUGUCGAUGGUUAUUUUUCUUUAAUUGUAUCUUCUAAUAAUGUUGAGAUUGAUGCAAGUACUUGGCAUGCUAAAUUAGGUCAUAUUGGAUUGCAAAGAGUGCAAAGAUUAGCUAGAGAAGGCCUUUUAGGGUCACUCACUAAUGUUAGUCUAUCCGUAUGUGAACAUUGUCUAGCGGGAAAAGCAACUAGAAAACCAUUUGGUAAAGGGACUAGAACUGAAUUUCUAUUGCAUCUCAUACAUUCUAACAUUUGUGGUCCUUUGAAUGUGAGGGCGAGGCAUGGAGCCUCAUAUUUCCAUCACUUUCAUAGAUGACUUCACACGUUUCGGUUAUGUCUUUCUGAUCUCCCAUAAGUCAGAAGCAUUAGACUGCUUUAGACGAUAUAUAGCGAUGGUAGAGAAUCAAUUGAACAAAACAAUAAAGGUAUUGAGAACCGAUCGUUGACGUGAGUAUUUAUCGGAGCAAUUCAAGGCUCUUUGUGAUGAAGGAGAAUUGUACAACAAUUGACUAUUCUUGGUACUCCACAAUAAAAUGGGGUGGCUGAGAGAAGGAAUAAAACCCUAUUGGAAAUUGUUAGGUUUAUGAUGGCGCAAGUAAAUCUACCUAUCUCCUAUUGGGGAGAUGCGUUAUUGACUGCUGCCUAUAUACUUAACCGAGUGCCCCCAAAAUCAGUCACUUUCACCCCUUAUGAAUUAUGGACUGGUAGGAAACCAGACUUGAGUAAUCUAUGUCCAUGGAGAUGUGCAACUUAUGUUCAUGAUUCUUUCCAUAAAUAUGACAAAUUAGGACCUAGAGGGAAGAAAUGUAUCUUUAUAAGAUAUCCAGAACACUCCAAAGGGUACGUGUUUAUAGGUGAACAAGCUGAUGGAAGUGUGACCGAAAUGAAGUCACAAGAUGUCACGUUCUUGGAUAACGAUUUUCCUAGUAGAGGUGAGAUUGAUAAGGACUUCCAAUUAUAUGAGAUGGAAGAUCCUAAUAACACACCCACUGAUGUUGUAAAGGGAAAUGAAGAUUUACCUCAACAUGCAAGAACUAGUGGGAGUGUUGCAUCGCCUACCUAAUUGAAUUUCUUUACGAAUUGAAUUAUAGAGAAAUUCAAUUGCGUAAAAAUAAUCGUAAAAGUAUUCCCCGUCGUCGUUUAGAGAUUGAAAAUGAAGUAUUUAUGAUUGCUCAAAAAGACGAUGCCAAGCCUAAAACUGUUCAAGAGGCUCUCUUAUCCUCUGAUAAGGAAAAAUGGAGAAAAGUUUUGGAAGAUAAGAUGGAAUCAAUGAGGACAAAUCAUGUCUGGGACUUGGUUGAUCUACCACCCAAUCGUAAGGCCAUUGGAAACAAAUGGGUCUUCAAGACUAAGCGAAGAGCGGAUAGAUCUAUUGAAAAAUAUAAGGCUCACCUUGUGGCGAAAGGUUAUAUUCAACAAGAGGGUAUAGACUAUGAGGAAACUUUUUCACCAGUUGUAAGGUUUGCCUCAAUACGCCUUAUUCUAGCCAUCGUUGCACAGUUGAACCUUGAAUUACAUCAGAUGGAUGUAAAGAUGGUUUUUAAUGGAGAACUAGAUGAGGAAAUCUAUACGAAACAGCCAAUAGGUUUCGUAGCUAAAGGUUAAGAGCAUAAAGUUUGCAAACUUCAUCGCUCAAUAUGUGGCCUUAUGCAAUCAUCUAGAUAGUGGUAUAUUCGUUUUCAUCAAGCCAUAACCACUUUUAGUUUCACGAUGAUCGAAGAAGAUCACUGUGUAUAUGUCAAGCGGUUCGAAGAUAAAUUUGUGAUUUUAUCACUUUAUGUGGACGAUAUUUUAUUGGCUGGAAAUGACAAGGUUUUAGUUAUCACCAUAAAAGAAUGGUUGUCUUCUAAUUUUGAAAUGAAAGACAUGGGAAAAGCUGCUUAUAUAUUAGGAGUUAAAAUCAAAAGAGAUCGAUCAAGGAAACUCCUUACUUUAUCACAAGAGUCUUAUAUUAUGAAGAUUCUUGAGCGUUUUAACAUAUAACAUUGUAAUCCCAUUGAUACCCUUGUCAUGCAAGGUGAAGGCCUAAGUACUAAGAUGUGUCCUAAGACUCUAGAAGAAAUCAAAGUGAUGGAAACUGUUCAUUACUCUAAUGCAGUCGGAAGUUUGAUGUAUGCUAUGAUGUGUACUCGACCCGACAUAUAUUAUGCCAUGGGAUUGGUGAGCCGAUAUCAAUCAAAUCCUGGUCAAGCACACUGGAAAGCAGUGAAGAGAAUCCUGAGAUACUUGAAGGGUACCAUGGACAUCGACUUUGUUACCAAGGGAAUGAUUUACGCUUAUUAGGCUAUUCAGAUACCGAUUGGGGUGGAGACCUGGAUAAGCAUAAAUCAACUUAUGGAUAUGCGUUCUUGCUCAAUGGAGGUGCAAUUUCUUGGAAUAGCAAGAAACAGACAUGCACGGCCUUAUCUACGAUGGAGGCAGAAUUUAUUGCAUGCUCUGCCGCAGUGCAAGAAGCAGUAUGGCUAAAACGUUUCUUAGAAAAUUUAGCCACUGUCACUAAGGUUCCAAGACCGGUGAUAAUUUAUUGCGAUAAUCAAGCAGUGAUUGCCUAUGUGAAAGAUCCCAAGUAUCAUGGAAGGACAAAGCAUAUUGACAUAAAAAAACAACUUCAUAAGAGAUAUAAUAGCGUAGAAAUAAGUGAUCCUACAAUAUGUUUCAACCAAUAGAAUGGUUGCCGAUCCAUUUACGAAGGCUAUUCCUAAAGACAUAUUCUUGACCCAUAGGAUGUCAUUAAGAUUGCGUAGAAUGUGAUAUGUGUUAUUGUAGAGGAUCAUUGGUUUAUGUAUUUGUGAACAUAUGUAUUGUACUUGUUUGUUUAUUAGUGUCUUGAUAUUUUUAUCAAUAAGUACGAAUACAGUAUGAGACAAGCACUACACACACAUAUUAUUGAAAAGUAUGUCAACAGGCAAUGAUUGGCUCACUCACACGAGCAAUCGCCUCAAGUGCUUUAGAUAGCACAUUGAGAUGAGACGUUAUGUCCAAAUAAAUGAUGAAGAGCAAUUCUAGUACAUAAAAUAUGUUGCCUUGAUUGUAGUCAAUAUGAGGUCUGUGAUUUGUUUAUAACAAGACCGAAUAUGAUAGUCUCACAAUCAUGUAUACCUAAAAGAUGCUAGAUGCGAGUACUUAAUUGGGAGUUAUAGAAAGCGAGCUGAUAUAGCAGUCAGGCUAAACAUGAGUACGUGAGAAGCACAUGACUAUGUUUGGGCUAAGAUCUGUAUAAUGGAUAUUUUGAUAAAUGACAUACGCUUUUAUAGAAAGAGUAAUCCACUAUAACAUGUAAUUCAUACUACAUGUGCAUUGUACGACCAAUAAGGGAAGAUGAGUAAAAUUAUCCUUAUUUACUCAUCGUGUAAGCCUUUGAGGUAAUUUAUAAUUUACCUCAUUAUGUGCCCCAUGUUACUUUUGAUUAUGUUCUCAAAGUAAAAGAUCAAUGUUGCUACUUUAGCAUGUUAUCGGCAGUCAUGAAUAGAUAUGGCCUUAUGGGAUGUGUCUAGGAAAGCAGUUGUUUUGAAAUGGAGAAAGACAUGAGUGCGAAGGAAAACUAUUGUUGUUUUACAUCUAUUACAUGUAUUUACUGGUUGACCAAUUAUAUCGCCUUAUGUGGUUGCGGAUAUAAUUGUAAAUACAUGAUGUGUUUUUGAGGAUAGUCAAGUAUAGCCUUUAAGGGAUAGGUAUACUUGGAUUGAUAUAACAAAAUAUGUCUAGGGCACUGUGAGACAUCAAUUGUUUAUUUCUUUUCAGGAUUGCAACCAUUAUGUCAUCCCUAACAGGUGCAUAAUUUGAGCUCCCAAGUGCAUGUGUACUCACUGGUCGCACGGCUUACUUGCUAGUAUGAAUUAUUUUGUAAAGUUGAUGAAUGUUGAACGCCCCAUAUUCUUGAAAGAGAGCUAUCAAGCCUAUCAUGUCCGAGUGGGAGAUGUUGUAUUUUAUUAAUUAAUACGUCCAUGAUGGGGUACGAUUGGCACGCACCAUUUCGACUUGAUAUGCUACUAUGAAGGGGUGUGAUGGGAUCAUAUAAAAGACCUCUGAAGACAACCGUUGGACGGGUUGAACGAAUGUACAUUCAGAAAGUUUUCUUCCUUUCUCUCCCCUUUCCAUCAAGGUGUUCCAUUCCUUCUUUACGAGAACAGUUUGCAUUUACGCCGUGUAAAUCAGGUGCUUUCCUCGUGAUCGCAUCCAAACCAACGUGAGGUAAUAUUGUUCGUGUUUCAUUGGCAAUUCAACGUUCGUUCUGGGGCUAAUUGUUGUUUGCGCAUUGGAUAAAGGUAAGUCGUCUUCCGCCGACUUGAAUUCCAAUAGUCUAAUUGUAACAUCGGUAAUGCACACAGAGCUGUCUGUACAAUGUAGAGAUAUUGAUAUUUAUUCUAGACAUUCCAUUACCAUUAGCACACCCCUCAUUAUAUGCAAGGCAACCCCUUCAUCGUCUCAUGCCGACUCUUAAAGCCUGUAGUUGUUUCAGAAUCAUUUUCGACAGACGAGAGGACAAAGGGUCUCCUUUUGUCUCGCCCCGUCGUUGCUGUUUAAAAACAUACCAAGAAACAUAUAUCUGGGACCAAAAUCAGUCUCUACACAGACUCAAGACUAUGGAGAAAGUAGGAAGGGGACACGUGGGUAGAAUGCCAUUCUUUGUGUGGAUGAGAUUAGGGACAUGAGGCAAGUUGAGCUCGGAAUCGAGACACUAGCAUCAUACACCGGAUGUAUCUUUGGCCAUCAAACUAGUUAUCUAAGAGGUGGAAAAAUUCACGAGCUCACGAGUCAAAACACAACCAGCCUACAUAGCCCCCAAGGAUGCCGGGAGACUCGCGGAAAAAACCUGUCCCUUAAGAACCACGAAAAGCCUUCAGUCUGUUAUUAGCAAUACGCUAUUAAGGAAAGGAACAGCACACACUGCACAAUCGAAUGAAAGCAAAUAUGGCAAGUUCUUCACCUCCCCAACAUCAUUUGGUUGGGAAAUCACAUGCCCCACUAUCAGAUCAAAUUAUCAUCAACAGGUUCAACAAUCUUUCCUAAUGUCAAAGAGCUUCAAAAUCCGUAGAUUGAAAAUAUAAGCAGCCUGGUUGACUUGAAGGGAUCCACAAAAACAUGCAAGUUUAUUGAUACGCAUACUUGAUUUCGCGAAGGAACUCAUGGUAAAAUUUCCCAGAACUUCACUCAUCAGAUUCUAUGCGACGUCCUAUAUGUAAAUAAAGAAAGAAAAAUUCACCUCCAGAGAGUAGUGCUUGAGCACAGUCACAGAGUACAUGGCGUUCGGCCCUACAAGGUCAAUUUUUUCCCUCAAAUUGGGUAACAUUAGAAACUCAGAGCAAUCGCAAUCCACAACCUUCACCAAAAGAAGAUUGGAUUGUAAAGCAAAGUUAUACAAACUAGCCAACUAGGUCUCUCUCUGAUGUUAAGUAUUGACUGGCAGCUGACUUGGUCGGAGAGCAAGGCCAAAGGAUGUAUUAGAAAGAAAACCAAAAUUCCCGGAAGUGAGUCCAAGAGGAGGAGUUUCUUACAACAUCACAAAUGCGGGGAGCUCACUCGUCCAUAUCCUCUUCUCCAUCGACUUCCGCCUCUUCAUCCUCCCUCCUGAGCUGACCCCAUACAUUACACUCCAUUAUAUCGGAAGGACGGAUGGAGGCAGAGGGGCCAUUGUCCCGCCGCAGUUUUUCCUGUUGCACAUAUACCUAAUGAGGAAAUACGCAUGGGGGAAGUCGGUCUCUUUAUCCUCUGCAAUACCCACCUCCCACCUGCUCAUUUGUUCAUCGGCAUCCUCAUCCGUCCCUUCAUUGUCACCAUUGUCAUCAUCGCUGCUAUCAUGGUUCUCAUUCUGGUCAUCGGAGCAAUUGCCUCGACCUUGCGCCGAUCUAGCCAAAUUCAAGCUCACCAAGCCUUGUUGACCUCUAGCGAAGGUUCAGCUAAUUGGAAUCUGGCGAGCUCAACCUUGCCUGUAGCAGGCGAUCGGCCGAAAAAGAAGCAAAAAGAAAAAUAAAAAUAAAAAUAAAAAGUAAUUAAAAUUUUCAAUCAAUUAAAAAAAAGAAAAAAUAAAAAUAAAAAUAAAACAUUAUUAAAAUGAGUGCACUGAGGUCCAUAUCAAACGGUGGAAAAUGUUUUCUAGAUCUUUUUAACGUUUUAGCCAACCACUGGAAAAUAUUAUUAUUUUUCUAAAAAAAUGACUCCUUAAAAAACACUUUUUAGAUAUGUUAAAAAAAAUUAUUUUUUAAGUUUAUUUUUGGAUUUCAACCAAACAGAGCCAAUGUAACAUUGACUCAAUCUAUUAAAAUAAGUAGGUAAUCACUUCUUCAUUUGGACAACAUUUAAAUGGUCUCAUAAUUACAACUCAUGAGUGGUAGAUACACUUAAAAUAGAUAAAUUCACAAUGCAUUUGACUCGUGCUCCUAAAUUUUCUCUCUUUUUUUCUCCCCUUCUUGCACACAAUAUGUGUGCCCUAAUGCUAAUGAAUUUACUUUAUAUCUUUUACACCCUAGCUUCGCAAAGAUUCUUCUCAGAGCAAAAGUAGUGUGCCUUUAAGGGCGCGCAUGACAAAAUUUAUGUUUCUUGAUUUCUCUGUUUCUCUGUUCUCCGGAACAGGUUUGGAACAAAAAUCCGUUUGGUAAUGCAAUUUGAUUUCUCUAUUUCUGAAACAGAUUUCUAUUCCAGAAAUAGAGAAAUUGAAGAAAUCAGAAGCUAAAAUUUUUAACUUCUCAGUUUCUGAAAUAGAAAUCAGAAACUAAAAUCAAACCAUAUAAAAGAACCUUGCACUUUCUUGCUAACUUAAUUCACUCUUAACCACAACUUCACAAAUUAUUGCUAAUUUUCUUUUUCUUAUUUUGCUCGUGUUUUUUUUUUUUUUUUUGCAUUUUUUUUCAAUUUUUUUUAUAACUUCCUCUUUAGGAUGAAAGGCAAUUGAAUGGGUCCCCAAUUUUCAAAAACGACCAAAGUUCUUAAAUGCUUACUUAAAAACAAUGAGGCUCUUUCCUCCUAGAAAAGACACGCGCAUGGCUAGUUGAAGAAAAAGUUCUUACAUAAUAGAUGAAUAAAAAACUUGCCUAGAAAUUUAACCUUAUUUUUUUAUGGAUUCAAAAUUCUUGCAAAAUCAAAAUAAUUAGAUUGUUACACAAUUUUGAAUUUUAAUUCGAAGACAAGAGAUUCAAGAGAAUCUCUCUCUUUGCUAUGCAAGGGUCAUUAAAGGUUCAUUGAGCAACAAUAAAGAAAUUAGGGAUGAGUAAUUGGACUGAUUCAAUUUGAGAAUCAAAAUAAACCGACCUUCCCCCGAUUGUUUCCUAACCAUAAACAUUACUUUAAGGUAGAAUUCUCAUAUAUUCCUUUACACCAUUAAUUUUAUUUUGUUGAUAAUAUUGUAUAAUACUAGUUUUUGAUAAAAUGACAAGGCUGUAUAGGCGCCAUUAAUGGCACCCAUAUUCAUGCUUCCGCAGUACUUGUCUGAACCUACGCAGGAUGAGCUUGCAAAUGAUACAUUGACCGAGGAGGGAAACCAAAAAAAUAUGCUUAGAAAAACAAUUGCUAAUAAAAUAGCAAGGGAUAAUAAUAUGCCAGAAAUUCCAUGAAAUUGUAUUUUCAACUUUUGUAAUGUAUUAGUAUUAUUUCGACUAUUAUUUUGUAUUUGAGGAUUUCCUAUGUUGUUAUCUAAUCAAUUUCUAUUCCUAGAAAUAGAAAUUUUGUUUUGUUAUCAAACGGAAUUCUGUUUCAGAAAUAGAAAUUUUGAGUCGUUAUCAAACAGGUUUCUUUGCUCAGAAACUUGUCCGGGGAAUAGAAAUUAAGGGCCUAUUUGGCAACGUGCCAAACAGUGCCAGAUUCUGAUUUUUUGUUCCCAGAAUCAGUUUGGGACGAGAAUCGCGUUUGGUAAAAUUUUUGUUCCCGGGAACGAUUUUGGACAAGAUUUGAGAAUAAAAAAAAAUUUGAUUCUACGUCCGAGAAUCAGAAAAAGAAUCAAAACGAUAAAACCCUUAUUCUUCUCUUUCAUCAUCUCAGUUGCCAUCCGCCGUCGCCCGCCGCCGUCCGCCACCGCCCGCCGCCACCCGCCGGUCGCCGGUCCGCCGCCGGUCGCUGGAGGCUCGCCAGGCCAGGGCAAGGUCCGGCGAGCUCGCCGGAGGAAAGCCCAGCCACCAGCAAGGCUCGGCUGAUGAAGGCCGACCUCGCCGAGGGCCGGCGACGCUCCGGUGAGCGUCGCCGGCCCUCAUUUGGCUGGUCACCGGUCCGGCGACCGGCCAAAUGAAGAAGAAGAAGAAGAAUAGGAAAAAAGGGAAAAAAAAAAAAAGGAAAAAAAGAGAAGAAAAAAGUAAAAAAGUAAAGAAAUUAUUUAAAAUCUAUUUAAAAAAAAAUGGAACAGAAUCAAUUAAUACGGUACCAAACGCAAUUCUAUUCCAGAAUAAAAAAUUUUGAACAGUUACCAAACGCGCUUUUUUACUCAGAAUCAGCUCCCGGAAACAGAAUCGUUGCCAAACGUGCCAGAAAUUAAUUUCUGUUUCAAAAAUUUUGUCAUGCGCAGCCUAAUCAGUUCUUUUUUUAAUCAGUCUUUGAGCAAGAAAGGAAUGUGCCCCUGUUGACUUAUUUGGGACUAAAACUGAAUGUGUUGCCCGCGUGAAAGGGACCCGGAAUGAGUUCAUCAAUAUGCGUAAUUAGGGCUUAACCAAUUCAUCAAAUGACGUAUUAAUCUGAUCGGGUGAUGGAAUUAGUCACUUUCGGAUUUAAUCGUCCUUGCAAUAUAUUUGAGUUUAGAGUUUACUAAUUAUUGCAGUUAUAUAGGAUCCAAGUGCUUCUCGAUUGGCACUCAUAAGCAAUUAUGAUGGACUCGAGCUCUUCUUGAUGGGAGCUCAUAAAUGCCUGCAACCAGUGGAAGUAUUUGAGUUUCAUACAAGACGGUUACAAUCCGUCUUAUGUGCCAUAUGAAGUUAAUUAACAAGAAGUUAUAUGAUUGUCAUGAGCUAACGGUACACACAUAAUAUCAUUACAUCACUAUACAUGCGAUGUAUGCAUAAAAAUAAAUGCAUCGAAUACUAAAUAUGAGACUCAAGUAAAAGAUCUGGAAUAUCUCAAAUAUAUAAUAUAAAAAAUUACGACAAAAAAGAAGUACUAUUUUAAAUCCAGCAUGACAUCAAAUAUGCAAAGCCGGUGUCCAAAUUGUCAUUACAUGUAUUCAAUCCAUAGGAGCCCUUCGACUUAGGGAGACACUCGGGCGUUGCGUGCGUGAAAUACCAAUCCUCGUGCGCAAAAAGUGAGCCACGCGUACAUGACUUGUCCCGUGAUGGUUGGCCCGGGUUCCAACCACCCCCAACCUCCCCGGGUCCCCCGGGCGGGGUGCGAAGUCGUCGACCCCGAGUCAAUGCAAGGCAAGACCUUCAAAAACCUCACUCCCCUCCUUCCCACACCUCCGAUUCCGAGCUCUUCCGAUCGGCGAAUCGAUCGUGGCCUGGUUGGUCUACAGCUCCGCGUCUCCGAUGAUUUAAGCUCCGGGCUUAAGGGCGUCAGAAUUGUCGAGGCCUCGGGUCACGAUCACUCUCGGUCGUUCUGGUCAGGUAUGUGCCGCUUUAGCUCCUUGGCGUCCUCGUAUGAGAUCUUUGGAUCAACUGACGUUUGUUUCAGCUGGACUCAUUGGCUCAUUGGUUCGCGGAUUCCGCGGUAGCUUAAGUUUCGUUGUUCGGGCCUGUAUCGACUGCGAUGAUAUGGUUUUGUUCGAUCGGUUAUGAUGAGGCGUAAGGUUGAUACGUGCUCUGCUUUUCUGGAGAAAUAUGUUUGAUUCCGUGAUCAGUCGAACCCCGAGGGAGGCUCUACCGUCGGAUAACUGAGCUUGUUCUUUGCAUUUUUAGCAGCGGUUCCAUCACCUGGCCGUGGGAUUGGGCCUGUCACGGUCGAACAGAAACUUGUGGGACCUGUGAAACUUGCGGAACUACGCCUCCUAUGGAACCGGACGAGUCCGACUCGAUUGCCCCACUUGACGAGAGCCUCCAGUUCAUGCCCUUCGACGACAAGGAGCAAUGGUACUGGAAGAUGCGGUCCAUCUACAGGGUCCCUGCCCACCUCACCGCCCUCAACCGUGAGGCCUACCAGCCGCGAGUUGUCUCCUUCGGCCCCUACCACCACGGCAAGGACCACCUCCUCCCCAUGGAGGAACACAAGCACCGCGCGGUCCGCCACAUCCUCAAGCGGUCCAAGAAGCCUAUGGAGCGCUUCUUCGAGUCCCUGUGGGAGGUGGCAUGGGACCUCAAGGAGAGCUAUGACGCGCUGGACCUGAAGUGGAAGGCAAGCAGCGGCGAGGGCGUGGCACCCCAGUUCCUGAAGCUGAUGAUGACUGAUGGCUGCUUCAUGCUCGAGAUCCUGAGGUUCUGGGCCAACGAGGUGGACGACUACGCGCCCAACGACCCCAUCUUCAGUGACCAGGGGAGCAUCUACGUAAUGUCAGGCACUUGGCAGGAUAUGCUGAUGUUGGAGAAUCAGCUUCCAAUGCUAGUGCUGGAUCGGCUGGUGGCUGUGGAGAGCGAUGGCAAGAAGGUUACUUUCGUCGGUUGUAAGAUUAGAAAAUAUUGCAAGUACGCAAACCGCCAUACUAUGUGCACCUAACAGUGCAUCUGUGUGAUCUCACAUGAACCCUACGAUGGAUCCACCGAAUCUAAUGCUCUAAAUACAUUGAUCGCACGGUUCACAAUCAACCGAUAAUUUGAUUAGUAAAUCUAUCACCGAAACUUCAUUUAUUUCCCUUUUUUCGCAAGUAGUAUCGAUACGACCACAAUCUCAGAUUCAAUGUACUGACUUCACUCCGACAACACAGGACGACGAAUUCGUCGGCAGGCUCCUCCUCAAGUUCUUCCCGUUCCCCAGCAAGGACAUCACAAGGUUGGGCAAAUGCUUGCACGUCCUGGACUUCUUCAGGAACAGCAUGCUGAUGGAGCCCGAGAAGGACGAGGAGGUUACUUUCUUAGAUUUCUGUCGUAAGAGAUGCUAUGCAAGUAUGCUAACCGCCGUACUAUGGGCACCUAACGGUACAUCUUGGUCAUCUCACCCCACGAGGGAUCCACCGAAUCUAAUGCUCCAAAUGCACUGGAUGCACGGUUCUAGAUCAAUCGACAAUUUGAUGAUUAAAUCUAUCAACGCCAUAGGAAGGUAUAUUUUUCCCCCCUUUUACUCAAGUAGUAUCGGUCCAACCACAAUCUCAGAUUCAAUGUACUGACUUCACUCCAACAACACAGGACAACGAAUCCGUCAACAGGUUCAUCCUCAAGUUCUGCUCCCCCAGCAAGGGCAUCACAUGGAUGGGCAAAUGCCUACACGUCCUGGACGUUGUCAGGAACAGCAUGCUGAUGGAACCCAAGAAGAAGGACGAGGUGAAGAGGGAGGACAGUCGGGAGAUUAUACAAUUGGCCUCGGCCACCGAGCUCAGCGAGCAUGGGAUCAAGUUCAAGAGGAGCAAUACCGACAGCAUUAAGGACAUCUCCUUUGCGGGUGGGGCCCUGACGCUCCCCAAGAUCUCGGUGGAUGAUAGCAACAUGUCCAUUUUCUUUAACCUCACGGCGUUCGAGUACCUCCAUGCCGGGAAUGAUUACGAGGUCAUCAUGUCCUACAUCUACUGCAUGGACCAAAUAAUCAACAAAGGGCAGGACGUCGCGCUGCUCCGCUCCCAGGGUAUCAUCGUGAAUUGUUCGGAGAGCGAUGAGGCGGUAGCCAAGAAGUUCAACUCGCUGGGCAAGGUUGUGACGAUCAAGGUCGGCCGCAGCCUCGGGGACGUGCUCGAGAAGGUCAACAAGUACUACAAUAAGCGCCGGAACAUGUGGAGGGCUAAUCUCAUCCACACCUACUUUAGGAAUCCUUGGGUUGCAUUGUCUCUCAUCGCUGCCGUCUUCCUCUUCGCGCUCACCGCAAUUCAGACUGUAUAUUCCGUGCUCGGCUACUACAAAUGAACACUUUGCCUCCCAGUACAACAAUAUACUGUCUUUUUUCCACUUUUUUUGGUUUUUCUUCUGAUGACGGAUGUUCGAUCAUCGUCUCUUGAUCGGUUUGGGUUGUUAUGAAUGAUUUUCCUCCUGCUUUCAGUCAUGUUCAUAUCCCUUUUCAAUGUUUUGAAUAAUGGACAUUUUUAUUUAACAUUAUCAAAUGAUGAUUCUCUUGUUUCAUUCUCCUUCAUGUUUGUCCAAUUUGAAUCGGGUAGGGUGAAGGAUGAUCAAGUUUUAGACAGAUGAAAUCUACCUUUGCAACAUUUCUUCUUGAUUAAAUUUGUUAAGUUGCAGUGAAUUUAAGUGAGAAAAUAAAUAUGGCCUUAAAGUCAUCGCUAAUCACCAUUUGCUUCAAACAUCCUAAAAGAACCAAGGUGUCUGAUGUUGAUACCUAAAUUUUGGUUAAGUAUUUAUGAUAAAAAUUGCAUAAAAAAAAAAUAGAGACCAACUAGACCUUAACAAAAAGGAUUUUCGCACCACCUAGCUCUUAGUUUUAUUUUACCAUAUUUACGAAUUAAAAGAAAAAAAAAAGUGAGGCCUGCGCAGGUUGGGCCUUCGCGCCCAGCCCUACCUUUUUUUCCUUCCACGUGGGCCUGACCCAUCUGACCCCAGCUCCCCCCUAACGGUAUGGGUGCGCAAAAUACCCGAGAACCGCCCGGAACUGGGGGUUCUUGAGGGAACCGGUCCGAUUCCCGAUUCCAAUUUAUGGGGGAACCGGUGGGUACUGGUCCGGUUCCCGGUUCCAUGGGUGGAUCCGCUCGCCCGUCCACCCAGACCGGACCUGAACCCUUUUAAUAUUUUUUUAAAAAAAAUUACUAAAAGAAACCCUAGUCUCAUCUCUCUCCCUUCGUCUUUGGUUCUCUCUCUCUCUGUCUCUUCCUCGGUUCCUCCUUAGGCUAUCACCAUUUUGAUUCCUCCCCGAGUGUCGACGCCGUUGCCACUGCUAUCCGCCCCUCGCGCUGGCCGCCACCUGCCACAGCCGCUACUCCUCCGCCUCUGUUGUCCGCCCCCUCGCUGCUAUCCGCCCCUCGCUCCGGGCCCCCUCCGCCAGCAAUCCGACACCGUUGCAGCCCUUACAGCCAUGACGACCGACGCCAGCAGAUCCUGAACCGGUCGCUAGCAGAUCCCGAACCGGUCACUAUUAGGGGUGAGCAGUGGUCUAGGGUCGACCCUGGACCGACCCUGGACCGGCCCAACCCUGCCGGUCCUGGUCCGGUUCCCAAGGGGACUGGGUCGGUCUUUGGUCCUGAAAUUCCAGGACCAAUACUGUGCGGGUUGGUCCUCGGUCCUAAGAGUUUUGGGUCGGUCCAACCCUGGACCAACCCUGUAUAUUAUAUUAUAUUAUUUAUAAUUCUUUUAUAUAUUCAAAUCUAAGUAAAAUGUCUGUUAUAUUAUAUUAUAUUGAGAUGUUCUAUCAAUAGUACUAAUAGUCAUUUCAAUUUAAAACUUUUGUUGAGUAAUAAUUAUAUGUCGUUUGUUUUGUUUUUAGGUGUUUAGAAGUUCAAGUAAAUUAACAAAAUGUGAAGUUAUAUAUUCAUGGUUUAUAUUCAGCAUUUUGAACUUUUUAUAGUUUAAUUGUAUUUUAUUAAUGAAUUUCGGCUGCACUAUGUUUUUCAAUUUGUGUCAAAUGGUAGAAGUUUUUGAAGAGUAGAAUAGUACUGCAGUUGCUACGGUGAUUUGCUAGUCAAGUGAUGUGAAGCUCAUUUUUUGGUUGGAUGGACUCUACAUGAUCAAAUGCAGGAAAACGCUUUUGCAUAUGGUAUUAUGAAUAUUAAAGAUAGAUGAUUACAAUAACUUUCCAUCUUGUUCCAUAUCUCGAUGAGCGGUUAGUAGGUACGAAAUUUCUAUUAUUAUGUCAUCUUAAAUUUACUAAAUAUGUAUUAGUAUUUAUAGUUUAGCUGCAUAAUACUGCAUUAUCGAUGAAUGUGUAAUUUGAAUUUAUAGGUUUGCUUUUUUAUGGAGUAUAAAAAAUAAGACGAAAAAAAUUAUCGAUCGGUCCCGGGUUAACCCUGGAACCGGACCGAACCCAUUGGGUCGGUCCGGUCCUUGGUCCCAAGCUCAAUAGGGUCGGUCCUUGGUCCCAAAAAUUGAGGACCGACACUGUACGGGUUGGUCCUAGGGUUAGGGGGUGGCCCGGACCAACCCGGACCAUGCUCACCCCUAGUCACUAUGCCUCCAUCACUGCUUACGACCACUUCCUCACCAUCGGUGCCUACAAAUCUCCCUGGUGAACAAGAUAUAGAGGGCCUACACCGCCCUCGGUGACCACGAUGACUCCAGCGCCCUCCCCACCCUCUGGGACUCCCUCCCCACCAUCGCCGUCGGCGGCGGCCAGGUCUCUCUCUCUCUCUCUCUCUCUCUCUCUCUCUCUCUCUCUCUCUCUCUCUCUCUCUCUCUCUCUAGCUGCCGUUGGGUGACAAGCUUUGUUUCAACUUGUAGCUCAUCCGGUUGAGCUGCGUUUCCCUUACGCUGGCGAUUUCAUUUGCUUGUGGUCUGGCGAUGCUUCCUCGCCCUUGUUUGUCGCACUAAUCGCUCACUCAUGUCGCAGGGCUUCUUCUGUCAAGCCAUUCGCUUCUGCUUUUUGUAUUCAUUUGAAUUCACGCGAACGCUGUUUCAUAGAAGGGCUUGACUUUAGCUUCAAUUUGAUGUGUGAAGAGCUGGUUUCUCAGUCGUUUCAUAGGCGAUCUGUGGCCCGAGUUUAAUGAUUCCUUGUCUGCAUGUCUCGUGUGUUUUUGGUCGCUGCUGUCGAGUGCUGGCUAGGAUUGUAGAAAAUGAUGUCCGAUGAAGUUGGAGUUUUUAGUCGAGAUUUCUUCUUGUCCGAAGUAGGAACUAGGAGCUAUACUAUACUACCUGAUAAAUUUUUCCUUACUCUUACCUGUUGAGAUCUAUGAAUUACUAGAAGUAUAGCAAAUCUUCCUAGUCUUUGCAGAUUGCGUAGAAAUUGUCCCCUUCCAUAUUUUGCAUGUUUGCUAGGUGCCAAUCUUGUUUCUUCCCUUGUGGUUCUAAUCAUCUGGUACUCACAAGAUUUCACUUUUGGCUAUUGUUUAUUUAACUUGUGUUGGCUUGAACAUAGGGACAUGGAGCUUGUGAUUUCUUUCAAUGGGCAGAUUCUCUGGCAGAAAAUGUGGCCUCCAAAGAUGUUGCGACUUCUAUUGUUGCACCUCUGGAAGUCAUGGAAAUUGAGUCAACAAUGGCAGAUGCUGGUGAAGAUUACGAGGUAGAUCCAUUAUCGAUGAUGGAUAGUGGAGAGAUUAAAGGAGUCAUUUGCAGAUUCUCUGCACCAGAAUGUGAUGUGAGGGGUUUGGAGAGUGAGAGUUUAACUCCCGAGGGUGAUUUGGAUACUCAAGAGUUGACUGUGGAGGAUGUGGAUUUGGGGGAGUCUACUCUAGAGCAAAUGCAGCUUGUUUCCUGUCUAACAUCUCCAGCUAGUCUCAGACAACAAGAAUACUUGAGGCGGAUAUCAGCUGCUGGUGGCAUGCUUGCUGGAAGUAGAGGUACCCUAUGAGUCAUCUUGAGGGUUUUUUCCCCCACCGCACUUGGUUUUUUUUGUCAUUCACGUGUAGCUAUAUAAUGUUGAGCAAUCAUCUAUUAAUUAUUGUUUUACUUCUCCCGCUGUCCACAUCUCCAGAACUUAAAUUUGGUUUUUCUUUCUUUGGCUUGCUUUGAUGUCACGUAGUCGUUCUAUGUUGAAAACCAAAAUUAUUUUGCGUCAAGAUCGAUUCCAUGGAUCCACCCGGGAACCAGACCGGACCGGACCGGCGGUCCGGUUCCCGGGUGGAUCCAUGCAACAAACGGGUGGAUUCCGGUUCCAAUUUUUCGGAACCGGUCCUUAGUGGGCGGUUCCUGGUUCUAGGUCGAGAACCGCCCGCCUAGACCAUGCACACCCCUACCUAACGGCCCGGCCCUGCCCUCUCAUUCAUCUUCCGCCUAACUUCCUCGCGCUGCGCGCCACGCAUGUAGAUAGAGAAAGAGUGGGAGAGGAUGGCGAUGCAUGUAGAGCAGCGCGAGGACCGGCGAGAGACCUGAACGGAUGGGCGGGCGCCUUCAAUGUGGUAGAGGAGGCGGCCUAGCUAGAGCUACCUCAACUGGUGGGAUGCCGGUUCGGCUAGGGGAGGACGGUCGGAGCGCCGAAGAUCGACUAUCGAGGAGCCACCGCCGACCAGCCCCCCUUAGCCUAUAAAUAAGGCGUUGCGGAGGCUAAAAAGACCCACACAAAGAGAGACACAGAAGUAGCGAGCUCCAACCCCCCCGAGAGUCAUCUGGGGCGUCCCGAGUGAGCGAAUCCGAGAGAGAGAGAGAGAGAGAGAGAGAGAGAGAGAGAGAGAGAGAUUUGAGUUUGAGAGAGAGAGCAGUGAGCGAGGGUCGAGGGCAGGAUCAGAACUGUAAGAGGGGGAGGAGAGAUUUGAGGAAAAAAAAAAUCCAGAUCUGAGGGAGGGAGAGGGUCGCGAGGACCCGGCCUCGCCGCCGCGGGCAGCACUGGCAGCUUGGCCCGAUGCCACCGCCGUGCAGCCAUCGACGAUGAGGCCUGCUCUCAUCGCUCCCAUCGCCGCCCGCUCCUAUAGCUGUUGCCUUUCUGUCCCACGACGACCCAGCCGCCCACUGGGCUCGAUCAAGCCCCUGCAUCGUCGAACUCACCGUCGCCUCUUCUCUCGAUCCACCUCUCGGUGACUUCCCAGCCGCCCCCAUCGGCGCCGUAGAGAGACGGAGAAGGAGAGAGGCGCGAGUCGGGUUAGAGUCGGGUCAGGCGCAAGUCAUAAUCGGGUAGGGCUUUCGCUACUAGGAGGGAGAAAUGGGUUGGGCUUGUGUUUUUUACUUUGUUUUGGGUCUCGGCCAAAUUCACGGGCCAAGCCUCACCUUUCAUUUCCUUCGCGGCUAAAGGGCACGGUUAGGCUAGGCCCAUUCGCGGAAACCAGCCCAGCAAAAGGCCUGUGCCAUGCACCCGGGCCAAGUUCGACCGGGUCAAACGCGGAGUUCCGACUCAUAUCCGUUUUUAGUAUAUGAUAUAUUCUUAUCUUAAUAUUACAAAAUAUUUUAAUAAAAAAUAGAAAAAUCCAAAAAAAUGAUUUACACACUUUCAAAAAUAAUGGAAAACCCCAAAAAUAUUUUAUAUUUCCCAAAAAAAUCAGAAAAAUAAAAAAUAAUCUUCAAAAAAAUAAAAAAUAAAAAAAAUCCUUUGAGUGGUUUUUUUUUUAAAUAUGUGAAACUACUUAACAAAAAAAAAUUUGUGUUUAAAUUCAUGGAAGCAAAUAUUGGCUAAUUCCAAUUGCGCCCUUAUGAUACAUGGAUUUCUAUUUCCUUAAUCUGAUUAGGAAUCGAAUCCUAAAAUUUGUAAUUGGUACAAAAUGCUGCAUAAAUGCUUUACUUGAUAUUUAAAUAAAAUUAGGUCUCGGAAGGAUAUUAAUGAUUAACUAAUGUAAUCAAGUCUCUGAUCCUAUUUUCUCUGAUUGUGCUGGAGUGAAGUAUAUCUCCCAAUAUUUCACUUGGGUUUCUAAUCGACUCACCUCAAAUUAAUUAAUGACAACUUCUUAAUGAAAUUAACUUGCAUGUUAAAAAUUCAAAUCAUAAAUCAUGAAUUGGUGCGCUUGGGAGUGCCCACACUGUGGCACCCCUCGACAGCCCCCGAUCCGAUUAGGGUCGCCACAGUUCACUUACCAUUCACUUUUCCUAAUAACACGUCACUCUGAUACCAUUUCAAUUGCAGCGGGUCCAUACAACCUGGGGGUUUACAUCUUUUAGAUCGGUCCCUUGCGCAAUUUAUAUACGGAAGCACAUCCAACAACUCCCUUCCCUAUGUUCAGAAAACGAUGCACACCAACUAAACAUUUAUAGGUAAAAGCCGUACACUUUUAUUCACUUAAACCAUAUGGACAUCAUUCAUCGGUAUAUCAAAAUGCCAUAGUUUUUUAUACUUGGCUAUACUUCAAAAGAUGACCGGCAUCUCUUCCAACAGUCGUAUACUUAAAGUCCAUCGAUCAGUGUCGGCGUCCAAAAGUUCCUUCCUUUGCUAUCCUACUCCUCACGAUCAUAUCCAACCACUUGAUCCAUCUACUAGUAGCAGUGGCAAUAGAGGUAUCUUAUCUAUUCUGAAAUGUUAUUCCCCAAAAUGGGUGAGUACAGCCACUCAGCAAGUAAAUGACCCAAUAAACCACUCAAUGCAUCACACACAUACAGUCACAACAAUCAUAGCAUAACACAUGUCAUUCAAGCAUCCAUGCAUAAUUUACCUUGAAAUCAUGCACAUGUCAUCAUACCACAUGUACACACAUCCUCAUGUAAUCAUCACCAUCAUGUCAUACAUGUACCAUCAUGCCAUAGGUGCACAUACAUCCAUGCACUUACCAUCAUCAUAUUACAUGUACCAUCAUGUCAUAGGUGCACAUACGUCCAUGCACUUACCAUCAUCAUGUCACAUAUACCAUCAUCAUAUUACAUGUACCAUCGUGCCAUAGGUGCACAUACAUCCAUGCACUCACCAUCAUCAUGUCACAUAUACCAUCAUGCCAUAGGUGCACAUACAUCCAUGCACUUACCAUCAUCAUGUCACAUAUACCAUCAUGCCAUAGGUGCACAUACAUCUAUGCACUUACCAUCAUCAUAUUACAUGUACCAUCAUGCCAUAGGUGCACAUACAUCCAUGCACUCACCAUCAUCAUGUCACAUGCACUCAUCAUUAUCAUAUCACAUGUACCAUCAUCAUUACCAUGCAUCCAUGCACAUAUCAUCGUCAUGUCAUGCAUAUACCAUCAUGCAUAAUUCAAUUUCAAUUUCUCGAUUUCAUCCUUUCAUUUUGGACCGUCACAUUUCCCUUUCCCGGGACCAAUGUUUGCAUCCCACAUUCAUCACUCGCACCCCACCUGGCAUCGUGAGAACCAUCCGGCACAAUACCUGCCGAGCAUCCGGCACAAUACCUGUCAGACAUCUCGUAUCCCAACUAGCAUCACGAGGCAUCCCCCUGGCACAAACCUCCAGGGCUUCUGGAAUUACGUACCGACAUACCACCAGCAUCCCCCCCUCUGGAAUUACGUACCAUAUACCACCAGGCAUCUCGAAACUCCCGAGGACCCUCUGGAAUUACGCCACUAGGCCACCGGGCAUCCGACCGUACCCUUCUAGUCAGGCAUCCCGACACUCCCGGGGCAUCGUCGGCUCACACCUUCGACGGCCUUCUCACUUAUCUCAAUUCACAUCUUCAAUUAUAGUUCAAUUUUAACAUGGCAUGUGAUGUGAUGGAAAUCAAGAUCAUUUUCAUCCUUUGAUUCGUACAUGCAUCUCCAAUCAUUAUCAUACAUGCAGCAAGACACAAUCAUUCAUAACAAUACAAUUCAUGGAGUCCAUACAAUUUAGAAUAGUCCAUUUAUCAUGCCUUUUUGAAGUUUACAAAAUUCCAUCUUGUACCCUUUUUGAAAACAUUUAAAUUAAAUAUCCAUAUGAUUCUCAAAAAUCAUGAAAUCAAGACAUGUGAUAGACAAGACAAUAAGAUAACAAUUUCAUGAAGAACACAUGCCCAAAAGAGUUCCACACAAGAAGAUAUAACUCACACAAAUACAGCAGGCAAUUUCGGAUAGAAUCAGAUUGCGCAGUUUUUGAAAUAAUUCGAUUAAAAUACACGAAUGACCUCUGAAAAUUAUGAAAUUUUAUCAGGCUAUAGUUAAGACACUAAAGUAUAUUUUUCAUGAAGACAUCUAGGCCAUAUUCGUUCUAGAUAAUUUUAUAUAGUCGUCCGAAUCUUCUGAUUCUAGCACCGAAAACGUCCAGUAUAGCUAUCUCCGAAAUAUCAAGUUUUUACCCACUUAUUCUUCUUCGUUUCCUCUUAAAUUUGGAUUUGUUUUACUUAAAGAGAUCCCCUACAACUUUCAUCAAGGGAUCUAAGUGAAAUUUCCAAAGAAUAGUCACCAUAUGGGUCCAAGAAGUCUCGGGUGUCCAGUACCGUGUUUCCAGAUUUACCGUCUUAAAGAGAAAGUCGAUUCACUAGGUUACACUUGCUCAUUUUACCUCAAAUUUGAUUAUGUUAGUAUUGAGGAUGUUCUCUACAAGUUUCAUGAAGAAGUAAAAGGGAAAUUCUCGGUAAAAAGCAACAUGCAACCCACAAAACUACCAGAAGGUCAGCAAAGCAGUUCCAGAUCUAGUGUCUUCGUAGGAAGAGGGUUUUGCCCCUUAAAUAUCAACCAUUUUGUCCCAAAUUUUAGUAUGUUAUAGUUUGAUAUUUUUUCUACAACUUUCAUGAAGGAGUCGAAGUCAAAAUCCAACUCGAAACACGCAUGCAAGCCUCCACAAGUUUCUGGGUCGGGCGGUAUACACGAAAUCAGCAAGCAUUUUCAAGAACAAACCACACUAGCUUCGGUUCCUUACUUCUAAACACCCAAGAAUUCAACCACACAUGCAAGACACACAUGCAAGAGUAGAAAUUGAUCCUAACUUGCCUCCAAAAUCGAACAAAAGACGGCACACGGACGGCGACAAACGAGCGGAUGGAUGGCGACGGACUAGCGGACCUCCUCCCUCGCUCGGCUUCUCCCUCUCUCUCUUGGCUCCUCACUCUCUCGCAACUCUCUCUCUCUCUCUCUCUCUCUCUCAAAACCAGCCACUCCCUCUCUCUCUCUCUCUUUUGGUUGCUUAUAUACUUGCAUGCACCCUCAUUUUGCAUGGCCGAAGACACUUGGAGGAAGCCAUGCGGCUCCUCCUUCCCCCUCCAUGCGUCAACAGCCCAAUGGGCUUCAUGGGCCGGGCCUAUUGGCCCAAUUUAGGCCCAUCUCACUUGGGCCUAAAGUCCAAACUUAAAUGGCCCAAGUUUAUUUUUUUAUAAUACAUCUUAAUCCUCAUUUAAAUAAAUAUCUAAUUGCAUAAUAAAAUGGCCAAAAGACUUUGUGACAUUAAUCCAUUAAAUCUAUAAAGUGCAUAGUCAAGAACAAAGUCUUCUUUAUCAAAUCGUCCUAUGUCCAAUUUAAAUAGCCCAUAGAAAAAUAUCGAUAAUAAGCCCAUAAUUCCUACACCACUUUAGGGCAUUUGAUUUUGAUUUUUAUUUAUAGAAAUCAAUUAACAUUCUCAUAAUCAAUUAAUAUUUUCAUAAGGGGUUCGGUCCAAGAGAUAAAAUAUUGUGGCCGAUGAUGUAAUUGUCCCUAUGGCCAUUCAAAGACAAAUAUCGUUUCCCUCAAAAUCAAUAUUUCGGGUUGAAAUUCCCGGAUGCCACACACACUAAGCCAUAUAUGCUUAGCGAGCCAUUAACCCCCACCUUCGCUAGCGCGUAAGAGGGUGCUAAAAAGGGAGGUCACGACAUUUUAUUGUUGAUCUCAACAUAUAAUUUGUUGAAAUGAUUUCCACUAUAUUAAAGAUAUUACAAAGCAUUACACUUUAUAAGGAAACAUACAAUAAUAUAAAUAAUAAAGUUGUAAAUCCCUUGAUUUUAAUAUAUUCAAGAAUCUACUUGUGAUUUUCAUUGACAUUUUCAUAUUCUUCUCUCUUGAUUGAUAAAUCAAUGCCUUAACUCUCCUUCAAAUUGGGAAUGGGACAAUCCCAAAUUCCAAAUUCUCAAUUUGCAACAUAAGUUUCCAAAUGCAUUUUUGGAAUGAUAGCUUCUGAAGAGAUUAACAAUUAGAUGCACAAACAAAACAUACUUAGUCACAAAAGUUCCACGAGCCACUUUUUCUCGCACAUAACGAUAAUCUAAUUUGAAAUGUUUAGUUCUUGUAUACAACACAAGAUUAAUUAACAUAUGAAUUGCACUGAUAUUAUCACAAAAUAAUAUUGAUGGACUUAAGAGAUGAAUACCUAAAUCUCUUAAAAGGAAAGAUAUCUAAACAAUCUCAGCUAUUGUCAACCAAUUGCACAAUACUCUAUAUUGGCACUAAAUUGAGCAAUCAUUCAUUGCUUCUUAGCACUCCAUAAUAUACAGUUACUAUAGAUACAAAAUAUCAUAGUCAAUCGUCAAGUCAAGUAGCAAUUUGCCCAAUCUUCAUCACAAAAGGCAUACAACUCUAUAGUUAACUUGGACAAGAUUUGCAUUUCUCGAUUUAUUAUGCCACUGAUAUAGCGCAAAAUGUGCUCCACAAUUUGAAAAUGAGUUGUAGUGAGCCAAUGCGUGAAUUGAGAUAUAAAAUUGACUACAUAUGAAAUAUCUAGAUAUGUGAUCGUGAGAUAUUAAAGAAAUCUAACAAUACUUUGAUAUAACAUGGGAUCCAAAAAUAAUUUCGCAUUUUAGAGAAUGAGUGCGAGUGGCUAAAGGCGUGGAUCUUGGCUUGCAAACAUCCAUUUGAGCACAUUCAAGAAUUGACAAAGCAUAUGUGGUUGGCACAAAUAAAGACUAUCAAAUAAUAUUCUAACCUCCACAACCAAAAAGUAAUAUAAUGGCUCUAUAUCUUUUAUUGUAAAUUCACUACUCAAUGAAGAAAUAAAUCCAUCACUAAUGACAAUCAUAUCGUCCACGAAUAAAAGUAGAGCUUGAAUGCCAUGAUCUGAUUUUGAAUGAACAACAAGGAUCUACAAUGCUGCAAAAGAAACCAAAUGCUAAAAGAAACAAGCUAAAAUGAUCAAACCAUGCUUUCGAUGCUUGCUUGAUUCCACACAAAGCUCUCUCAAGUUUGCAAACAUAAUACAGGUUUUUUUGGUCCUCAAAACAAGGCGGUUGCUCCAUAUAAAUAGAUUGUGACAGAAAUAAAUAUCUAUAUCAAAAAUAUAAAAAAAUUUGACCAAAAAAAUAUUUAAAAUGACCAAAAUUUGACCCGCCAGUGGGCAGCUGAGUUAGUUUGGCUUUGGGCAUUUCAUCGCAGAGGUCCCAGAGUUAAAACUCCGCAGCUGCUAACACGUCUUAAGUGGGAAGCCAUGGUGGUGGGGUCAUGUGCUAGUCUCCCCCGAAGUAUAGGGACCGUCUAGGCACGGGGGCCCGUGGUGGAGUUCUCAGUUAUAAAAAAAAAAAAAAAAAAAACAAAUGGGGAGUAGAUUUUAAAAAAAAAUCAAAGCCCACUUGCAUCAAUCGUACAUUCUCACUACUCUCCCUCCUAUACAUCCGAAAAAACCCUCUUUUCAUCUAAUUUAUAGAUAUCUGAAACAAAAUUUUCAUUGGACCCUCAGAAAAAUAUGUAUCCACGGAAAAAAAAAAAACAAAUGUUAAUAUACUGACAAUGCUAAAUUAUAAUAACUUUUGUAAUAUAACUAAGUACGAUGUAUUACAUAAUGGGAUGGGACGAGAUGCCCAUACUUUUUAAAUUUCUACAUUGAGUUAUGCAAUAUCAAUUUUGCAGGAUUUAAUCAUCAAAUUGAUUUGAAAUGCCUGUGUUUAUCAUGUUUGGUGCAUGAGAACCUAUAAAUUGCACAAUGACUCGUCUGCAGUCUCACACUUUGUUCAAUGGAUGUUAAGGCUACUAUUAAACUUGGAUUACGGUCUUUGCCUGUUUGGUCUAAUUGUAACAUCGGUAAUGCACACAGAGCUGUCUGUACAAUGUAGGGAUUUUGAUAUUUAUUCCAGACAUUCCAUUACCAUUGGCACACCCCUCAUCAUAUGCAAGGCAACCCCUUCAUCGUCUCAUGCUGACUCUUAAAGCCUGGAGUUGUUUCGGAAUCAUUUUCGACAGAUGGGAGGACAAAGGGUCUCCUUCUAUCUCGCCCCGUCAUUGCUGUUGAAAAACAUACCAAGAAACAUAUAUCUCGGACCAAAAUCAGUCUCUACACAGACACGAGACGAUGGAGAAAGCUAAAACGGGACCCGCGAGUAGAAUGCCAUUCCUUGUAUGGGUGAGAUUAGGGACAUGAGGCAAGUUGAGCUCGGAUUAGAGACGCUAGCAUCAUACACCGGAUGUAUCUUUGGCCGUCAAACUAGUUAUCGAAGGGGUGGAAAAAUUCACUAGCUCACAAGUCAAAAGACUCACGGAAAAAACCUGUCCCUUAAGAACCACGAACAGCCUUCAGUCCGUUAUUAGCAACACGUUAUUAAGGAAAGAAACCGCACACGCUGCACAAUCGAAUCAAAGCAAAUAUGGCAAGUUCUUCACGUCCCCAACAUCAUUUGGUUGGGAAAUCACAUGCCCCGGUAUCAGAUCAAAUUGUUUAUCAACAGAUUCAACCACCUUUCCUAAUGCCAAAGAGCUGCAAAAUCUGAAGAUUGAAAAUAUGAGCAACUUAGUCGACUUGAUGGGAUCCACAGAACAUGCAAGUUUAUCGAUACGCAUACUCGAUAUCACAAAGGAACUAAUGAUAAAACUUCCCCGAAAAUUCACCUCCAGAGAGCAGUAGCUCCACCGUAAUCAGAGAGCACACAGCAUUCGGCACUGCAAGGUCAAUUUUUUCCCUCGAAUGGGGCAACAUUAGAAACUCAGAGCACUCGUAAUUUACAACCUUCACCGAAAGAAGAUUGGAUUGUAUAGCAAAGUUCUACAAGUUAGCCAACUAGGUCCCUCUGCUGUUAAGUAUUGAUUAGCAGCUCACUUGGUUGGAUAGCAAGGCCAAAGGAUGGAUCAGAAAGAAAAACAAAAUUCUUGGAGGCGAGUCCAUAAGGAGAAGAGCUUACAACAUCGCAAAUGGGGGGAGCUCACUCGUCCAUAUCCUCUUCUCCAUCGGCUUUGGCCUCUUCAUCCUCCCUCCUGAGCUGACCACAUACAUUACACUCCAUCAUAUCAGAAGGAGCAUCAUCCGACGACGGAGGUAGAGGAGCCAAUGUCCCACCUCAGUUUUUCCUGUUGCACAUAUACCUGACGAAGAAAUAUGCAUCCGACCCCCUCAUUUGUUCAUCGGCAUCCUCAUCCAUCCCUUCACCGUCACCAUCAUCGUCUUCGCUGAUAUCAUCGGACCAAUUGGCCUCAACCUUGCACCGGUUGUGAAGAAGAAGAGUACAAAGAUGAAGAAGAUAACAGAGAUGAGGAAUAGAAAAGAAAGAACAGAGAGAAAUGCAAAGCUUCUGUAUUCAACAAUGAUUGGAGAGAGAUUACAUCUGAGAGCCUAACUCACGUUUUCCUUUCAACUCUGUAUUUAUACUACAAGUUGACGAAGAACAACCAACUGACAAAACAAACUAACAGAAACACUAACAGAAAGUAUUCAGUUACAACUUACAACUGAAUAUCUAUUCUUUAAUGAGCACGUGUUGUUGCUGUAGAUCCCAUCAUCUUCAUUCCAUUUGUCUCUGUUCAUCUAGAUAUGCUCCUAGACUAAUUGAGGAUUAGGAAGAAAAGGCUAAGAGGUUUCUGAAAUGGUGGAGAACUGAUAUUAGGAAACAACUUGUGCCUUUGAACAUAAGAGAUUAUCAUGAGAUUUAUGAAAGGGCACAGUUAGUGGAGCAGGAGCUGGUGAGAGACCGAUCAGAGUUUAAGAAACAGCUGAACUUUAAUGAUGUGAGAAGGGAUAAGAGACCCUAUCCUGGUCAAGGUCAGACUUGGAAUGUGAAAAAAAAAAAAAAAAGAGAGCAAUUUUAGAAAUUUCGGGAGAGCAAAAGAUGGCCUAAAUAUAGGGAAAGCACCCUAUCGGCCUGAUGUUUGUCAAAGGUGUGAUGGGCGACAUGGCCUGGGACCUUGCAAUGGACGACUGAGAUGUUUUGGUUGUGAACAAGUGGGCCACCUUAGGAGAAGUUGUCCACAAGAAAGGUCGCAAAUGAGUGUUGGCUCGGUGCGACAGAUACAACAACGUACUGCUGGACCAAACUUACCAAGGAAUCCUCAGAGGCCACCAACACAAGGAAUGGUAUAUGCGGUCACCCAAGAGGAAGCGGAAGCUUCCAAAAAUGUUAUCUCAGGUACGAUCCUUAUAAAUGGAAAAAAGGCAUAUGUAUUGUUUGAUACAGGUGCUAUGCAUUCAUUUGUGUCUGAAAGAUAUAGGCAUUUGAGUAAAAUAGAAACUACAUCUCUUGAGACACCUCUUUGUGUUUCUACGCCUUUAAAGAAUAUGGUAUUGUCUACGCUGGUGUGUGGAAAUUGUAAGAUAACAAUGGGAGGAAAGGAUAUGGAAAUAGGCUUGGUCGUAAUGGCUAUGUAUGAUUUCGAUGUUAUCAUAGGAAUGGAUUGGCUUCGUAAGUAUCGGGCCAAAAUGGAUUGUUAUAGAAAAGUGAUCCAAUUUAUCUUACCUGCUCAGUCUAGUUGUGAAUUUUUGGGAGGUCAGACCCACCUAUCUAUAGCACUUAUUCAGAAAUAGAAGCCCGUGCGUUACUUGAUAAAGGAUGUCACGGGUACCUGGCCCUGAUCAACGACUAUACUAGGGAAGAGCCUAAGCUUGAUGAAAUUCAAGUGGUUAAUGAAUUUCAAGAUGUAUUUCCUGAGGAAUUGCCUGGAUUACUGCCAGAACGAGAAAUUGAGUUCAAAAUUGAAUUAAUGCCUGGAACAGGACCAAUAUUGAAAGCCCUGUAUAGGAUGGCCUUAGUUGAGUUGAAGGAAUUGAAGGUGCAACUACAAGAGUUGCUUGACAAAUGAUUCAUUAGGCCAAGUGCUUCACCUUGGGGUGCACCGGUUUUGUUUGUGAAAAAGAAAGAUGGGUCAAUGCGCUUGUGCAUUGACUAUAGGCAAUUGAAUCAAGUGACCAUUAAAAAUAAAUAUCCUUUGCCUAGAAUUGAUGACCUAUUUGACCAACUCCAGGGAAGUUCGGUCUUCUCUAAGAUUGACUUAAGGUCGGGAUACCAUCAGCUAAGAAUUAAGAAAGAGGACAUUCCUAAGACUGCGUUUAGGACUCGUUAUGGACACUACGAGUUCCUUGUCAUGCCAUUUGGAUUGACAAAUGCACCGGCUGCAUUUAUGGAUCUAAUGAAUAGGGUAUUUAAGCCUUAUUUAGAUCAGUUUGUAAUUGUCUUUAUUGAUGAUAUCUUGAGAUAUUCAAGAUGGCCUAAAGAGCAUGAACAACACUUGAGGAUAGUUUUGCAAACUCUGAGAGAUCAUAAGCUAUACGCCAAAUUUAGCAAGUGUGAAUUCUGGCUGGACUAGAUAAUAUUUUUGGGGCACGUAGUAUCAAGAGGAGGAAUUGCAGCGGACCCAGCGAAAGUUGAGAUGGUAAUAAAUUGGCCAAGACCGACGACACCUACUGAAAUACGGAGUUUCUUAGGACUGACUGGUUAUUAUAGAAGGUUUAUUGAAGGAUUCUCACGAUUGGCAGGUCCUUUAACAAAAGUGACUCGAAAGAACAUGAAGUUUGAAUGGAAUGGGGAAUGCGAAAGGAGUUUCCAGGAGCUUAAAAGAAAAUUGACCUCGGCUCCAAUUUUGACUAUACCGACAGGAUCGGAUGGUUUUACGGUGUAUAGUGAUGCAUCUCACAAAGGACUGGGAUGUGUUUUGAUGCAGCAUGGCAAGGUCAUAGCCUAUGCAUCUAGACAAUUGAAACCCCAUGAACUAAACUACCCCACGCAUGAUUUAGAAUUAGCAGCUAUAGUGUUCGCUUUGAAGAUAUGGAGGCAUUAUUUAUAUGGGGAAAAGUUUGAGAUUUAUACAGAUCAUAAGAGCUUGAAGUAUCUGUUCUCACAAAAGGAGUUGAACAUGAGACAAAGGAGGUGGAUGGAGUUGUUAAAGGAUUAUGAUUGUGAGAUACGAUACCACCCAGGGAAGGCGAAUAAGGUAGCGGAUGCUCUUAGUCGUAAGUCAGCUGUGGAGAUGGCCAGUUUAAGAAUGGCGGAAUGGAGCUUGUUAAAGUCCGUAGCGGACUCAGAGUUUAAAUUAAAAGUGGAUUGUCUUACCAAUAUGCUUAGUGCAUUAAGGAUGCAUUAAGGAUUGAACCUGAAAUUAUUCAGAAAGUUAAGAUCUUACAAGAGUCUGACCCGGAAAUUUUGAAAGUGAAAGAUGCAGUGUCUUUAGGAAAAAGACCGGAAUUUCAAGUCUCUGAAGAUGGUGUGGUAAGAUGCCAAGGACGACCUUGUGUUCCCGACAAUGAAGAAGUAAAGAAGGAAAUUUUGUCGGAGGCACAUAGGAGUAAUUACAAUGUUCAUCCGGGUAGUACAUAGAUGUACAGGAAUUUGCGUCAGCAAUUUUGGUGGAAUGGUAUGAAAGCAAAUACGACUAAGCACGUUUCUCAAUGUUUGACGUGCCAACAAGUAAAAGUGGAACAUUGCAAACCUGCAGAACUCUUGAGACCGUUAGACAUACCAUAAUGGAAAUGGGAGCAUAUAACAAUAGACUUUGUACAAGGAUUGCCAAGGACAUCAAGUGGUCGUGACUCUAUCUGGAUAAUAGUGGACCGUUUGACUAAGUCUGCUCAUUUCCUAGUAGUUCGCAUAGACUACCCAAUGGACAAAUAUGCGGAUAUAUAUGUAAGUCAAGUAGACGCUUACAUGGUGUUCCAGUAACUAUUACCUUAGACCAAGAUUCGAGAUUUACUUCGAACUUUUGGCGGAGUCUUCAAAUUGCCUUAGGAACUAAACUCCAGUUUAGUACUGCUUUUCACCCUCAAACAGAUGGACAAACAGAAAGAGUAAUCCAGACAUUAGAGGAUAUGUUGAGGGCUUGUGUGAUUGAUUUUAAAGGAAAUUGGGAUGAAAGAUUGCAUUUGGUGGAGUUUGCUUAUAAUAAUAGUUUUCAGAAGAGUAUAGACAUAGCUCCCUAUGAAGCAUUAUAUGGAAGGAGAUGUAGGACUCCUGUCUGUUGGAAUAAAGUAGGUGAAAAGAAAUUGACAGGACCUGAACUGGUACAAGUUACCACUGAAGCUAUCGAGAUUAUCAGGAAAAGACUUAAAACAACUCAGAGUAGACAGAAAGACUACGCAGAUAGGCAUAGAAGGCCUUUGGAGUUUAAUGUGGGAGAUCAUGUAUUCCUUAAAGUAUCUUAAAUGAAAGGAAUAUCUCAAUUUGGAAUGAAGGGUAAGUUAAGCCCUAAAUUUGUUGGACCUUUUGAGAUAUUUGAAAGAAUAGGAGAUGUAACUUAUCGUUUGGCACUGCCUCCUAAAAUGGGAAAUUUACAUGAUGUGUUUCAUGUGUCGAUGUUGAGAAAGUACCAGCCGGAUCCUGGUCACAUACUCGAUCAUGAAGCCAUUAAAGUGGAUGAGAAAGUGAGGUACAUCGAAGAACCUGUGCGAGUACUGGAUCAAAAGGAACAAAUUCUUAGGACUAAGAAGAUUCCUUUGGUCAAAAUAUUAUGGCGACAUCAUGAUAUGGAAGAAGUCACAUGAGAAAGUGAAGAUCAGAUGAAGGAAAAGUACCCCUACUUGUUUCAAGAGACAUGAGUGAUGUCUAAUUUUGAGGAUGAAAUUCUCUAAGGAGGGGAGAAUUGUGGCAUCCUAGAAUUUCAUGAAAAUCCCUAAAUAUGCCAUGAGCCAUGGAUAGGCGAUGGAAAUACCGUUAUUGUAUUUUUGUAGCUUUUUAAUCCAUGAUUCGCGAUACGAUGUAUGGCCAAAUUUUAAUGGAUGGAUUUUGGGAAAGAGAGUUCUAUCUUAGGCCAUAUGUAUGAUAAAUUGGAACUUAUGGAUUUAUAAUUGCAAGUGUAUAGUUAAUUAAAUUUGCAAUUUAGUACUUUGAUUUAAUAGGGAUUUAAUUAGUUUUUUUUAAGGGUUAAUCUUAAGUUAAUUAAGCUUGGGUCUUAGGCCCAAGAGGGAUGGGCCUAAGAUGGGCUGAAAUGGCCGGCCCAUAGAGCUCAUGAAGGGCUGUCGACCGUGCAAAGGAGGGGGGAAUCCGGUUGCAUGCCUCCCCCAUUUGUCCCAAAGAAAUCGCCAAGUGUCCUACAUGCAUAUAGUAAUGAUAGCUAAUGAUGAUGGGAAGAAAUUAGGGAAAAGAUGAUACUGGUUUAAGCGAGAAUGAGAGGGAGAGAGAGAAGGAUUCGUUCGAGAGAGAAAGAGAGGAGAGGAAGAGAAGAAAGAAAGGAAGAAAGGGAGAAAGGAAGAGAGGAAGGAGGAGAGCCGUUCGUCGACCGUCCGUCGUUCAUCGUUGUGUCCCGUCGCCGUGGUGCUUGCUGUUUGCUCGGUUUAGAGGUAAGUUGGGAUCCUUCUACUCUUACAUGUUGUGCCUAGAGUGUGUGAGUGAGUGGUGAUAAAUUUCGGAUGUUUAGGAUGAGAAAAACGGAAGUUUUAAGAGUGGUAUUCAAAACUAGUAAACUGUUCUUGAGAAAAGCAGCUCGACCGUGAAUGUUCUAGUGGCUUACAUGUGAUGUUCGAGUUGGAUUUUGGCCUUGAAUUCUAAAUGAAAGUUGUUAAGGACUUCUUUUAGUAUAACCUACUCAAAUUUGGGACAAAAAAAUCAAGUAUAAGUGGGUGAAAUAUUUAUUUUUUGGAGAGACUGGAUCUGGAGAUUUCGGUAACUACCUUUGAUGAAUGCAUGGACUGUAAGGCUAUCUUUUUGUUGAAAUAUCACUUUUAUUUCUUAACAAAAGAUGUAAAGGACAUCCUGAGGUUUAACAUAUCAAAAAUUUAGAGAAAAAUAACAAGAAUAGAUAGACGAAAUCAUGUUUUUUCAGAAGUAGUCAGAUUUGGAAAUUUCGGUAUUGAAACAGAAGCUUUAACCGCCUAUAUUUAAUCACCUAGAACGAAUUUGACUUUUAUUUCUUCAUGAAAAACCUACCUUAGGAUAUUGACUACAACAUAGUCGAAUUUCAUAAAUUUUGAAGGUCAUUUGGGUAUUUAAUCGGAAAUGUUUCUAAAACCGUGUAAUCUGAUAUAUUCUGACUUGGUCAGUUGCAAUGCAUGGACAAUAUCGUUUUUCAUGAGGUUCUUUCAGCAAUGUGUUCUUCAUGAAACAUCUCUCUGUAUGUCUUCCCUACAACAUAUUCAAAUUUCGUAAUUUUUGAAGUUCAUUUGACUAAUUAACCAAAAACGUUUCAAAAACUGUGCAAGCUGAAUUGUUAGAAUAGUAGUGCUGUGAUGCAAUGGUCUAUACUGAAUUGUAUGAGGGUCUUUUGGUGUAGUAUCCUUCAUGAAAUAUCUGCCUUUAUGUCUUGAUUAUCACAUUUUUGAAUUUCAUAAUUUUUUAAAGUCAUUUGGGCAUUUAAAUAAAAUGUUUUCUAAUACUGUGCAAGCUGGAUUGUGCGAAUUUCAAAGGCUGGAUGCAUGACUAUUCUGUUUUGGAUGAGCCCCAUGAAUUAUAUUGUUUCAAGUGAUUAAAUCUUACUGCACAUGUGAUGAUUCUUGGCAUUACAUAUAGAAUCAAAGUUGAAAUUGACCUUGUUGCCAUCACAUCAUGUGCUAUGUUGAUUGUGAGACAUGAAUUUGUGAAUAUGAAUUAUGAUGAAAGAGAAGACUGUUGGAGGUGAGUCGACAAUACCCUGGGAGUGUCAGGAUGCCCGGAAUGUGGGGGUGCCAGAUGUCCUCGGGAGUUUCGAGAUACCCGGAAUGGUUGGGUGUCGGAAGCCUCAGAGGUUUGUGCCUGGGGGAUGCCUCGUGAUGCCAGUUGGGAUAUGAGAUGCCCGAAAUGUGGGGGUGUCGAAUGCCUGGUGGUGUGUGCCGGAGGUUUCUCGCGAUGCCAGGUUGGGGUGCGAGUGAUAAAAUGUGGGAUGUAAUUACUGGUCCCGGGAAAGAAAGAUGUAGUGAUCAAAUUGAAAGAUAAAAUGUUGAAAUUGAAUCAUGCAUGGUAUGGUGACAUGUAUGCAUGGUUGUAUGAUAUGAUGUGUAUGAGUGCAUGAUGGUAUGUGCACAUGAGGCAUAGAUAUGCAUGAAUGCUUGAUGAUGAGUGCAUGGUUAUAUAUGCACCUAUGGCAUGAUGGUAUAUGUAUGAAUACUUGGUGAGGAGUGCAUGAUGGGGUAUGCACAUAUGGUAUAAUGACAUAUGCAUGGCUGCAAGGUAAGUUAUGCUUGAAUGCAUGGAUGAUAUAUUCUGCUAUGAUGUUAUGAUUGUAUUGUGUGAUGCAUUGAGUAGUUUAAUGGAUCUUUUACCUGUUGAGUGGCUGUACUCACCCCUUUGGGGACCAACAUUUAAGAUUAGGAAGAUGCCUCUCCCUCCGGUCACGCGGGGUACCUUUUACGGCCUUCCAUCUAACGUGGAGGUCGAUUGUAUGGAGCUCGAUAGUGUUACCAUCCCUGGUCUGACAUUCAUACGGGUUUGGGUGUUGGUGAUGUAUGAUGUGGGCCUGGUUGGGGGUCCGGUCAUCCAGGAGUUCUUGUCGGUCCACGUCCGCCAAGAAGGAGUGAUGCGGGGGAUGUUGCCGCCGCCACCGCGAUGCACCAGGAUGGGUGUGAUGGCCCACGUGAGGAGUGAGAGCUAACACUUUUUGAGGAUAGCCGACACUUGUAGAUGGAGGAUGACACGUGAACGAUAUAGGGGGUCGAGAUCUCUUUUGAGCUGUGGCCAAGUUUAGUUAAAAGUCUUGGCUUCUCUUUUUGGUUGUACCGACCCGAGAAAUCCAUCAUGAAAAUAUAAAUAAAAGUGGCUCGGCUUUAUGUUUUCCUUUGAGGUGUAGCUGGUGUGCAUUGUACCAUCAUCAAGAGAGAGUAGAGGGAUGGCGAGACUCGUCUUUAAUUCCGCUAUGAGCUGCGCUAAACAAAAAUAAAAAAAAUGCCUAAGGACCUCGGUCCUUCUUUAAACCCCUUUAUAUCAAAGACAAGUAACGGGUAUCCUAUAGAGAUAAAGCGAUUGGUGAACUGUGGUGACCUCAGGUGUUUAGGGGUGCCACAGAAACAUACCAAGAAAUAUAUAACUGGGGACCAAACUCAGUCUCUACACAAGCUCGAGACGAUAAAAAAACGAAAACAAGACGCGAAUGGGGUGCCAUUCAAUGUUUCCUUAUAUGGGUGAGAUUAGGGACAUGAGGCAAGAUCGCUGAGCUCGGAUUGGAGAAACUAGCAUCAUACACCCGACGUCUCCUUGGCCGUCGAACUAGUGAGGGAAGAAGCAAUGGAAACUCGCCAGCUCACAAGUCCAAACACAACCAGGCUAGUAUGGCCCCAAGGAUUCCAAAGAGACAGAAAAAGACCUGUCCCUUAAGAUCCACAAACAACCUUCCAAUUGAAUCAAAGCAUAUGUGGCGAGUUUUUCCACCUCCCAACAUCAUAGGUGGGGAAAUCAUAUUCUCAGAUCAAAUCUCUUAUCAAUAGAUUCAACCACCAUUUCUAAUGCCAAAGAGCUGCAAAAUCUGAGGAUUGACAAAUACGAGCAACUUAGUUAACUUAAAGGAUCCGCAAAACAUUCCAGUUAAUCAAUACACGUACUCAAUGAUUCCACGAAGGAACUCAUGGUAAAUCUUCCCGGAACUUCACCUUAUUAGAUUUCAAAUGAUAUCUUGAAGUAAAUAAAGAAAGAAAAAUCACCUUCAGAGAAUUGCAGCUACACCAUCGUCACAGACAGAGCACAUGGCAUUCGGCAUCACAAGAUCAAUUUUUCCCACCAAAUGGCUGAAAUUAGGAACUUAGUACUCGCAACCCACAACUUUCACCACAAGAGGUUUGGAUUGUAAAGCAAAGUUCUACAAGCUAGCCAACUGGGUCCCUCUACUCUUAAGUAUUGACUAACAGCCGAUUCGAUUGAAGUGCAAGGCCAAAGGAUGGUCCAGAAAAAAAAAAAAAACAAAAUUCCCAGAAGUGAGUCCAUAAGAAGAAGAGCUUCUUACAACAUCGCAUCUCCGUCGGCUUCCGCCUCUUCAUCCUCCCUCCUGAGCUGACCGCAUACAUUAUUACAUUCCAUUAUAUCAGAAGGACAGCCAUCCGAUGGAGGCGAAGGAGCCACUAUCCUGCUGCUGUUUUUCCUAUUGCGCAUAUACCUGACGAAGACAUACGCAUGGGGGAACUCGGUCUCUUUCUCCUCCGUGAUACCCACCUCUGACCUGCCCAUUUGUUCAUCGGUGUCCUUCUCCAUCCCUUCAUUGUCACCAUUGUUGUCUUCGUUGCUAUCAUGGUUCUCAUUUUGGUCAUCGGACCAAUUGGCCCCGAUCUUGAGCUGAUGUGAUUAGACUCGAGCUCACUUAGCAUUGCUGACCUUUGGUGAGGCUUGAGCUCACUGGAAUCUGGUGAGCUCAACCUUGCCUGUCGCAAGCGAUUGGCCGAAUAAGAGGCAAAAAAGAAAAAUAAAAAAUAAAAAGUAAUUGAACAUUCGAUUAUAAAAUGUAACGAAAAAAAUGAAAAUAAAAAUAAAACAACAUCAAAAGGAGUGCACUAAGGCUUAUACCAAGCAGUUGAAAAUAUUUUCUAAUUUAUUUUCUCAUUUCAGCUAAAUACCUGACAAAAUUUUUAUUCUAGAAAUUGAUUUCUGGCCAGAAAUUGAUUUCUCAAUUUCUAUUCCCCGGACAAGUUUUUGAGCAAAGAAACCCAUUUGAUAACGACUCAAAAUUUCUAUUUCUGGAACAGAAAUUCGUUUGAUAACAGAAUAAAAUUUAUAUUUCUAAGAAUAGAAAUUGAUUAGAUAACAACAUAGGAAAUCCUCAAAUACAAAAUAAUAGUCGAAAAAUACUAAAAUAACAUAGGAAAUCCUCAGAUACAAAAUAAUAGUCGAAAUAAUACUAAUACAUUACAAAAGUUGAAAAUAUAAUUUCAUGAAAUUUCUGGCAUAUUAUUAUCCCUUGCCAUUUUAUUGGCAAUGGUUUUCCUAAGCAUAUUUAUUUGGUUUCCCUCCUCGGUCAAUGUAUCGUUUGCAAGCUCAUCCUGCGUAGGUUUAGACAAGUACUGCAGAGGCAUGAAUAUGGGUGCCAUCAAUGGCGCCUAUAUAGCCCUGUCAUUUUAUCAAAGCCUAGUAUUAUACAAGAUUAUCAACAAAAUAAAAUUGAUGGUGUAAAGGAAUAUAUGAGAAUUCUACCUUGAAGUAACAUUUAUGAUUAGGAACCAAUCGGGAGAAGAUCAGUUUAUUUUGAUUCUCGAAUUGAAUCAGUCCAGUUGCUCAUCCCUAAUUUCUUUAUUGUUGCUCAAUGAGCCUUUAAUGGCCCUUGCAUAGCAAAGAGAGAGAUUCUCUCGAAUCUCUUGCCUUCGAAUUAAAAUUCAAGAUUGUGUAACAAUCUAAUUAUUUUGAUUUUGCAAGAAUUUUGAAUCCGUAAAGAAACAAGGUUAAAUUUUUAGGCACAUUUUUUAUUCAUCUAUUGCAUAAGAACUUUUUCUUCAACGGGUCAUGCGCGUGCCCUUUCUAGGAGGAAAGAGCCCCAUUGUUUUUAAGUAAGCAUUUAAGAAUUUCGGUCGUUUUUAAAAAUUGAGGACCCAUUCGAUUGUCUUUCAUCCUAAAGAGGAAGUUAUCAAAAAAAAUUGAAAAAUAAAAUAAAUAAAAAACACAAGCAAAAUAAGAAAAAGAAAAUUAGCAAUAAUUUGUGAAGUUGUGGUUACGAGUGAAUUAAGUUAGCAAGAAAGCACAAGGUUCUUUUAUAUGGUUUGAUUUCAGCUUCUGAUUUCUAUUUCAGAAACUGAGAAGUUAAAAAUUUCAGAUUCUGAUUUCUUCAAUUUCUCUAUUUCUGGAAUAGAAAUCUGUUUCAGAAAUAGAGAAAUCAAAUUGCGUUACCAAACGGAUUUUUGUUCCAAACCUGUUCCGGGAAACAGAGAAACAGAGAAAUCAGAAAAUAGAAAUUUUGUCAUACGCGCCCUUAUUCUCCUAGAAAAACUAUUUAGUGGAAAUAAAAUUUCGGAUGCAUCACACUUCUAUUAUUUUAUUAUUUUUUAAGUUUAUUUUCGGGUUCCAACCAAACGGGGCCAAUGUAACAUUGAACAUGAUCUAGUACAGUAGGUAGGUAAUCACUUCUUCAUCUGGACAACAUUUAAAUAGUCUCACAAUUACAACUCAUGAGUGGUAGAUACACUUAACAUAGACAAAUUCACAAUGCAUUUGACUCAUGCUCCCAAAUUUUAUCUUUUUUCCUCCCCUUCUUGCACACGAUGCGUGUGCCCUAAUGCUAGUGAAUUUAUUUUAUAAGGAUUCUUCUCAAAGCAAAAGUAGUGAACUGCCUUUAAUCAGUUCUUUUUUUUAAUCAGUCUUUGAGCAAGAAAGGAAUGUCCCCCCACUUGGCUUAUUUGGGACUAAAACUGAAUGUGUUGCCCGCACGAAAGGGACCCGGAAUGAGGUCAUCAAUAUGCGUAAUUAGGGCUUAACCAAUUCAUCAAAAUGACAUACUAAUUUGAUCGGGUGAUGGUCCGACAAUAUAUUAGUGUUCAGAGUUUACUAAUGAUAGCAGUUAUAAUGGAUCCAAGUGCUUCUCGAUUGGAGCUCAUAAGCAAUUAUACUGGGUUGGAGCUCUUCUUUAUUAGAGGUCAUAAAUGCUUGUAGCCGAUUUAGUAUGAAACAGGCGGAAGUAUUUGAGUUUCACACAAGAUGGUUUUUACUAGUCUUAUGUGCCAUCUGAAGUAAUUUAACAGGAAGUUAUAUGAUUGUCGUGAACAAAUCCUGCACACAUAAUAUCAUUACGCCAUUAUUUGUGGCAACGUUUUUUUCUUUUAUAGUUGUGCAGUGUAUGCAUGAAAAAAAGUGCAUCGAAUACUAAACUUGAGACUUGAGUAAGAGAUCUGGAAUAUCUCAAAUGUAUAAUGAAAAAAUGACAACAAAAAAUAAGUAUUAUUUUAAAUCUAGUGCCACGUCAAAUAUGUAAAGUUGCUGUCCAAAUUGGCAUUACAUGUAUUCAAUCCAUAGGAGCCCUUUGAUUGAGAGAGACACACGGGAGAUUCAUCGAAUUCACAGGCUAAUACACGAUCGGGGGAUUACGGGCGUUGCGUGCAUGAAAUUCGAAUCCUGGUGCAGGAGAAGCGAAUCACAUGUACAUGGCUUGUCCCGUAACUCAUCUUGAAGUAUUAGUUGGGCCUGGGCACCCCCAAACUUUCAUCCCCCAGCCCUCUUCACUCUUCCAUUCUCUUCCUCUCCCCAUAAAUUCACCUCUUCUCUCACUCCUUUCAGCUUGAAGGGAAAAAAAAAAAACAAGAGCAAAAGACCCUCCAGAACAGAAACUUGUGGAACUAUGUUUUCUAUGGAACCGAACAACUCCGACUCGAUUGCCCCACUUGACGAGGUGCAACGGUACUGGAAGAUGCGGUCCAUCUACAGGGUCCCCGCACGUUUCACCGCCCUCAACCGCGAGGCCUACCAGCCACAAGUUGUCUCCUUCGGCCCCUACCACCAUGGCGAGGCCCACCUCCUCCCCAUGGAGGAACACAAGCGCCGCACGGUCCGCCACCUCCUUAAGCGGUCCAAGAAGCCUAAGGAGUGCUUCUUCGAGUCCCUGAGGGAGGUGGCGUGGGACCUCGAGGAGAGCUACGACGCGCUGGACCCAAAGUGGAAGGCAGGAAGCGGCAAGGACGCGGCACCCCAGUUCCUGGAGCUGAUGAUAACUGACGGCUGCUUCAUGCUCGAGAUCCUGAGGUUCGCAGCCAGCGAGGUGGACGACUACGCGCCCAACGACCCCAUCUUCAGUUACCACGGGAACAUCCACAUAAUGACAGACAUUUGCAAGGAUAUGCUGAUGCUGGAGAAUCAGCUUCCGAUGCUAGUGCUGGAUCGGCUGGUGGCUGUGGAGAGCGAUGGCAAGAAGGUUAGUUUCUUAGAUUUCGGUCGGUUGUAAGACGAGAAAAUAUUGCAAGUACGCAAACCGCCAUACUUUGUGCACCUAACAGUACAUCUUUGUGAUCUCACAUGAACCCUACGAUGGAUCCACAGAAUCUAAUGCUCUAAAUGCAUUGAUUGCACGGUUCACGAUCAACCAAUAAUUUGAUUAGUAAAUAUCACCAAAACUUCAUUUAUUUCCCUUUUCCGCAAGUAGUAUCAAUACGACCACAAUCUCAGAUUCAAUAUACUGACGUCACUCCAACAACACAGGACGACGAAUUCGUCAGCAGGCUCAUCCUCGAGUGCUUCUUGUUCCCCAGCGAGGGCAUCACAAGGAUGGACAAAUGCCUGCACGUCCUGGACGUUUUCAGGAAAAAAAUGCUGAUGGAGCCCGAGAAGGAGGACGAGGAGGUUACUUUCUUAAAUUUCAGUUUGUCGUAAGAGAUGCCAUUGCAAGUAUGCUAAUCAUAUGGGCACCUAACAGUACAUCUUGGUCAUCUCACCCCACGAGGGAUCCACCGAAUCUAAUGCUCCCAAUGCACUGGAUGCACGGUUCUAGAUCAAUCGACAAUUUGAUGAUUAAAUCUAUCACCGCCAUAGGAAGCUAUAUUUUUCCCCCUUUUACUCAAGUAGUAUCGAUCCAACCACAAUCUCAGAUUCAGUGUACUGACUUCACUCCAAUAACACAGGACGACGAAUCCGUCAACAAGUUCAUCCUCAAGCUCUGCUUCCCAUGCAAGGGCAUCACAUGGAUGGGCAAAUGCCUGCACGUCCUGGACGUUGUCAGGAACAGCAUGCUGAUGAAGCCCAAGAAGAAGGACAAGGUGAAGAGGGACGACAGUCGGGAGAUUAUACAAUUGGCCUCGGCCACCGAGCUCAGCGAGCAUGGGAUCAAGUUCAAGAGGAGCAAGACCGACAGCAUCACGCACAUUUCCUUUGCGGGUGGGGCCCUGACGCUCCCCAAGAUCCGGGUGGAUGAAUGACCAUGUCCAAUUUCCUCAACCUCACGGCAUUCGAGUACCUCCAUGUCGAGACUGAAAACGAGGUCAUGUCCUACAUCUACUGCAUGGACCAAAUAAUCAACAACGGGCAGGAUGUCGCGCUUCUCCGCGCCCAAGGUAUCAUCGUGAAUCAUCUGGAGAGCGAUGAGGCGGUAGCCAAGAUGUUCAACUCGCUGGGCAAGGUUGUGACGAUCAAGCCCAGCCACAGCCUCAGGGACGUGCUCGGGAAGGUCAACGAGUACCGCAAUAAGCACUGGAAUAUGUGGAGGGCUAAUCUCAUCCACACCUACUUCAGGAAUCCUUGGGUUGCAUUGUCUCUCAUCGCUGCCGUCUCCCUCUUUGCGCUCACCACAAUUCAGACUGUAUAUUCCGUGCUCGGCUACUACAAAUGAACACUUUCCUCUCAGUACAACAAUAUACUGUCUUUUUUUCCACUUUUUUCGGUUUUCUCCCGAUGACAGAUGCUCGAUCAUUGUCUCUUGAUCGGUUUGGGUUGUUAUGAAUGAUUUUCCUCUUGCUUUCAGUCAUGUUUAUAUCCCUCUUUCAAUGUUUUGAAUAAUGGACAUUUUUAUUUUAACAUUAUCAAAUGAUGAUUCUCUUGUUUCAUUCUCCUUCAUGUUUGUCCAAUUUGAAUUGGGUAGGGUGAAGGAUGAUCAAGCAGAUGAAAUCUACCUUUGCAACAUUUCUUCUUGAUUAAAUUUGUUAAGUUGCAAUGAAUUUAAGUGAGAAAACAAAUAUGACCUUCAAAGUCAUCUCUAAUCACCAUUUGCUUCAAACAUCCUAAAAAAAACCAAGGUGUUUGAUGUUGAUACCUAAAUUUUGGUUAAGUAUUUAUGAUAAAAAUUGCAUAAAAAAAAUCAGGGACCAACUGGACCUUAACAAAAAGGAUUUUCGUAUCACCUAGCUCUUAGUUUUAUUUUACCACAUUUUCGGAUUUUAAAUAAAUAAAAAGAGUGAGGCCUGCGCAGGUUGGGCCUUCGCGCCCAGCCCUCCCUUUUUUUCCUUCCGCGUGGGCUCGGGCCCAUCUGGCCCCAGCUCCCCCUUCACGGCCCGGCCCGGCCCUCUCGUUCAUCUUCUUCCUCCUACCUUCCUCGCGCUGCACGCCACGCGCGUAGGGCAACCUAGAUAGAGCAAGAGGGGCAGAGGACGGCGAUGCAUGUGGAGCAGCGCGAGGACCGGCGGGAGUCCCAGACGGAUGGGCGGGCGCCUUCAAUGCGGUAGACGAGGCGGCCUAGCUAGAGCUGCCUCGACUGGUGGGACGCCGGUUCGACCGGGGGAGGACGGUCGGAGCGCCGAAGACCGACUAUCGAGGAGCCACCGCCGACUGGCCCCCCUUGGCCUAUGAAUAGGGCAUCGCGCGGAGGCCAAAAAGACACACACAAAGAGAGACACAGAAGUAGCGAGCUCCGACCCCGCCGAGAGUAUUCUGGGGCGUCCCGAGUGAGCGAAUCCGAGAGAGAGAGAGAGAGAGAUUUGAGUUUGAGAGCUGUGAGCGAGGGUCGAGGGCAAGAUCUGAACUGUAAAAAAGGGAAGAGAGAUUUGAGGGGGGGGGGGGGGCCGGAAAAGGUCCAGAUCCGAGGGAGAGAGAGGGUCGCGAGGACCCGGCCUCGCCACCGCGUGCAGCGCUGGCUGCUUGGCCCGCUGCGACCGCCGUGCAGCCACCGACGAUGAGGCCUGCUCUCGUCGCCCCCACCGCCGCGCGCGCCUAUAGCCGUUGCCUUUCUGUCCCACGACGACCCAGCCGCCCACUGGGCUCGACUGCCUGCAUCGUCGAACCCGCCGUCGCCUCUUCUGUCGAUCCACCGCCCGGUGACUUCCCAGCCGCCCCCAUCGGCGCCGUAGAGAGACAGAAGGAGAGAGGCGCGAGUCGGGUCAGAGCCGGGUCGGGCGCGGGUCCAUAAUCGGGUAGGGCUUUCGCUGCUAGGAGGGAGAAACAGGCUGGGCUUGUGUUUUUUACUUUGUUUUGGGUCUCGGCCAAAUUCGCGGGCCAGGCCUCGCCUUUCAUUUCCUUCGCGGCCGAAGGGCACGGUUGGGCUGGGCCCAUUCGCGGAAACCAGCCCAGCCAGAGGCCUGUGCCACGCGCCCGGGCCAAGUUCGACCGGGUCGGACGCGGAGUUCCGACUCGGAUCCUUUUUUAGAAUAUGAUAUAUUCUUAUUUUAAUAUUAAAAAUAUUUUAAUAAAAAUCGAAAAAAUGAUUUAGACUUUCAAAAAAAAUACAAAAACCCAAAAAUAUUUUAUAUUUCCCAAAAAAACCAGACAGAUAAAAUAAUCUUCAAAAUAAUAAAAAUAAAAAAAAGCUUAAAAAUAGCCUUUGAGUAGUUUUUCUUAAAAUAUGUGAAAAUACUUAACAAAAAAAAAUCAAAGAAAAAAAAUCAUGUUUAAGUUCUUGGAAGCAAAUAUUGGCUAAUUCCAAUUGCACCCUUAUGACACAUAGGUUUUUAUUUCCUUAAUCUAAUUAGGACUUGAAUCAUAAAAUUCAUAAUUGGUACAAAAUGUUGCAUGAAUGCUUUACUUGAUAUUUAAAUAAAAUGAGGUACCGGUAGGACAUUAAUGAUUAACUAAUAUAAUUAGGUCUCUGACUCUAGUUUCUCUGAUUGCGCUAGAGUGAAGUAUAUCUCAUAAUAUUUCACGUGGGUUAUCGACUCACCUCAAAUCGAUUAAUGACAAUUUCAUAAUGAAAUUGACUUGCAAAUUAAAAACUCAAAGUCAUGAAUUGGUGGGUUUUGGAGAGCCCAUACUAAGCCCUAUGCUUAGCAAGCCAUUAACCUCUGCCCUCGCUAGCACGUUGAAAAGGGAGGUCACGUCAUUUUAUUGUUAAUCUCAGUCUAUAAUUUGUUGAAAUGAUUUCCAUUGUAUUAAAGAUAUUACAAAGCAUUACACUUUAUAAGGAAACAUACAAUAAUAUAAGUAAUAAAGCUGUAAAUCCCUUGAUUUUCAUAUAUUCGAGAAUUUGCUUGUGAUUUUCUUUGACAUUUUCAUAUUCUUCUCUCUUGAUUGAUAAAUCAACGCCUUAACUCCCCUUCAAAUUGGGAAUGGGACAAUCCCAAAUUCUCAAUUUGCAACGUAAGUUUCCAAAUGCUUUUUUGGAAUAAUAGCUUCGUGAAGAGAUUAACAAUUCAAUGCACAAACAGAACAUACUUAGUCAUAAGAGUUCCACGAGCCACUUUUUCUCGCACAUAAUGAUAAUCUAAUUUGGUAUGUUUAGUUCUUGCAUAUAUUAACAUAUGAAUUGCACUGAUAUUAUCACAAAAUAAUAUUGAUGGACUUAAGAGAUGAAUACAUAAAUCUCUUAAAAGGAAAGAUAUCCAAACAAUCUAAGCUACUAUCAACCAAUUGCACGAUACUCUAUAUUGGCACUAAAUCGAGCAAUCGUUCAUUGCUUCUUAGCACUCCAUAAUAUUCAGUUACUAUAAGUACAAAAUAUCGUAGUCAAUCGUCAAGUCAAGUAGCAAUUUGCCCAACCUUCAUCACAAAAGGCAUACAACUCUAUAGAAAGAUCUGCAUUUCUCGAUUUAUUGUGCCACUGACAUAGCGCAAAAUGUGCUUCACAAUUUGAAAAUGAGUCAUAGUAGGCCAAUGUGUGAAUUGAGACAUAAAAUUGACCGCACAUGAAAUAUCUAGAUGUGUGAUGGUGAGAUAUUAAAGAGUUCUGACAAUACUUAAAUAUAACAUUCGAAAGUAAUUUCGCAUUUGAGACAAUGAGUGCGAGUGGCUAUAGGCGUGGAUCUUGGCUUGCAAACAUCCAUUUGAGCACAUUCAAGAAUUGACAAAGCAUAUGUGGUCGGCACAAAUAAAGACUAUCAAAUAAUAUUCUAACCUCCACAACCAAAAAGUAAUAUAAUGGCUCUAUAUCCUUUAUUGUAAAUUCACUACUCAAUGAAGAAAUAAAUCCAUCAAGCAAGUUUGGAUCAUUACUAAUGACAAUCAUAUCGUCCACGAAUAAAAGUAGAGCUAGAAUGGCAUGAUCUGAUUUUUGAAUGAACAACGAAGGAUCUACAAUGCUGCAAAAGAAACCAAAUGCUAAAAGAAACAAGCUAAAAUGAUCAAACCAUGCUUUUGAUGCUUUCUUGAUUCCACACAAAGCUCUCUCAAGUUUGCAAACAUAAUACAGGUUUUUUGGUCCUCAAAACAAGGCAGUUGCUCCAUAUAAAUAGAUUGUGACAGAAAUAGAUAUCUAUAUUAAAAAUAAAAAAUAAAAAAAUUGACCAAAAAAAUAUUAAAAAUGCAAAACAACAAAUGGGGAAUAGAUUAAAAAGAAAAAACUCAAAGCCCACUUGCAUCAAUCGUACACUCUCACUACUCUUCUCCUAUACAUCCGAAAAGAACCUCUUUUCAUCUAAUUUAUAGAUAUGUGAAACAAAUUUUUCAUUGGACCCUCAGAAAAAUAUGCAUCCACGGGAAAAAAUAAAUGUUGAUGUACUGACAAUGCUAGUUUAUAAUAACUUUUCUAAUAUAACUAAGUACGAUGUAUUACAUAAUGGGAUGAGAUGCCCAUACUUUUUAAGUUUCUACAUUGAGUUAUGCAAUAUCAAUUUUGCAGACUUUAAUCAUCAAAUUGAUUUGAAAUGCCUGUGUUUGUCAUGUUUGGUGCAUGAGGACCUAUAAACUGCAUAAUGACUCAUCUGUAGUCUCACACUCUGUUCAAUGGAUGUUAAGGCUAUUGUUAAACUUAGAUUACGGUCUUAGACUGUUUUGUCUAAUCGUAACAUCGGUAAUGCACACAGAGUUGUCUGUACAAUGUAGGGAUUUUGAUAUUUAUUCUAGACAUUCCAUUACCAUUAGCACACUCCUCAUUAUAUGCAAGGCAACCCCUUCAUCGUCUCAUGCCGACUAGUUGUUUCGGAAUCAUUUUCGAAAGAUGAGAGGACAAAGGGUCUCCUUCUGUCUCGCCCCAUCGUUGCUGUUGAAAAACAUACCAAGAAACAUAUAUCUCGGACCAAAAUCAGUCUCUACACAGACUCGAGAUGAUGGAAGCAAAAAUGGGACACGCGAGUAGAAUGCCAUUCCUUGUAUGGGUGAGAUUAGGGACAUGAGGCAAGUUGAGCUCGGAUUAGAGACACUAGCAUCAUACACCGGAUGUAUCUUUGGCCGUCAAACUAGUUAUCGAAGAGUUAAAAAAAUUCACCAGCUCACAAGUCAAAACACAACGAGGCUACAUAGCCCCCAAGGAUGCCAAGAGACUCACGGAAAAAACCUGUACCUUAAGAACCACGAACAGCCUUCAGUCCGUUAUUAGCAGCACGUUAUUAAGGAAAGAAACCGCACACGCUGCACAAUCGAAUCAAAGCAAAUAUGGCAAGUUUCCAACAUCAUUUGGUUGGGAAAUCACAAGCCCCUAUAUCAGAUCAAAUUGUUUAUCAACAGAUUCAACCACCUUUCCUAAUGCCAAAGAGCUGCAAAAUCUGAAGAUUGAAAAUAUGAGCAACUUAGUCGACUUGAUGGGAUCCACAGAACAUGCAAGUUCAUCGAUACGCAUACUCGAUAUCACAAAGGAACUAAUGAUAAAACUUCCCGGAACUUCACUUAUCAGAUUUUACACGACGUCCUAUGUUUAGAUAAAGAAAGAAAAUUCACCUCCAGAGAGCAGUAGCUCCACCGUAAUCACAGAGCACACGGCAUUCGGCACUACAAGGUCAAUUUUUUCCCUUGAAUGGGGCAACAUUAGAAACUCAGAGCACUCGCAAUCCACAACCUUCACCAAAAGAAGAUUGGAUUGUAUAGCAAAGUUCUACAAGUUAGCCAACUAGGUCCCUCUGCUGUUAAGUAUUGACUCGCAGCUGACUUGGCUGGAUAGCAAGGCCAAAAGAUGGAUCAGAAAGAAAAACAAAAUUCUUGGAGGUGAGUCCAUAAGGAGAAGAGCUUCUUACAACAUCGCAAAUGGGGGGAGCUCACUCGUCCAUAUCCUCUUCUCCAUCAGCUUCCGCCUCUUCAUCCUCCCUCCUGAGCUGACCACAUACAUUACACUCCAUUAUAUCAGAAGGAGCAUCAUCCGAUGACGGAGGCAGAGGAGCCAAUGUCCCACCGCAGUUUUUCCUGUUGCACAUAUACCUGACGAAGAAAUAUGCAUGGGGGAAGUCCGUUUCUUUCUCCUCUGCAAUACCCACCUCCGACCCGCUCAUUUGUUCAUCGGCAUCCUCAUCCAUCCCUUCACCGUCACCAUCAUCGUCUUCGCCAAUAUCAUCGUGCUCAUUCUCAUCAUCGGACCAAUUGGCCUCGACCUUGCACCGGUCGCAGUCACAGGCGAACCCGUAGUCUUCCAUCAACCUCCUCUGCCUAUUCGCAUAAUUCAAGUUGACAGGAAAAUAACUCAGGCAGAUCUCCCUCCCUUGAGGGACAUCAUGGAUCAUCCGCACGAUUAUAUCAGCAUUGCCAUCAGAAGCAGAGUCUACAUAGUCAAAUCUGCAAGCAUUUGGCAGGCAAUCGUGGUUGAAGAAAGAAGCUCUUGGAUAAAUACCGUAAGCUCUCACCGAUCUCUCCCCAUCCACCUCGCCCCCACCCCGCGACAAAACCGGCUCCAUCAAACCGAAAGCAUUGAGCUUGUCCUUCGACAGCAAGGCGACGAUCAAUUCAAGAGAA